rnacentral:lncRNA from 1 species
GAGAUAAUGUGGUUUUGGGAUCCCUGCCCCAUGAAAAAAGAUGGAAUGGUCACGGCCGGAAUGCAGGUCAAGCGACCACGAAGAGAUAUCUUGUUGCUAAUGCUGCUGCUGAUGCAGGUAGUAUGUUGUUGCUUUGGCUAAGAAUUGGUCUUGUGUUCUGCCCUUCCCCCCCUAAUGGUGAUAAGUUUAUUGUAUCUGUUAUGGGCAACUAUUAUGUGGUAUCUGUUAUUGUUGUUGUUGUUGUUGUUAUGUAACCCUAGGUCAACUCCAAAUGUGCAGACAGACAUAUGAUGAAAAGGUGUUCCAGUUAUGUCCAUCCCAGCUUCUUCCUCGGCGCAAUGAUCCCUGAUCGAUAUCAUUUAACACAUUCUUUUCUAAGAGAGCGAGGUGCAAUUGGAGAGAGAUUUUGCUAUUAUUUCUAGCAAAUGACGCUACCACAAAAGGCCCUUUAAAUUUCUGCGUUAUUUCUCGUCCCGAUUUCUCUUCCUCUUCUUUUCUUUCUUUUUGCUACUAUCACUUUCAUUUUCGAGUUUCCGCACCUACAUCGAAAUGGCGACAAAACAAAACAAAACCGAAAGCUACCUUGCGGUAUUUCUUUUCACUUCUUUACAUUCAGAUUCAAAUCCCGCUGAGGUCAAUCUUAACCUUUCAUCCCUCUAGGGUCGUUAAAAUAAGGUUCCGGUCAAGUACUGAGCCAAUGUUAUCGCCUCACCCACCCUUCUAAAAAUUGCCAGCGCCGAGUCUAAAUUAAAGCAAUUAUUGACGCUUCUAUAAUAUCCUCAACUCUACACAAGAAACAGAAACAUUCGGCACCUUUACACCGCUGUUGCUUUUUACAGAGGUCACCCUUCCAUUUUAUGGUGCCUAAUUUACAGCUCGGUAGACCUGGGACCUUUAGAAGUUGAGUCUCGAUAAUUAAAUAAAUAUGCAAACUCGUCUGCAGUUCGGCUGAUUGUUACAAUGUCUUUCGCUAUCCGCUUCGCUUCUGUUGUCGUUCCUGUUAUUGUUAUUGUUAUUGUUGCUCUCGCUGUUUAUUUAACGACUCCCUCUCGGUCGGUGUGUUACGAUUUAUGAUAGAACCGACUUACAUUCAAAGAUGUUCCAUCCUUGUCCAUCCUAUCACCCCCCGCCCCACAACUCUCUAGCAUGCUGUAUCAAGGGCCACAUUAUCUAAAGGAGCACCCCACCUUCAUUCUUUGUUUUCCUUUGAAGACGGAAGUAUACAGUUUAAAAAGAAAUUUGGCUGCUAUUUCUAGCAAUUAGUAGAGGCUCUCCGACGAUAUUAUAGUUACUCUACUACUACUACUACUACUACUACUACUACUACUACUACUACUACUACUACUACUUUAAAGGAAAUUUGGCUGUGAUUUCUAGCAAUUAGUAGAGGCUCUCCGACGAUAUUAUUGUUACUACUACUACUACUACUACUACUACUACUACUACUACUACUACUAAUUUAAAGGAAAUUUGGCUGCUAUUUCUAGCAAUUAGUAGAGGCUCUCCGACGAUAUUAUAGCUACUACUACUACUACUACUACUACUACUACUACUACUACUACUACUACUACUACUAAUUUAAAGGAAAUUUGGCUGCGGUUUCUAGCAAUUAGUAGAGGCUCUCCGACGAUAUUAUUGUUACUACUACUACUACUACUACUACUACUACUACUACUACUACUACUACUACUAAUUUAAAGGAAAUUUGGCUGCGAUUUCUAGCAAUUAGUAGAGGCUCUCCGACGAUAUUAUAGCUACUACUACUACUACUACUAAUUUAAAGGAAAUUUGGCUGCGAUUUCUAGCAAUUAGUAGAGGCUCUCCGACGAUAUUAUAGCUACUACUACUACUACUACUAAUUUAAAGGAAAUUUGGCUGCGAUUUCUAGCAAUUAGUAGAGGCUCUCCGACGAUAUUAUAGCUACUACUACUACUACUACUAAUUUAAAGGAAAUUUGGCUGCGAUUUCUAGCAAUUAGUAGAGGCUCUCCGACGAUAUUAUAGUUACCACUACUACUACUACUACUAGUACUAGUAGUACUACUACUACUACACCACACACACAUACACACGAACACACACACACACACACACACACACACACACACACACACAUUGUUGGUGUUGCUGUGUGCUUAAAGACAGAUUUACUGCUGCUAAUAUUUAACGCAGCUGGUGCUACUCGUGCUGCUGCUGUCGGUCCUAUCAUUACACCUAAAUUGCUGCUGCUGCUGCUACCGCUACUACUGCCACUGUAUAAUCUACUGCAGAUAUAUUAUUAUUAUUAUUAUUGUUAUUACAGUUUAUUGCUGUUGUGUUACUGUUACCGCUUCAACGGAUGCUGCUGUUCCUGUUAUUGCUGCUGCUGCUGCUACUACUGCUGCUGCUACUGUUGUUAUUUGCAGUUGCUGUUACCACUGCUGCCACCGUUGCUACUAUUGCUGCUGCUGUUGCUGCUGUUGCUGCUAGUGUUGACAAGCGGAGCUGUGGCGGUCGUCCGUCCGUCAAAUCGUCAAAAAUCCAGCUGAUGACGAUGGUGUUGGAUUGCUGCUGCUGUUGUUGUUGUUAUUGUUGUUUUAUCGUAACCGUUGUCCAACCGACCGAUGACAAUCAGUCACGCUGCGGUGAAUCUUACACCGGGAAUAACUAAAAAAAAAAAAAAAAAACCCCAAAAAUACUACUCCUGUCCUCCCCACUUCUUCCAUAUAUCAUUUAUGCCGUCGUAUUAUCCGAUUAGAGCGAUAGAGAGAAGGAGAGAGAAAGAUACUAAGGUACGUAUGGCUAGUAUUAUACUUGCCUUUUUACAGCUUUCACUUAAAAAUCCGAUUUUCACAUUACAUCACAUAACGUCAUCGAUGUUUAAGAUUUACUGUAUCUUUUUUGUUGUUUUGUUCGUUCUAUGAUUUCAUUUUCGUUCUUCUUUCCGAAUACACACACACACAAACUGAUAUAUACAUAUAUGCAUGCAAACAGACAUACGAUACAUACACAUAUACACACACAUAAACACAUACGUACAUAUGCAGACACGCACAGACACAGGCACACACUGAUAUAUACGUAUAUGCAUGCAAACAGACAUACGAUACAUACACAUAUACACGCAUAUACACACAUACACACAUACGUACACAUGCAGACACAGACACACACACACACUGAUAUAUACGUAUAUGCAUGGAAACAGACAUACGACACAUACACAUAUACACGCAUAUACACACAUAAACACAUACGUACAUAUGCAGACACGCACGCACACACACACACACACACACACACAUAUAUAUAUAUAUAUAUAUACACAUCGAUACAUAGAUGCUUAUACACGUAGAUGCAUAGUACUUAUACUCGCAGAUACAUUCAUAUAUACAUACAUACAUAUAUGCAUACAUGCACGCACACAUACAAACAAAUACAUGUACAUUGUAUAUAUAAACCGCGAAUCGCUAGAAUUAUGCGGUGUAUUUUACGCGCUGUUGUCCAAACCUCAGACGACCCUUGACCUAUGACGAAAGGUAAUUCAUCUUUUAGCUGUACGUCUUAUCUUAACUAAACCAUUUAAACGUAUCAUUCGCUUUAUUUUAGACCGUAAGGUGCAAUACGAAGAUUUGGUUUUGUUAUCGAGUGAUCUCAUUGUGGGUCUUAUGUAGUAUUGUUAUAGUUUAGCAGUGAAGUGUAGUGUAGUGUAGUGGAUUUCCGCCGUCUUUCGAUAUAUAUAGAUAGAAACACUGUUGUAUAUAUGUGUGUGUGUGUAUUUCUAUUUAUGUGUAUGUAUAUGUGUUGUGUGUCUGUCUGUGUAUGUGUAAAUGUGUGUGUGGGUGAGUUAAUUGUUCACUUGAUAAGCUCAGUAGAAAGAACGGUGUUUACAUUUUUUGUGUGUAUGUGCAUGUGUGUGUUUGUGUGUGCGUGUGUGCGUGUGUGCGUGCGUGUGUGUGUGUGUGUGUGUGUGUGUGUGUGUGUGAUAUGUUGUCUCUAAGCAUACGUUUGUUGUUUGGUGUUGUUAUUCAGGCCCCAGGUCAGUUCCAAGCGGACACACCCUACUAUCAAAAACGUCGUUACAGGCAUGACCAUCCUGCCAUUAGUCAUUAUAUAUAUAUAUAUAUAUAUAUAUAUAACAUUAAAUUUAGGGUAAAAAUUGAUAUUUAUCAAUUAGAACCAGUGGUCUAGCAUAUUAAAGAAAGAAUCCGAAGAUUAAAAUAUUUAUAUAUACCAAUUAAGGACUGAACACGAAAAGUGGACAGUCAACAUGCUAGAUAUAGACGUCAAAUCGCCAUUCUCCACAAAAAGUCUAUGUUCUCAGAUCAAACUCAACACAAAACCACUUGUUUAUUGUUUUCGUUUUGUGUUGAGUUUGAUCUGAGAACAUAGACUUUUUGUGGAGAAUGGCGAUUUGACGUCUAUAUCUAGCAUGUUGACUGUCCACUUUUCGUGUUCAGUCCUUAAUUGGUAUAUAUAUAUAUAUAUAUAUAUAUAUAUAUAUAUAUAUAACUACAUACAUACAAUACACAAACUCGUACACACAUACACACAGAGUAACACACAUAAUACAUAAUAUAUCCAUCUAUCUAUCUAUCUAUCUAUCUAUCUAUCUAUCUAUCUAUCUAUCUAUCUAUCUAUCUAUCUAUCUAUCUAUCUAUCUAUCUAUCUAUCUAUCUAUCUAUCUGUGUGAGUAUAUAUAUAUAUAUAUAUAUAUAUAUAUAUAUCUAUAUGAAAAAACAAGUAAAAAAUAGAAAAUGCUAAAAUAAUUUUAUAGUGAACAUUUCAGUACCGGUUUCGGUCAUUUUAUAUAUAUAUAUAUAUAUAUAUAUAUAUAUAUAUAUAUAUAUAUAUAUAUCCGAAAUUACUACGAUGAUCCGGUUCUUGACUGAAGACUGAGGGUUUCGAAUGUCCUGUCCGUGUUUAUUGUGUCGUCUUCUAAGAGUUAUACGUUCUUGUCCAUGUUGUAUUUUUCUACAUACCUUAAUAUAUAUAUAUAUAUAUAUAUAUAUAUAUAUAUGUGUGUGUGUGUGUGUGUUUAGAACUACAUUAUCUGUGUCCUGCUUUUUUUUAAAGUAAUGUGUGAUUUGAGAGAGACAUAGCUGCUAUUUCUAGCAAACCAAGCGGCUUCGUAGAGACAGGGCCUCGUUGACUCGUAAUGUACGGUGACUGUGUUUACAUGCAUGUGCAUUUGUUUGUAUUUGAGUGCGUGGGUUGCUUCUGCAGUUGUUUAGCCCAAGGUUGUUGUUUAACCAUGAUCGAGCCGACCUGUGAUCAAAGACUGUAAUCCUGUUGCUUUUUUUCUUUCUUUUUUUUUUUUUUUUUUUGUAUAUCAGGGUCAACAUUGUUUUAUGUGACCUUCCUUUCUUCGCUUGCGUGGGUUUGAUGCGUCAGGUGAAAGAAAUAUCGUACCUGAUGUUUAUUUCUGUAUGAACAUUCUAACUAACUGAGACUAUCCCCGUAUUCAUUUCAGGCUAUCUAGAUCUAUGUCUUUCAUUGUUAAACGACGGUAGGAUGUAAUUUGAGCGAGAUUUGGCUGCUAUUUCUAGCAGGUCGAAUGACCACGUAGAGGUUCUCCCUUUGAUUUGCUAAGAUGUGUGUAUUGUGUGAUGUGUUGGUAUAUGUCUGCAUGUAUCGUUUAUAUCUUUUUGUUGCUUCAGUCAUAUGACUGUGGCCAUGCUGGGGCACCGCCUUAAAGGGUUUUAGUCGAACAAAUCGACCGUGGAAAUUAUUUCUUAAGCCUAGUAAUUAUUCUAUCGGUUUCUUUGCCGAAUCGCUAGGUCACUAGGUCAUAAAGUCACAAACACCGGUUGUCAAGCAGUGGUGGGGAAACACAGACACCAAAACACACACACACACACACACACACACACACACACACACACACACACACACACACACACACACAGACACAUACACACACGCACAACGGGCUUCUUUCAGUUUCCGUCUACAAAAUCCACUCACAAGGUUUUGGUCGGCUCGAGGUAAAUGUAGAAGUCACUUGCCCAAAGGUGUCACGCAGUGGGACUGAACUCGGAACCGUGUGGUUGGAAAGCCAGCUUCUUAUCAUACAGCCGUGCCUGUAGAGUGCAGUGUACCUGUAAAUGUGUUUUUGGGUGCACAUGUACCUCUGUGCCGUCCCGUAUGUGAGGCGUCCAGUGACUCCCCCACCCCACCCCAUAUAUAAAUGCACGCGCGAGUGAACGCGCACGCGUGUGUGUAUGUAUGUAUGCAUGUGUGUAUGUAUGUGAGUAUAUUAUGAGCAAUUAACAGGAUAGGUUGUGUGACGGAUACGGUAUAGUGUAUGUGUGUAAUAAAUUUACCGGACACCAUGUUUGUAUGUAUGUGUCUGUAUAGGUGCGUGAUUGCGCGUGUGUGUGUGUGUGUGUGUGAUUGUGUGUGUGUGUGAUUGUGCGUGUGUGUGAUUGUGUGUGUGUGUGAUUGUGUGUGUGUGAUUGUGUGUGUGUGUGAUUGUGUGUGUGUGUGAUUGUGUGUGUGUGUGAUUGUGUGUGUGUGUGAUUGUGUGUGUGUGUGAUUGUGUGUGUGUGUGUGUGAUUGUGUGUGUGUGUGAUUGUGUGUGUGUGUGAUUGUGUGUGUGUGUGUGUUAUUGUGUGUGUGUGAUCGUGUGUGUGUGUGAUUGUGUGUGUGAUUGUGUAUGAUUGUGUGUGUGUGUGAUUGUGCGUGUGUGUGAUUGUGUGUGUGUGAUUGUGUGUGUGUGUGAUUGUGUGUGUGUGUGAUUGUGUGGGUGUGUGAUUGUGUGUGUGUGUGUGUGAUUGUGUGUGAUUGUGUGUGAUUAUGUGUGUGUGAUUGUGUAUGAUUGUGUGUGCGUGUGUGUGAUUGUGCGUGUGUGUGUAUGUGUGUGAUUGUGUGUGUGUGUGAUUGUGUGUGUAAUGUUGAUUCAGCUUGCACGGAUGGGAGCACGCGAGCGUGAGUGUGUGUGUGUGUGUGUGUGUGUGUGUGUGUGUGUUAGUGUGUGUUAGUGUGAGUUUAUAUGUUUAUGUGUACGGAUGUAUGUAUGUGCGUAAAUGUGUGCUCAUAUGUAGGUGCUUUUUUUAUGUUACACGCAUCUGUGUGUGUGUGUACGUGUAUGUAUGUAAACGUGUUUGUUUAUAUGCAGGUGCUAUGUGCACAAACGCAUGUGUGCACGCGUGUGAGUGUUGUGCACGUGUUCGUGUGUGUGCGUGAGUGAACGUAUGUGUGGAUGUAAGUCCGGUCGUUAUCUCGUUAUCAUUUACUAAUUAACAAAUCAGCCAGUCAGUCGGCUGUCAAUUCGCCCGAUCAGCCUCUAUGCAAGUACGGAAAAGUCGAUAUUUAUUCACCUCUCUGCAUUCUGAGCUCAAAUCCCUCGGAGGUCAACUUUAUCUUUUGUACAUCCACAGUCCUAUAAAAAUAGUACUAAUUAAUUUAAUCAACGUUAAUAGGUUGGUAGCAUCGUUAGAAUAUCGGGAUCUUAUUAUCGGUUUGAACGGCAGUUUUUUCUAGCGGUAUCAUAUGAAAUUGUCACCCAUAAUUAUGACCCUAGUAUCGAUCUAUUGCAUUUCGAUAUGUUUUAGGGUCAGGGUUAGAGUUAGGGGUGGGGGGAAGGGUAUCUUUUUUUUCUUCACAAAUGUAAAUAAACCCAAUCUGUUUCUUAAACGAGGGACAUAUUCAUACGGCACAGAAUGAUUUUUAACUCAAUAGACGUCAUUGAUUGGUUGAAAUUGCAGAAUUUGAAGAAAAACAACAACAAAUAUCUUACAAACUAUAUAAUUUCCUCAAUAAAGCCAAGAGAAAAAGAUGUUUUAUAAACACAUUCUACCAGUAUACGAAGUUGAAAAGUGUUUAGUUACGUGGAAAUUAUUUUUAAAAACUACCGUUCAAACCGAAAAGAUCCGAAUAUCGAACAAUGUUUGCAGUUAUUCCCUUACGACUCUUUACGUUCUGAGUUUAAAUACUAGCACACUCAACUUUGCCUUUCAUUCUCCUGGGGGUUAAUUAAAUUAAGUACUAGUCAUGUACUGAGGCCGAUUUGGAUAGAAUUGGAUUGCCUAGGUUUAGUCCACAGCUGGACGAAAGCCACAUGUUUUCUCCAUCAACCACGGUUUGAUGUGGAAGACGUGGACUUGAGCUUGAGAUCAUAUUGGUUUGAUGAGUCCACUCUAACACACUGGCUUGACAUGGCUUGGCAGAAAAGUGCAGUUUUUAUACUCUUACUCAGGAGUAGUUAAGUCAAUUACAUUGACUCCUAGUGCUCAACUGGUACCAAUUUUGUCGACCCCGAAAGGAUGAAAGACGAAGUCAGCCUCGACGGAAUCUGAAUUCAGAACGUAUAGACAGACAAAAUGCCGCACUAGUUAGGCGUCCAGUUCAGAAAGUCUCGUGGGCCGCACUUUGCCCAUGACUAGUUUAUGAGAAGGGUGGUGGGGGCGGUGAUGAUGCAGGGGUCGCAUCUAAGUCUGGGUUUUUCCUGGGGUCUCACAAAAUGUUUGCCUAUAUUGAAGAGUAGCAUUUACGGAAGGGAAGUACGGGGAUAAAAAAAAUAAAAAAACCUCAACGAAAAACAAACUGUGGUCCCCGAUAAUAUUUCUUUCACAGGCUCUGCUUUAUAGUGUUUAGUUACACCCCUUUCUAGGUUCAAAUCCCAUCAUGGUCGAAUUCCUUUUUUAUCCUUUAAGAGUCAAGAAAAUAAUUGGCAGUUGCUUAUACCCAUUACCUAAAUUCCUUACUUUUUAAUCGACGUUAAGUUCUCUGCUUGUCUUAUCUCUCCGUCGGUUACGAAAACGAGUAUUCCAGGUGAUACGAUCAACCGAACACCCUGCUCGUGAAAUUAACGUACAAAUGGCUGAGAACUCCACUGACACGCGCGCCCAUAACCUAGUUCUCAGGGAGAUUCAGCGUGACAUAGUGUGGCUAAGCUGGCCCUUUGAAAUACAGGUACUACUCAUUUUUGUCAGUGGACUAGAAGAAUGAGAAAUAAAAUAUCUUGCUCAAGGAUAUAACGCAUUUCGGGAAUCGAACUCGCAACCUUAUGAUCGUGAGCCGAAUACCAUAACCACUAAGCUACGUGUGUGGCUUAGUGGUAAGGGAGUUGUAUUCGUAGUUGUGAUAUUGUGGUUUCGAUUCCUGGACCGGGCGAUGCGUUGUGUUUUUUUUUUUUAUCAAAAUAAAUUUUAUUGUGCACCUAAGCACUGUAUACUACAAAUUCAUUAUAUAUUAUAUAUUUCACCUUGCUCUAGAUCACUCAGCAGGCAAAAAUGAUUAAUCUUCUGACAGACCAGAGUCUGUCCAGCGAUGGAAUAUAUACGCCACAGAAUCCGAGAAACCGGUCCUAUGAGCUAAUGGUUUGGGAAGGAUCUAAGCUGGUAAAACAGGGAACACAAUAGAGCGUUGGGCAAAAUAUCUUAAAAUCAUGUGUUCUGACUACCUGGUGGUAGUAGUUCCGAGGUUUUCCCGGGAUAUAAAGACAAAUUAUGGAUAUUGAAGGCUCGUAUUUUGGGAAGGUGAACCCCGAAAGAAACGUUGGAUGUUUUCGGUUUGACCGACAGUUUUUAAAAAUAAAUGUAUAUAUAUAUAAUAUAUAUAUAUAUAUAUAUAUAUAUAUAUAUAUAUAUAUAUAAUAUAUAUAUAUAUGUAUAUAAACACAUAUAUAUGUAUAAAUGUAUAUAUAUAUAAUAUAUAUAUAUAUAUAUAUAUAAUAUAUAUAUAUAUGUAUAUAAACACAUAUAUAUGUAUAAAUGUAUAUAUAUAUAUAUAUAUUAUGUGUGUGUGUGUGUAUAUGCACACAUAUAUAUGUGUAUAAAUGAAUAUAUAUACCUGUGUGUGUAUAUAUAUACGUAUAUAUAUAUAUACAUAUAUAUACACGUAUAUGUAUAAAUGUAUAUAUAUAUAUAUAUAUAUAUAUAUAUAUAUAUAUAUAUAUAUAUAUAUAUAUAUAUAUAUAUAUAUAUAUAUAUAUAUAUAUAUAUAUAUAUAUAUAUAUAUAUAUAUAUAUAUAUAUAUAUAUAUAUAUAUAUAUAUAUAUAUAUAUAUAUAUAUAUAUAUGUAUAUAAACACAUAUAUAUAUAUAUGUAUAUAUAUAUAUAUAUAUAUAUAUAUAUAUAUAUAUAUAUAUAUAUAUAUGUAUAUAAACACAUAUAUAUGUAUAAAUGUAUAUAUAUAUAUAUAUAUAUAUAUAUAUAUAUAUAUAUAUAUAUAAUAUAUAUAUAUAUGUAUAUAAACACAUAUAUAUGUAUAAAUGUAUAUAUAUAAUAUAUAUAUAUAUAUAUAUAUAUAUAUAUAUAUAUAUAUAUAUAUGUAUAUAAACACAUAUAUAUGUAUAAAUGUAUAUAUAUAUAUAUAUAUAUAUAUAUAUAUAUAUAUAUAUAUAUAUAUAUAUAUAUAUAUGUAUAUAAACACAUAUAUAUGUAUAAAUGUAUAUAUAUAUAAUAUAUAUAUAUAUAUAUAUAUAUAUAUAUAUAUAUAUGUAUAUAAACACAUAUAUAUGUAUAAAUGUUUUAUAUAUAUAUAUAUAUAUAUAUAUUUUGUGUGUGUGUGUGUAUAUGCACACAUAUAUAUGUGUAUAAAUGAAUAUAUAUACCUGUGUGUGUAUAUAUAUACGUAUAUAUAUAUAUACAUAUUUAUACACGUAUAUGUAUAAAUAUAUAUAUAUAUAUAUAUAUAUAUAUAUAAUAUAUAUUUAUGUGCGUAUGUGCAUGUAUAUAUAUAUGUGUGUGUGUGCAUAUACAUAAGUAUAAUAAAUGUAUGUGUAUAUAUAUUUCUAUAUAUUCCUAUGUAUUUAUAUAUAUACACAUUUAUGUAUAUAUAUUAUAUAGAUGUAUACGCACAUAUAUAUACAGACAUGCAUAGUGCACUGAUAUUAGAGAAACGGAUCGAGCAUAGUAUUUCCGGGGUGUGGUGUGGGGAGGUGUCAUGGAAAAACAAAUAUCAAAGUGCAGGAAACAGAUUUAUGUCUUAUAUGCAGUAUCGCCCGGCGUUGCUCGGGUUUGUAAGGGAAAUAACUAUAUAAGCAUUUUUAGAGAGUUACUUCCCUUAUAUAAUAGCAAAAAAAUAAUGCAUUAAAAAUGGGAAAAAAUGAUGGUAAAUUUUUUUUUUAAUCGUAGACUCAUCGUAGACGCGCGUUAAUACCCAGAAAGGCUCGAUAUGAAUCACGACUAUAAGAUACCCGGUUUUGGUUAAACUGCACCGCAAAAUGUGGGAGUAGUUAGGAAUCUAAAUUGUAGGAGACAGACACUCACACAACUUCAUUUUUAUAUAUAAAGAUAUGCAGUUGGCAUAUACGAUUGUGUUAAUGUGUGUGCAUACGUAUCACCAAAAACUGCAUUGGGUUUUGGCGAUAUUGAAACUAAUAUUUUUGCACACACACACACACAGGUAGUAAAUAGAAAUCAGCUCGAUUUUGAUAUUUUCCUCUAGACUCUGUUAAAGCCGUUGGCCCUAGAGCUGGAUAAAUGACUCGGAGUUCGAAUUACAUGGAGCAAUGUUAGUUCUUUUCUACACUGAGCUUAUUUAGUUUCUCGUCUACUAACUUUGUGUGUGUGUGUGUGUGCGCGCGCGUACGCGCGUGUGUGUGUGUGUAUGUGUAUGUGUGUGUGUGUGUGUGUGUGUUCUCAUCCUUGUUUGUCCCCUCUGUGUUUAGCCCCUUGUGGGUAGUAAAGAAAUAUAUAUUCUUUUUGUAAUAUAUUUCAGCCCUAAGCCUGUGGCCAUCCUGGGGCAUCGUCAAUGAAAGUGUGAGAUGCUUACAACACCUAGGUUUCCCAAGCGGUCACCCCUGGCCGUUGUUCCUUGCAACAUCGAUAUUCCUCCCUGUGUUUCUGAAAUCUUGUAUCCUUGCCGUAAGGCUUCAUUUCCACACACGCCAGCUUAAUUUAAUUCGUCCUUAGUCGAAAGACACCUGUUGUUAUGUCCUGUUAUUAUUAGCUUAGUUUUUCCUUGGCCAGAUUGGAGCAAUCUCAAGUAUAAUCAGCCGAAAUUGCGAAGAUAAUCUGGUACUUGACCGAGGAAAGAAAACUUCAAAUGACCCGUCCUUGUUUUAUUUGUAUCGUCUAUCUGGAUGUCUUGUUGUCCCAUUUUUGUACCACCUAACUAUCCGGAUGUUUUGCGCUCUUGUCCAAUUUUGCAUUAUAUAUAUAUAUAUAUAUAUAUAUAUAUAUAUAUAUAUAUAUAUAUAAAUAAAUGUGUGUGUGUGUGUGUGUGUUUGUCCUAUGUUUGUUCACUCCAUCACCGCUUGACAACCGGUGUUGGUGUGUCUAUGUUCCCGCGGUUCGGCAAUACUGAAACAAGUUAAAAUAGAUAAAAGAUCUGUGCGUGUAUGUGUGUGUUUAGAUGCUCAACCUCAACGGAUCAUCAGGGAAUACUUUACUGCGUUAAGUUACGGAUAGCUAUGUCCAAAGUUAUCUGUAACUCAAUGUAAUAACGUGUUCUUUGAUGAUCGGUUGUGAUUGUUAAUCUAAAUGCACCCGGAAGACCUACUGAAGGACUCCAAACACCCAUAACGGUGAAACGCACAAGGGAACUAUAAUAUAAACUUGUGUUUAUUCUUAUUUCUCCUGCAUUUGCUCUAUAAGUCAUAGCUAGUAAUACUACUCAGUAUAAAUGAUAAACCAUACAGGAAGCGGACUGGAUUAUGAUAAUCUAUGUGGAACUCUUAACAUAACAAUAACCGUCGUAGAUCUAUAUGUACACGCAAUUUCUACAUUUUUACAAACACACACACACACACACACACACACACACACACACACACACACACACACACACACACACACACACACACACACACACACACCGAGGCACUCAUAUAUUAAGAACAGAAAAGCUGGCAUUAUUUUACUCCAUGGUUUACAAUUGUUUCGACAGUGUACGGGUGACAAGUCAAACAACAUGUUUAUUGACAUCGAUUUGGUCAUGUCCAUUAAGUACUGUUUACUAGACAUAUGUUGAAGGUGCGUGUCCGAGUGUCUUAGGUGCUGCACUUGCGAUCGCCAGAUAGUGGUUUCCAUUCUCAGACAGGCGAUGCGUGAUGUUCUUGAGCAAAACACUUCAUUUCACAUUGCUCCAGUCCACUCAGUUGUAAAUAGGUUGGCCCUGCGAUGAACUGGCGUUCCGUUCAGGAGGAAUGUUGGCCUGCUCGCCUAGUCGGUGUGGUGGUAUCAUUCAAAAGCUACAGCAAACCGUGGAAGCGCAUUGUGAUAGUAGUGCAUCACAAUAUUCAAUAGUCUAGUCCAUACAAUGAUAUGUAUAUAUGCAGGGUACUGUGAGUAAACUGUCUAAAUUACGCAAAAAUGAAAAUAACACUGACAUCUCAUUUUAACAGACAUAUCUACAAAAAUUACAUAAAAAUAUCUUGAAAUACUAAAAAGUAAAUUUAUUAAAUAAAAUCGCCAUUGGCCUCAACCACGACCCCAAGACGUCUUCAGAAUCUCCUGCAACUCUUCUGGGUAGUCUCUUUGUUUAAGUUGGUGAAUGCUGCCAUAAUCCUUGCCUUCAGUUCAUCUUUGAUGUUACAAGGACUUUUGUUGGUCUCUCGCUCAGCUGCGCUCCACACAUAAUAAUCAAGGAUGUUAGGGGUGAUAUGGUCGCAGAAAUUGCCUGACAGCCAUGACUGAGUUCUCUUGCUUGUUUGGUAUGGUGCAGAGUCCUGUUGCCAGACACAGGGUCUUCCAGCAGCCACCCCCUUGACGCAGGGCAGCACUACUUCCUCCAGGCAUUUGAUGUAGGCUUCCGCGUUGAGUCUGAGGCUGUGUGGGAAGAUGAAUGGAGGCAUAAUGUCGCCAUCACUAGUGAUCACUCCAAAUACCAUGAUGUUGACUGGAUGUUUGAUUUUUAUCACUCUCAGUACAUGUCAUCAGAUUCCACUGUCAUCAGAUUGACACCCAAACACUCUGAAAUGUUCGUAUUGGAGUUUCCGGCGCGAAUGGCAAGCAGUAUAGCAUGUCAUUUCCAAAUUUCUGGCAGACUGAAUUGUAUUAUGGUGCUGUUUUUCUCACAAACGGUGCCCAACUGCCCCUACUAUACUGUGUAGUCGACAGAAUCAGAAACAUACGAUGCACAUGCGCAAAAUUAGAAAUAUAAAAUGGCGACAAUUUACCCAUCGCACCCUCUGUGUGUGUGUGUGUGUGUGUAUAUAUAUAUAUAUAAGGUUAGCCAAAAGUCACCUGACAGUAAAUCCAAGAUUUAUUUAUGUUUAACGACUGAAUGAAUUUAAUAAAAGCAUCUAAAUAUGAACCAUCGUAAAGAUUGUUCAGACUGAAGUCCUUCUUGAGCAAUACACUUCCCACUCGAGUCAAUACAGAAUUAGAGAUAGCAUUUCUAAUUCUGAAUUUUGAUUUACUGUCGGAUGACUUUUGGCGAACCCUGUCUCUCCCUCACUCUCUCUCUCUCCCUCUCUCCCUGCCUCCCUCUCCCCCUCUCUCUAUAUAUAUUCAUAUGUAUAUGUAUAUCAUUACCUGUAGACGUGACUUGACCAUCUGCGGCAGUAGAUAGAAUGACAUAGAAUCGGCAGACCGUCAUAUCAUACAGCUGGUUUUAUUUAAUUAUCUCCCCUAUCUGUUUUACAUCAGAUUUCGUCGUUGUCAGCUUUGCCAUUCUUCAAAAUGUGUUGCCUUAGCGAGCAGUCAACUGCAGUGUCUAUAGUCUACGCUGUGAUAUAUCCUGAUCUGGAUUAAGGUUUAGAAUUUAGGGUUAGAGUUAGGGGUUGGGGUUAGGGUUAGAGUUUAACAGUGCGCUAGACUGUAAACGGCCAGGGAGACCACACGCUGAGUUGGCACCAAAUAAAAUACAGGUCAAGCGGACAAAAGACUUCAUAGUAUUUUGUGACUUGUUUCUAAGUUCUGAGAUCACCUGUCGCAAACGUUAGUCAACUUUACCUUUCAAAUUUUCUUGGAGUAAAUAAAUAAGAGUAUCUCCCAGUUACUAGAGUACAUUCGCUCCACUAUAUUUUUUCUGUGAAUUUGUGGCCUAUGCCUUUCUUAGAAAUUGUCAAUAUUAUUUUACGUUCUGAGUUCAAAUUCUGCCGAGAUCAACUCUGCCAUUAAUCCUUUCAGGGUCGAUAAAAUAAGCCCCAGCUGGACACUGGAGUAGAGGCAAUCGACUAGCCCCUCACCCACCUCCAAAUUUCAAGCCUUGUGUCUUUAAGAGAAGGGAUUAGUGUUAUGAUUAAGGCGGCGAGCUGGUAGAAACGUUAGCACACCGGGCAAAAUGCUUGGCGACAUUCCGUCCGUCUUAACGUUCUGAGUUCAAAUUCUGCCGAGGUCGAUUUUGCAUUUCAUCGUUUCGAGGUCGACAAGAUAAGUAUUAGUUGAUCAGUUGGGUCGAUGUAAUCGACUUACCCACUCCCUCGGAAUUGCUGGCCUUGUUCUAAAUUUUGAAAUGAAUAUCAUGACUAAAAUCUGUAGCCACGCCUACAUCAAAAACACAAAAGCAACAACAAGAAAACAGGCCAACAACCACAGACAAAAUCAAAACAAACAAAAUCAGCAACUGUUACCAUAACAAUACCACCUACAACCAACAGUAACACAAUAUCCAACAAUAGUUACACCACCGCCGCCGAUAGCAACUCCACUGCCACCGACGACGACAACAAUAACACCAAGUGGAGGCGCAAUGGCCCAGUGGUUAGGGCAGCGGACUAGCGGUCGUAAAAACGCAGUUUCGAUUCCCAGACCGGGUAUUGUGAGUGUUUAUUGAGCAAAAACACCUAAGCUCUACGAGGCUCUAGCGUGGGUGGUGGUGAACCCCGCUGUACUUUUCACCACAACUUUCUCUCACUCUUUCUUCCUACUUCUGCCACAAAGCAGAGGAACCAUGAUGUAACCCACUAUGGUGUGGUAAACUUUCAGACCCUAGUCCAGAUUGCGAAUCCUCUGUACUCCAGGAUGGUUAGCACGCCGGGCGAAAUGUUUAGCAGUAUUUCGUCUGCCGCUACGUUCUGAGUUCAAAUUCCGCCGAGGUCGACUUUGCCUUUCAUCCUUUCGGGGUCGAUAAAUUAAGUACCAGUUACGCACUGGGGUCGAUAUAAUCGACUUAAUCCGUUUGUCUGUCCUUGUUUGACCUCUCUGUGUUUAGCCCCUUGUUGGUAAUAAAGAAAUAGGCUAUCAAUAACAUCACCAUUACCGGACAAGCCGGACAAGUUUGUUCAAAUGUCUAGAACCAUGCUUAUCUGGAAAGGGAUGUGUUAUCUUCCAAUGAAUUUUACUGAAAGGUGGAUGAAAAUGGCGAGAGUGGUUCACGGAAAUGGGCCUACCCUGAACAUGCUCCUAAAGGCUAGAGAACACACUUGGGAGAGGGCUCUUGGUAGUCAGGGUAAUCCUGUAUCAGUGUGUUUCUUCGCUUGGCUUCGUCUUAUUUCAUACCUUUUCUAUUCCUUUUUAUUUUGUUUCCCAGGGUUUUUUCUGUCCAAAGUAUCACCGUUUGUCCUUGUAACACUGCUUCUACUAUUGACUGAGUGGCAAAUUGUUUUUGCUAUUAUCUUAUAAUAAUUCUGCUUGUCAUUCCGUUACUUAGUCCGUUGGUAACGCUUUCACAUGAUUAGAGAAAAAGAAGAAAGAAAAGAGCGAAAGAUAAAAGAGAGAGAGAGAAGUGUUCAUGACGUAAGGUAGAGGGAAUGUAAUUGUAACGCUUUCACGUUAUUAAGUGAAAGGAAAGAGAUGAGAAAGAAAAAGGAGAGAGAAAAAAGGAUAAGGCGAAGAGUGAAACAGAAAGAGGGAGAAAGAAAAAAAGGGAGAGAGAAAAAAGGAGAGCGAAAAAGAGGGAGAGAGAAGCGUCUAUGACGUGAGGUAGGGGAACGUGAUAUUAUGUGGUCAAAGAAGUUAGUUGACGGUAGUGAUAAUAUAGAGGAGGAGAGUUAAAAAUGUUUUAGCAAAGGGUUCAUGUUCUGAUGGUGAGAUUAAAGGAAGGCACAGAGAGAGAGAGAGAGAGAGAGAGAGAGAGAAGAGUGAUAGAGAGAUGAUGAUAGUGGUGGUGGUGGUGAAGAUGGAGGUGUUGGUGGUGGUGAUUGGAUAGUGAAAAGUGUAUUUUUAAAAAAUUGAACCAAGCUUUUUUUAAUACCGCCUAUCACUUAACGCAUGCGUAUAAGUGCAAUUCCGUGAAAUAUUGGUGCUCCUUUAAGUGGCAGAUAUAUGCAAUUUAACUAAAGAUUGUAUCAUAUGUAUGGGAUAUUUUUUUUGCUUAUAGGGAAAAAUGGAAAAAUAAGAGUGAAUAUUUAUCUUAUGAGUGCUGUGUAUUAAGUCUAUAAAAUUGCGCAUAAUAUAUAUAAAGACCCCCUUCGGUCAUGAGUGACCAUGGGUUUGCACCUAGAGAGUUACCCUCUAAGGCACAAGUCUGGGCAAGGUUUUUUUUUUAUGGAAGACCAGUAGUCGCCCAUGCAUACCGGCCUCCCCUCUCCACGCCACCAGUGUUAUCCAAGGGAAAGACAAAGGUCGAUACAGCUUGGCACCUGUGACGUCGCAACUCAUUUCUACAGCUGAGUGAACUGGAGCAACGUGAACUAAAGUGUCUUGCUCAAGAACACAACACGCAGCCCGGUCCGGGAUUCGAGCUCACAACCUCACGAUCGUAAGCUCGACGCUCUAACCACUGAGCCAUGCGCCUUCACUAUAUAAUAUAUAUAACGUAUAUAUAUAUAUAUAAAGUGCAUUAAGUAAUCAUCGUUUAUCAAUUUCUUUCACUGUUCAGAUGAGCGAUUAUCUUUCCAUACAGACACAGUACAGGCUACGCUUUCAGUUUUUUUUGGAUAAAGUUUCCAAAAAUAACCCAAUAGGUUUACAAUUAAUUCCGCGAAAUAUUAACGGUUCCCGCUAGUUAUUAUUAAGACGGCUAAGGCGGCGAGAUGGCAGAAACGUUAACACGCCGAGCGAAAUGCUUAGCGGUAUUUCGUCUGCCGUUACGUUCUGAGUUCAAAUUCCGCCGAGGUCGACUUUGCCUUUCAUCCUUUCGAGGUCGAUUAAAUAAGUACCAGUUACGCACUGGGGUCGAUAUAAUCGACUUAAUCUGUUUGUCCCUUCUGUGUUUAGGCCCAGAAUUUGAACUGAGAACGUAAAGACAGAUGAAAUACCUAUUUCUUUACUACCCACAAGGGGCUGAACACAGAGAGGACAAACAAGGACAGACAAACGGAUUAAGUCGAUUAUAUCGACCCCAAUGCGUUACUGGUACUUAUUUAAUCGACCCCGAAAGGAUGAAAGGCAAAGUCGACCUCGGCGGAAUUUGAACUCAGAACGUAUCGGCAGACGAAAUACGGCUACGCAUUUCGCCCGACGUUCUAACGAUUCUGUCAGCUCGCCGCCUUUUUAUGUUAUAUUAUUGGACCGUAAUAGUGUUGCUUAUGUUAUAACAAUAGGGGAAAGUAAACUGUGUUAAAUUUUGUUUUUAAAAUGAGAUCGUUUUCCAUAAGAUCUGGGUUUCCGUUAGCGUAGCUAGUUUUUGCAUUGUCUAGAAGCCCUGGUGGUUAUUUUUUGUUCAUAUUCUUCAUCGUGCCAUGUACAGCAAUCUUAUUAGAACUAUUUUUAUUGUGAUAACCCACAUCUUGCGUAUUUCCCUUUUGUGGUUCUUGCAUUGUUUUUGUACUUUUCAAUUCUUUUCAUGCGAUGGCUUUGAUUAAAAGAGAUAUAAAUUUUAAUGUCAGUCUAACUGAUUUACUUUAAUAUCACCGUGACCCAAAUUAUCGUAACCAGACCAUAGUCACGUUCCGAGUUUUGUACAUGCUUGUAACACAACGAUUUUUAUAUCGAGGUGUCGGCGGAUAAGGCUUUGCAAAGUCUGGACAGCUAGAAAAGUUAUGGACAGUUGUUUUAUCUAUUUUGACUGCAUAGUCUGCUGUUCCUGUUAGCCUAUUGUCUCAGCAUUUAAUUUUCAGACGAAUCGUGCCGGACACUGGUCAGUGGAAGCUUAUUUUUACCAUUUUGUUUUUACUUUCGAAUUCCAUUUUCUUUUUAUCCUAUUUUCUUUUUAAAAAUAUUUUCCUCUUUUUACUUUUUUACUUUCUCGUCAUAUAAAUAUUUAUUUUUCAGCUUAAAUUAUCUAUUAGUGGCGAUCUUUCGUCUCUAGUAGACCUUUCCGUCGAUUUCCGUAAAAAAAUUUUUUUUUACAUAUGGGCUUGCGGGAACUUUUGAAGUAAUAUACAUACAUAUACACAUACACCGAGUAAAAAAUUUCAGUUAUCUCUUUCUUUCACACAUUACUCUGUCUCUUCACACACACUAACAGAAGCACUUCACUUACACAACAAACUGUCUGUCUCCCACACCCCAAAUAACACACACACACACACACACAUGUACAUCAAUGCUUCACAUGCACGGUAACUUCAAAAGAAUUUCCCUCGUCAUACAAUCGCUGUCUCUUAGUCUCUCAUUACUUCAAAAGUUCCCGCAAGCCCAUAUGUAAAAAAAGAAAAUUUUUUUACGGAAAUCGACGGAAAGGUCUACUAGAGACGAAAGAUUGCCCUAUUAGUUUGUGUUUCAUUGUUUUCAUAUAGCCACCUUAUUAAAAUAACCAGUAUCUUUUGGUACCCUUCGUAAUUACUCUCUCUUUGUAUUUAGCCCUUCUUCGUUGUGCGCGGAUAGGCAUAUCUUAUCUAGAUCUAUUUUAAGAUGGUGAGGUCAGAAUGUCGCGAACAGUCUUCCCCCACUCUGUCUAUUUAUAUACAUACACAGUCAAUUUAUUAUAUUGAAGAUGUACUUUAUGACUCCGAUGGCUUAUGUUAAACACAUCUUAUUUUUAGCCUUGCUUUCAAGUUUUAAUAUUAGUCCAACUCUGCAAGACAGCAAACUGACAGAAUUGCAACCAUGCCGCGCAAAAUGCUUAGCGGCAUUUCGUCCGUCCUUACGUUCAAAUUCCGCUGAGAUCGACCUUACCUUUCAUCCUCUUUCAGGGUCGAUAAAGUAAGUAUCUGUCGAGUACUGGUUUGCUGUCAUCGACUAUUCCCCUCCCCUCCACCGAAAUUACUGGCCUUGUACCAAAAUUUGAAACCAAAAUUAGUCUCUUAAGGCGGAGGGCUAACAGGAUCGUUAAGCCUACCGGACAAAAUUUUUAAGGGCAUGUAAUCCGUCUUUACGUUCCGAGUUCAAAUACGACUUUGCCUUUCAUCCUUGCGGGAUCGAUAAAAUAAGUACCAGUUGAGUAUUGGAGUCGAUAUAAUCAACUCCACCCCUCAUAUUUGCUGGCCUUGUGCCAAAAUAAGAAAAGAAUAUCAUUCUAGCUUUUCAAUAGCACCUCUUUUUAAAAAAUUAUCUGUUUCAUUUUUGUGCUGCACCCAGUCAGUUUCUUGUGAGUAUUGACUGAUUUCUGCUAAUUCACCGAUUUCAUUUUCUAAAUCUAACUUAAUUAAUUUGCUUCUCCUUCCGGUAGCUUUGAUACACUUUUUUAAUCCCUACUUAUUUUGAUACCACGUGUAAAUUUAAAUAUAGCUUUUACUAGGUCCCCCUGGGAGAUGCUGUGUCUCGUUAUUAUCACUUACUUUUUCUUCUUUACAUGUUCCAGUAUUUGGGCUGCGGUCAUGCUGGGGCACCGUCUUGAAGGGCUUAGCUACAAAAAAUCGGUGGUAUUUUUAAAAUCUGGAGCUUAUUCUCUCGGUCACUUUUGUCGAAUCGCCGAUUUACAGUAACGUAAAGAAACCAACACCGGGUGUCUAGCAGUGGUAAGGUGUCUAGCGUGGAGGUUAAAUUUGACAGUUUGCGUGAAAGGAAAAGAAAACACAAAUAUCCCAUCCAUAAAAUAAAAGUAUUUUACAAAAUAAAAAAAAAAUAUCAACUUGAUUAUGACUGGGAGAUAACAGUUUACUCAAAGUAGCUGCCCUCAGCCUCCACCAUGGGCUCAAGACGGCUCCGGAACCUGGCACAUGCUUUCCCCCACCGGAAAGAUCUUCGAACACCUCCCUGAUCUUGGCCACUAGCUCGGCUUUGGUGCUGCAGACUGAGCGGUUAGUGUCUUUCUCAACCGCGUCUCACACAGUAAUCGAUGAGAUUAAAAUCACGCACUCACGCUCCGUUUAAACAAGUACAGGUGCACGUAUUGUUCGAUCGUCUUGGAUACCAGUUUGGUUAUAAUCUAACUGAAGUUCUUUGAAACGCAACUCAUGCUGAACUGUAUUAUUCAGCUUCGUCACUAUUGGUUUCGUGUUAUUUAUAAACUUGAAAAAAAGAAAAAAAAAAGAACUGAAAUUCGCAACAGGUAUACGACAUCAAAUAUAUAAAUAAAUCCUAAUUUCUCUCUUUUCUUUGAAAGUUUCAAAAUUCAUCUUUUUUUUUCUGAAAUCAGCGUGAAUUCUAUAAGUGUUGAACUCUAGACACUUCUAGUUUGGAGUAAAUAGAUGCUUGGCUACUUUCUUCUGAGUUAAGCUGACCAGGUUAAGUAGAAUGAUAUAACUAACCUCAGGCGCAGCAACAUCAAUAAGAAUUCAAAAUCUUAGUGACUCUAUUAUUCUGAACGGUUAGAAAACGUUAAUCUUCUAAUGUUUCUCAUUUUAUUUUCAGUGACAAAGACAUUUAUUUAAGCGUUCGUUAAUAGCGUAAACACGAUCAAUGAUUAUCUUUAUGAGCGAUUUGUUCAGCAAUUAUCACCUAUAGUUUUCAAAUGGAUACAAUAAAGAAGAAACAGAAAUGCUGCAAUUUUUAUCUGCUUAUUCAGGCCAAAAAGGCCUAAAAUGCUUACGCAUACUACCUCUUAUCCUUGAAUUAACCACUAUAAAAAUAUGUACAAUACUGCACGUGGUUGAGUGGCGGGUGUACAAGAACGACUGUGUGAUUAAGAAACUCUCUGUGAUGUUUUGGAAAGGUUUGAACCUCAAAGAAUGAAUGACAUUCCUAGAAUGCAUGGUAAGUCGGGGGUCUGCGACGGCAUCAGCAGCGUAGGGUAGUGGCUAUUUUUUGUUUGUCCUAACUGGAACAAAAAAGUCAGAAUUCUUCAGUCGCUUUAAUGAUCUCAACACCUUCAUGCAGGGAACGAUGGCUUCAUGUUUUACAACGGCAGACAAGAUCGACGGACAGAAACGAAAGCUAGAAGCAUGGAAGAGUCGAGUGUCAAGACAUUGUUAUGGCAUGUUUCGUCAAUUAGCGACAAUCAUCGCUGAUGCAGGGGAAGACCUUAAUAUUACAUCUCUACGAAAUGUCAUCAGAGAACAUUUGACGGAUCUUGCAAACCGGUUUCAGUUUUACUUUCCAGCAGCAGAUGAUCCACGGAAAGGGAAUGGAUGGAUCUGAAAUCCAUUUCUUCCACUGCAAUGGCAUGUUUCGUCAAUUAGCGACAAUCAUCGCUGAUGCAGGGGAAGACCUUAAUAUUACAUCUCUACGAAAUGUCAUCAGAGAACAUUUGACGGAUCUUGCAAACCGGUUUCAGUUUUACUUUCCAGCAGCAGAUGAUCCACGGAAAGGGAAUGGAUGGAUCUGAAAUCCAUUUCUUCCACUGCAAUGGCAUGUUUCGUCAAUUAGCGACAAUCAUCGCUGAUGCAGGGGAAGACCUUAAUAUUACAUCUCUACGAAAUGUCAUCAGAGAACAUUUGACGGAUCUUGCAAACCGGUUUCAGUUUUACUUUCCAGCAGCAGAUGAUCCACGGAAAGGGAAUGGAUGGAUCUGAAAUCCAUUUCUUCCACUGCAAGAUGACUUAAGUGUCAUUAUGGAGGAUAAAUUGUUGGAGUUGGCUGGUGACGAAAGAUUGAAGAGGAGUUUCGAAACUGCAACAUCACUUGGUCCCUUUUGGAUUAAAGUGAAAGCAGAAUAUCCUGAGCUUAGCGAAAUUGCUCUGAAAACUCUUCUCCCAUUUCUUUCAACAUACAUCUACGAGACUGGCUUCUCAACCAUGAGUGCCAUUAAUACAAAGUACAGAAAUAAUAUGGAUAUUCAUUCUCCAUUGCGCGUGGCACUGUCCUCAAUUGAACCACGACUAGAUAAACUGACAAAGAAGAAGCAGGCUCACCAUUCGCAUAAGUAAACAUUAAGAUGAUAAAAUGCUUAUGUAAUAUUGUAUUAUUUGUUUACAAAAUAAAUUGAAUACAAUCAUUAGAGUUGGGUUGAUAGUGUUCUGAAAAGCAGUAGCGAUAGAAUACAGUAGAUUGGAGGGUGGGGUGGGGAGAUAGUUAAGGAUUGGAGGGCAUCGCGACAGAUGUUACAAUGACAAAAAAUUCACCCGAUCAAUUAUUCAAAGCGAAAUACUUCGGAUGUCAGAGCCAAGGCGUGCGCUCUUAUCACCAUGGAACAAAACGUGUUCGAUGGGUCCAGAUGGUAGAUGUGGGAGAUGACAAGAAAUCCACGUUUAGGUCUUUAAGGGAUCACGAAGAAGCGUGCUGUUCGAUUCCAGACUGAUGAGUGUAGUUUUCUAGCAGUAUAUUACCUGGGGAUGGGUGGGGGGUAAGAAUCUAAAGAAUGGGAGACAAAUUGCAUUGAGUCAUUGAGUUAUUUCCCCCUUUAUGAAAUGUAUUUGAAGAUCGACGAUGUUGACUUUUAUUUUAUCUUUUCGAUGUCAGUAAAAUAAACAUCAGUCUAAUGCUGUAUUUCAUUGUACCUGUGUUAUAAGUCAGUAUUAUUAUUAUGCGACGAAAGGCCGCGAGCUGGCGGAACCUUUAGCACGCCGGGCAAAAUUCUUAGCGGCAUUUCGUCCGUCCUUACGUUCUGAGUUCAAAUUUUGCCGAGGUCGACUUUGCCUUUCAUCCUUUCGGGGUCGAUAAAUUAAGUAUCAGUGAAUCACUGGGGUCGACUAGGCUACUCUCCAAAAAUGUCGGGCCUUGUGCCUAGAGUAGAAAGGAUAUGCGAAGAGAAAGGCUGGGAUAAGGAUAUCAGUAGAGUUCCAGACGCAAUGCCUUGCGGUAGUCGUUACGGCUUUCUGACUCCGAGUUCAAAUGUUAUAAAGGAUGGACUUUGCCUUUCAUCUUCAAGGAUCUAUAAAACAAAUACCAGUAAAUAAGCUCGACUUAUUCGAUUAUUCUGCCUACCAAAAUGCGUGUUCCUGGAAAUAUAUUGGAAGUGUUAGAAUUAUUUUUAUCAUCUUCAUGGUUUUUUUAAAUGCGGCAUAUUGGCCGAGUCAUUAGCAUACUACACUUAAUGCUUAGCAGCAUUUCGUCCGUUUUCACAUUCUGAGUUCGAUUUCCGCAGAGGUUGAUUUUUUUUCUUCUACCUUUCACCCAUUCAAGGUUAAUAAAAUCAGUGCCAGUUAAGCACUAGGGGUCGAUGUAAUCGACUAGCCCCUCCCCACCAAUAAAAUUUCAGGCCUUGUAGCUAUAGUAAAAUAAAAUAAAAUAAAUGGGGUCCUUUUAAAGCCUAGCCAGGCUCAGGGGCCCGGUUUCUCGGUUUCAAUGGCGUAUGUGUUCCCCAGCUGGACGGGACGCCGGUCCAUCGCAGCGUUACUCAUUUUUGCCAGCUGAGUGGACUGGAGCAACGUGAAAUGAAAUGUUUUGCUCAAGAACACAACACGUCACCCGGUCCCGGAAUCGAAACCACAAUCUUAUGAUCAUGAUGCUGACACCCUAACCACUAAGCCACGCGCCUCCACUGUACCUAUAGCAGAAAAGAUUAUUAUCCUAUUUUCAUUAUUUUUUUUUAAGGUGGCAUGGUGGCAGAAUCGUUAGCAUGCCAGAUAAAAUGCUAAAUGGCGUUUCUUCUAGCUUUACGUUGAGUUCAAAUUCUACCGAGGUCGACUUUGCUUUUCGAAAGUGCCACUCACAUACUGGUACUUUCCCACAAAAUUGAUGACCCUAUGCCAAAAUUAGAAUUUUUAUCAUGUUUUUAACUGUUUCUAUUGCACCAGUAAACUCUCUGUGUUUCAGAGGUUUGUACAUCACCUUUUUUUUAUUUCUAUGCUUCAACUAUUUUUAUUAUAUUGCACAAUUUGCUUGUGUUGUGUUAAGUAUUCUUUUAGCGUUUCUCUUUGACUGUUGUGUAGAAGAAUAUGUGUAAUAUAAACUGUAUUAUUUCGAUAGGUGAUGUGAUUAUUUGAGUAGUUGUGUAGAGCAUGGGAUGUUUGAGUUAUGUUAUAUUAUUGAUUGCAAAUAUGUGGAAUAUAAUUUGUGGGGGCGAAGUUGUUGAUGUGUAGGAUGUGUUGUUAUAUCAGAUAUCGAUUAUAUAAGUAUUAUUUUAUAGGUUAGUGUUUGUGUGGAGUAUGUGCUGUGUUUAUUUGGUGGCGAUUGUACACAGCCAUGAUUGCCAAAUUUUCUCAGAGCGCAACGCGUAUAUUGAUAGCUAGCUUCAAAAUGUCCUAGGAAGUCAUUUCAACACAGAAAAUAUAUUAAAUUAUUUAAAUAUGCAAUACGAGUAAAAAAUGGAAGCACGCAUUAAAUGAUUGCUACAAAGCUAAUGUGACACCUGACUUUGAUGUGAUUUACAAAUUUUAUUCGGUUGUUAAGGAAUAUUUGACAAAGCGCCGAAUAGAAACAGUUUCAGUCGAUAGAAAUGUUAUUUCUUUGUUUUGAUGUUCGUUAAUGACGAGAACGCCCGUUCGCAUAAAUAUGAGGUAGAAAACAGCUCUAAUGCUUUUAAAACAUUUCCUGUAAUCUCUGGCGGGAUCCUUUUGUAUCGAUACCCAGUAGCUGUCAAUUGAUUGUUGGGCAAAUUUUUGAUUUUAAUGUAAUGUCACAGAAUACGUCAGUCAGUUGGUCUCGUGCAUCAGUGAGUUUAGUACUAUCGUGAGAAUUCACAAACAAUGGCACAAUACAUUGAAGGAUUGUAACUGAUUGAGUCCUUGUAGCUGAGUUAGAUGCUUCCACAUUUGUGUCAGUAAUACUUCUACAUAUCAAAAGAAUGGAAACAUGCUAAAACCCCACUUCUGAAUGGUAUUUUUGUUUCAAGACUUCAAUUUUCUGGAGAAGUGAUCUUAGUCCUGGUUCAUAGAAAUAAUUAAAUAUCUUUGCAUUGCCUCCAAUGAUUCGUAAAGGAGUCUAUCUCUACGUCGUCAAGAAACAAGAAAUAAGGCGGCGAGCAGGCAGAAACGUUAGCACGCCGGGCGAAAUGCGUAGCCGUAUUUCGUCUGCCGUAACGUUCUGAGUUCAAAUUCUGCCGAGAUCGACUUUGCCUUUCAUCCUUUCGGGGUCGAUAAAUUAAGUACCAGUUACGCACUGGGGUCGAUAUAAUCGACUUAAUCCGUUUGUCUGCCCUUGUUUGUCCCCUCUCUGUUUAGCCCCUUGUGGGUAGUAAAGAAAUAAGUAUUUCGUCUGCCGCUACGUUCUGAGUUCAAAUUCCGCCGAGAUCGACCUUGCCUUUCAUCCUUUCGGGGUCGAUAAAUUAAGUACCAGUUACGCACUGCACUGGGAUCGAUGUAAUCGACUUAAUCCCUUUGUAUGUCCCAGUUUGUUCCAUCUAUGUUUAGCCCCUUGUGGGCAAUGAAGAAAUAAGAAACAAGAAACUACACGCGGUACAAUACAUUUAUUUUAGUAUAAGUAGAAAAUCACAACUUUCCUUGGGUAUUCAGGACUUGACAACUCGGCAUAAAUCUCGGAAAAUCAAUGUUCUGAACCGUUCCCGUUUUUGUGCAUGUGCUAAGCAUGUAUACUUGUAGUUCUACGUUAGCCUUGAUCGAGAAAAACAUUCAGUCAAAAUUGGUUUUUCACCGUUUAAAAGCUUUUGCUAAUAUUGCUACUCAGCCAAGGCUUUUAUAGAGUUACAUGUAUUACAUAUAUUUCCUUUGUAUUUCGACACUGAACCUUUGCACAUGAGCAAAGAAAUAAAUUACACUGCUAAGUGUUUGUUUAGAAUGAUUCUUCUACUGUUCGAAGCUCGGGUCCAACGCUUUAAAAAGUCUGCUAAUUGAUCACCUUACACACACACACACACACACACACACACACACACACACACAUACACACACAUGGGCUAUGCAGGUGAAAAAUUUAUAUUAUAUGUUGUUCGUGUUUAAGAUUUAUACCUUUGUGAUUUGUAGUCCGCCUACAAGCAUUUUGCUUGUAUAUAUUCAAGUAGAACUAUACUGUACUUCAAAAUAUACUCACCAUGAUAAAUCGGUAGCCACUACACACAUUUUGUUUUUCUCUCCUUGUUUCUCUCCUUGUUUCUUUCUGUGUUCCUUUCUGUAGAAGAGCGUAGGCUCGAAACGUAAAAGACUUUUUCAAUUCCUGAGCGUUAUACUAAAACACCUGUUUGUUUUCUACACCAACUGUCUUUUGUUUUUUUUUUGUGAAUUCUCCCUAUACUUUUAAAGAUCUUUUGAUCCCCAUUAUAUGUAGUUUUAUUGUCUUAAGGUGUCGAAUCACGUUGAUGUCCGGUAGGUAGCUGACGAAGGAAGCUCCUCGUUGUGUUAAAUAUAUUUGCAUCCUCUCGUUAUUGUCUCUGAUCAUUGUUACUGUCCUGUUGGACUGGAUUAGUUUAGCUUAGGAUAUUACGGGUGGGUAUGUUAUAGGGGUUAGACAAUUUUUAUUAUAGGCAUAUAAUGGUUUGUAAAUAAUUAUAGUUUAACGUGGUCGGAAUAUCGCUAAAAGGCAGCUAGCUGUAAAGCAUACAUAUAUACAUGUGUUCAUACAUAUAUACAAACGUUCGUAUAUACCUACAUGCGUACAUUCAGACACACACAAAUAUACAUGGAUGCAUGUUUAGGGAAGCUGGUUUAGUCGAUAGAUAUUUUUAUCUUUUGUUUCAGUCAUUUGACUGUGGCCAUGCUGGAGUACCGCCUUGAAGGGUUUUAGUCGAACAAAUCGACACCAGAACUUAUAUUUCUUAAAGUCUGGUACUUAUUUUAUUGUUGUCUUUUGCCGAAUCGCUAAGUAACGGGAACGUAAACACACCAACACCGGUUGUCAAGCGGUGGUGGGGGAAAGCACAGACACAAAGAUACAUACACAUGAAUAUAUACAUAUAUGUAUCUGUGUGUAUAUAUAUAUAUAUAUAUAUAUGUAUACGAUGAGCUUUCAGUGUCUGUCUACCAAAUGCAUUCACAAGGCUUUGGUCGGCUUGAGGCUAUAGGGGAAAAUAUGUCCAAGGUACCACACAGUGGGACUGAACUCAGAACCACGUUGUAAGAAAGCAAACAUUUUACCACAUAGCCACGCUUGCUGAGAAAUUAAAAAUAAACCUACUAUAGAAGAACAUAGGGUUUGCAUCGGCCUCUGGGCAGGUAUCGCCAUGACAAACACCUUCCUUCCAAGCACUGCUGUAAUCAGCAGAAGUGGGCUAGAAUGUAAAAACACAGCAGAGUUUUAGAGAUUAUUUUGACCAGAUACACUGUGGCAAGAUUGUAUAUGUAUUCACACAUCUACAUUGAAAUACGUAUGUAUGUAUGUAUGUAUGUAUGUAUGUAUGUAUGUAUGUAUGUAUGUAUGUAUGCAUGCAUGCAUGCAUGCAUGCAUGUAUGUACAUGCGUAUGUAGGUAUAUUUGUAUGUUUAUAUGUACGUAUGUAUGUAUCGUUGCAUGUUUAUACGUAUGUGUGUAUGUAUAUUUCUAUGUAGAUCGAGUUCUUUCAGAGGCAACUGUCUCCAAUUGGUGCAGCUGGUUCCUCAAACAAGGAGACCAAUCGAACUCAUGGAUGUUACCCAACCAUCUUGCUUCUGGUCUACCUCUGAUUCUCUUGCCAGCUGGUUGUUCGCGUAAAACAUGUUCAGCGAUUCUUUCUUGAGACAUUCUCACCACAUGUCCGAAGUAUCGGAGUUGUGAUUUCUCAAUUCGGAGAAGUAGUGGCUCUAACUGGAGCACCUCUCCGAUCUCCGAGCUACACACUCUACCGAGAACGCUACUUCAGAGUUUGGAGAAAUAAAAGUUAAAAUAUUAAACUCUAAAAUUACACCUGCUGAAAUUAUUACUUAAAACCUAAAAAUCUAAAUCUAUCUCUCUAUAUAUAAACGGCAGUUUGUCUGUGUGUGUUUCUGUGUGUCUGUUAGGUUGUACCCUCACCCUGACCACGGCUUUCAACCGAUUCUGAGGAAACUUGACACACACAUAGCCCAAUGUCAUAAUUCAAAACUAACGCAGCGAAAAUUUUGAAAAGUUCCCCCAGUUCUGAAAAAAUCGAUAAAUUCGACAUGGGGUCGAGAAUCAGAAACACAAACCACGGACUGUCUAGGGGACGCAACUCGACCUUUUUAACUAAAAAAAAAAUUUACCAUCAUUUUUUUCCCAUUUUUUGGCUAUAACUCUCUAAAAUGCUUUAUAGUUAUUUCCCUUACAAACCCGAGCAACGCCGGGCGAUACUGCUAGUCUAUUAUAAAAGCUAUUUACUGAAUAGAAUAUUUGCCAGCUAUCUCAAAUCAGUUUUUGUAGCUUCGACGUAAACAACCUAAUUUCUGUAAAAGACACCUCAUUAGAACAAAUUGACAGCUGCUGAAAGUCUAUUUGGGAAAGAAAUGAUAAAUUCUAUAAUCAAGUUGUAUGAAUAGAAAAACUAGAAAAAGAUAAGCAAGCAUAUUCAAGAAAACAAUAAGAAAAUUUAGAGAACAGUUAUGUGAACAGUCUUAAAGAAAAUGAGAAACAGGAAUCCCCAGGCCCAGAUCUUUAUAACAGGAUAAAAUAAAUAAAUAAAUGCGCCCUUUUAAAGCCUAGCCAGGCUCAUGGGCCCGGUUUCCCGGUAUCAAUGGCGUUUGUGUUCCCCAGCUGGAUGGGACGCCAGUCCAUCGCAGCGUUACUCCUUUUUGCCAGCUGAGUGGACUGGAGCAACGUAAAAUGAAGUGUUUUGCUCAAGAACACAACGCGUCGUCCGGUCCAGGAAUCGAAACCACAAUCUUACGAUCACGGUGCUGACACCCUAACCACUAAGCCACGCACCUCCACUUUAUAACAGGAUUGUGUGACCCCCCUUCGGUCAUGAAUGACCAUGGAAUUGCACAUAGAAAGUUACCCUCCGAGGUACAAGUCUGGGCAAGGUUGUUUAUGGAAGACCAGCAGUCGCCCACGCAUACCAUCCUUCCCUCUCCACACCACCAGUGUUAUCCAAGAGAAAGGCAAAGGCCGAUAAAGCUUGGCACCAGUGACGUCGUAGCUCAUUUAUUAACAUACAAGUGGCUGAGCACUCCACAGACACGUGUACCCUUAACGUGGUUCUCGGGGAGAUUCAGCGUGACACAGAGUGUGACAAGGCUGGCCCCUUUGAAAUACAGGUACAAGAGAAACAGGAAGGAAGAGUGAGAGAAAGUUGUGGUGAAAGAGUACAGCAGGGUUCACCACCACCCCCUGCCAUAGUCUCGUGGAGCUUUUCGGUGUUUUCGCUCAAUAAACACUCACAACGCCCGGUCUGGGAAUCGAAACAGCGAUCCUACGACCGCGAGUCCGCUGCUCUAACCACUGGGCCAUUGCGCCUCCACUAUAGCAGGAUAGUGGUUCAAUAAUUUCACCUUUUAUCGGCGAGAUUUGAUAACGUUGUAUAAAAAGAGUAUCAGGAGUAAGUUUGAUGCGCCUAACUGACUGUCAGUUAUCAUUUACCCGUCUCCUGAAAAGAAGCCAAAUCACCAAAGCAAAAAAUUACCGCUUAAUUGCCUGCCAGACCAUCAGGUGCGAGAUCUACAAUGUAUGUAUGUAUGUAUGUAUGUAUGUAUGUAUGUAUGUAUGUAUGUAUGUAUGUAUGUAUGUAUGUAUGUAUGUAUGUAUGUAUGUAUGUAUGUUUUUAUGUAUGUAUGUAUGUAUGUAUGUAUGUUUUUAUGUAUGUAUGUAUGUUUGUAUGUAUGUAUGCAUGCAUUUACUUAUGUAUGUAUGUAUGCAUUACUUAUGUAUUUAUGUAUGUAUGCAUGCAUUUACUUAUGUAUGUAUGCAUGCAUUACUUAUGUAUUUAUGUAUGUAUGCAUGCAUUUACAUAUGUAUGUAUGCAUGCAUUUACUUAUGUAUGCAUGUAUUUAUGUAUGCAUGUAUGUUUGUAUGCAUGUAUGCAUGCAUUUACUUAUGUAUGUAUGUAUGUAUUUAUGUAUGUAUGUAUGUUUGUAUGCAUGUAUGCAUGCAUUUACUUAUGUAUGUAUGCAUGCAUUACUUAUGUAUUUAUGUAUGUAUGCAUGCAUUUACAUAUGUAUGUAUGCAUGCAUUUACUUAUGUAUGCAUGUAUUUAUGUAUGAAUGUAUGUUUGUAUGCAUGUAUGCAUGCAUUUACUUAUGUAUGUAUGUAUGUAUGUAUGGAUCGAUGUAUGUAUGUAUGUAUGCAUGUAUUUAUGUAUGUAUGUAUGUUUGUAUGUAUGUGUGCAUGCAUUUACUUAUGUAUGUAUGUAUGUAUGUAUGAGUUGGUAGAUAGCAGAAGACCAGCGCAUAAACCUUUAAACUAAAGUUUAAGGAUUGCCUUAAAAAUGCUCCAAUACAAACAGGAAUUGCAGCUGGUGAUCGGGAGAGGGAGGUACAAGACCGUGAUGGAUGGAGGAAGAUAGUGCAUGAUGGUUGUUCAAGGUUUGGGAGGGAGAGAAUGAACUAUGAGAGAAUUAGGAGGGGUCUUAGAAGGAGGGAACCUGUGGAAAGUGAGAGAGUUGCUUUUUGUGUGAGUGGGCAUACAUGUAUACAGAUAUUCGUAUAUACCUACUUGCGUAAAUUCAUACACACACAAACAUACAUGGAUGCAUACAUACAUGUUUGGGUGCCUGUUUAGGGAAGCCGGUUUAGUCGAUAGAUAUUUUUUUAAUAUUUUAUUUCAGUCAUUUGACUGUGGCCAUGCUGGGGUACCGCCUUUCUCGGACUACAAGCGACUACCAUUAUACGUAGCCUGUGUUGUGUGGACGUCCCCAGACGUUAAAGUAGGCUAGCCCAAUACGUAGAUAUAGAGGGAGAAGUCUGGACGUCAGAGUAGAGAUGAGCGCAGUAGAGCACAGCUGAGUUGAGAGUAGAGUUGAGUAGUAGAGGCAUCCGAACGUGCGACAUAACACAUGGUAACGAAAGAGGCUGUUAAUUAUGGUUGGAGUGUCAACGGUCGUCCCAACAGUCGGAAGUGAGAGACCCAUAGAUUUUGUUUAGACAUCUCUCUGGGAGAAGGAAAUUUCGAAAUAACACCCACCUCAUUACGAAGGAGAUUUUGUUUCUGGGUUAUUUGACUUUGUACGGGAGAGUCUUGGUGGCAUUUUGUAAGGGAUCUUUUCUGAUUACCUUCAUUUUUUGAAAUUUUAAAAUUAAGUUUUUGUGCAAAUUUGUUGGUACAUAACUUAAUGCACCUACGAUGCACAUUUUGCUCAUGUUCUGUUGUUAAUUUUACUGGCCACAUUACUGCUUAUCACGGAUCGAUUCCUGUGAGAAUUUUGAUGGCUCACCAGGCCUGCACAACUCAAACACCUCCUUCCACAAACCACACACACAAAAAGCAACACUCUCUCACUUUCCACAGGUUCCCUCCUUCUAACCCUCCUCCUAAUGAGAAUCCAUAGCCUGGGUACAAGAUCUGUAAGUUCCACAUAAAUUCACCAUAGGACUUUUGAUUGUACAUUCACAUAUGCUGGGUUGCUGAUCUCUACAACUGUGCACGACAUUUGUUCCCUGUCUCUUAGAACAAUAUCAGGUCUGUUAUGCUUGCACUGAAUUGAUGUUUUUGCUGAAGUGUUACAUAAGUAUUCCCUGUUUUUAAAGGUGUGAAUAUCUGUUGGUUCUUAUACGCUUUUGAUAUAUACAUCUGAGCAGUCCUUCCAAUGGUUAGCAUUGUAAAUAAUCUUUGCAACUAUAUUAUGCCUCAGGGGCAGAUAGUAUUUCGUAGACAUUUUGGGGGGCAGCUGCUGCUGAUGUAUGUAUGUAUAGAAAUAAGAUGGUAAUUUAUUUUCGAAUGUCGUGACGCCGUUAGAAGAGCAGAAACAUUCUCUCUUUUACUCUUUUGGUCUUUUAUUUGUUUCAGUCAUUUGACUGUGGCCAUGCUGGAGCACCGCCUGUUUAGUCGAGCAUAUCGACCCCCAGGACUUAUUCUUUGUAAGCCUAGUACUUAUUAUAUCGGUCUCUUUUGCCGAACCGCUAAGUUACGGGGACGUAAACAAACCAGCAUCGGUUGUCAAGUUGGGGGGACAAACACAGACACACACAGACACACACACACACACACACACACACACACACACACACACACACACACAUACACACAUAUAUAUACAUAUAUACGACGGGCUUCUUUCAGUUUCCGUCUACCAAAUCCACUCACAAGGCUUUGGUCGGCCCGAGGCUAUAGUAGAAGACACUUGCCCAAGGUACCACGCAGUCGGACUGAACCCGGAACCAUGUGGUUCGCAAGCAAGCUAACUUAUCACACAGCCAAUCCUACGCCUAUAUAUUGAAAAAUUACCCUUACAAAGCGGAAAAAUUUAUCAACAGACAGCCAUGUAAGGGUAAUUUACCAGUGUUUCUGCUGUUCUAAUUGCAUUUGAAAAUAAAUUAUCAUCAUAUUUGUAUCAACAUACACAUUUCAGCGCUUAUAAAAAAAACAAAGAAACAAAAGUUAGUUUGUUUAUAUUUAUAUGUAUGUAUGUAUGUAUGUAUGUAUGUAUGUAUGUAUGUAUGUAUGUAUGUAUGUAUGUAUGUAUGUAUGUAUGUAUGUAUGUAUGUAUGUAUGUAUGUAUGUAUGUAUGUAUGUAUGGAUGGAUGGAUGCAUGCAUGCGUGUAUCUGGAAUUCACGGUCCUGUUAUUUCAAUUUCCAUUCCUAUUCUGGAAUUCCCGAUCUUAUUACUUGAAAAGCUAAUUAUAAGCUAAGCUGCAAGGCAGCUUUAAAGUGCUCUGGUUGUUCAACAAGCGCUCCUUUAUAGCAUUCAAAGAUCGUUCAGAACGAGUUUCUCAAAAACUAGUAUCACACAACUGAAAUAGACGAACCUCAUUCUAAAAGAAUCUACAGUUUGAAAAUAAACGUCUUUAUGGGGGAAGGAGAGGAAAGAACACACACACACACACACACACACACACACACACACGAGCGCACUCACAAAAAAGAAAAAAAACCAACUAAAACUAUAGAAAAAGUUAGUAUACAUAUUUGUUUCAUUAUUACCCACAAGGGGCUAAACAUAGAGGGGACAAACAAGGACAGACAAACGGAUUAAGUCGAUUACAUCGAUCCCAAUGCGUAACUGGUACUUAAUUUAUCGACCCCGAAGGGAUGAAAGGCAAAGUCGACCUCGGCGGAAUUUGAACUCAGAACGUAACGGCAGACGAAAUACGGCUACGCAUUUCGCCCGGCGUGCAAACGUUUCUGCCAGCUCGCCGCCUUAAGUUAGUAUACAUAUUAGUCAGUCGCCAUGAUAGAUCGUUAGCCACUACACACAUUUUCCCCUCCUUGUUUCUCUUCUUGUGUUUUCUGUGUCCCUUUCUGUAGAAGAGCGUAGGCUCGAAACGUAAAAGACUUUUUCUAUUCCUGAGCGUUAUACUAAUACAUCGGUUUGUUUUGUACAUCACCUGUCUUCGUCUUUUGUUUUUUUCGUAAACUCUCCUAUACAUAUUAGUUGCUAUUCGUGGGUUUUCCAUGAAUGUAACAGUUAGAAGUGCUUUUAUUAAUAAUUCUAUCAUAGAAAAAGGCUUGGGUUUACCGCAGAAUUGGAUCUCAUUAAUUUGAACUUCAGUAUGAACUAAAAGAAGAAAAAAUAUUGUGAUAAGUAAAAUAUUUAAAAGACAGGAAUUUUAAAAAUUUCAGUAUUUAUUUUUUUUAGAUAUUUUUGCUGAAUAAAUUUUUAUGCUUUCCUAUUCUUUGUCCAAAACUCUAAAUCAUUAAAUAAUUAAAAAAAAAUUAAAGCUAGGGUCUAUUCCUGAGAAACUCAAGAGAAUCUUGGAUUUCUUCUUUUAUAUUCCUAAUUACCCAGGAAUGACGCACUGCAGGAAAGUGAGAAGCCAAUGUGUGUGUGUAUGUGUGUGUGUGUAUGUGUGUGUGUGUGUGUGUGUGUGUGUGUGUGAAGAUACAUAUACGCUCACACACCCAUAUGUGUAAGUACAUGUAUACAUACAUAUAUAUAUAUAUAUAUAUAUAUAUAUAUAUAUAUGGCUCAGUGGUUAGAGCGUCGUGAGCUUGUGAGUUCGAUUCCCGGGCCGGGCUGCGUGUUGUGUUCUUCAGCCAGACACUUUAUUUCACGUUGCUCCAGUUAACUCAGCUGCAGAAAUGAGUUGCGACAUCACUGGCGCCAAGCUGUAUCGGCCCCCUUGCCUUUCCCUUGGAUAACAUCAGUGGUGUGGAGAGGAGAGGCUGCUAUGCAUGGACGACUGCUGGCCUUCUACAAACAAAGGAUAGCUUUCUAGGUGCAAUCCAAUGGUCAUUCAUGACCGAAGGGGUUCCCCAUACCCUAUCUAUCUAUCUAUCUAUCUAUCUAUCUAUCUAUCUAUCUAUCUAUCUAUCUAUCUAUCUAUCUAUCUAUCUAUCUAUCUAUGCAUGUGUGUGUGUGUGUGUGUGUGUGUGUGUGUGUGUGUGCGUGUGCCUGUGCGGGUGUUCAACAACAAAGACAGAAACACGGAAAACAUGUUAUGCAAUUUCAAAUACAAACAAAAAUAUAACAACAGGUGUCUUUCGACUAAUGAAGACGAAUCAAAUUGAGCUGGCGUAGUAUAAAAGGGAUAAAUUAUCUUGCGGACACUGUAUUAUUUCACAAAUUGGUGAUGCCGGCUAUCUACAACAGUCCAAUAAGCUUCACUCGUCGGGUAGUUCCGUGUUCUUAUUCAGAACUGCAAAUAUUCCGUAGCGUAUAUAAUAGAUAAUAAUAAUGAAAUUAUUGUAUACAGUGCUCAGGUGCACCACAACUUUUCAAAAGUGCAUAUAAAGCACGUGCCUUAAUGUACAAAUGUCUGGGAAGUGAAUAGUGUAUGAGUCAGAUACAUGCUUGCGUGUGCAUGGAGAGGAGAAAAUCAGGUGUAGUGUUGGCGAAUCUCCUGGAAGCAUGGAAGUUUUGAAGGAUGCAGUGCUCCGACAGCUGACAACUGAUGCCGGCAGUUUGUUCCAUGCUUCAGCAACUCUUAGCGUGAAAAAAUGUUCCCUAAAGUCAUGGGAGCUGUGCUGUUUUCUGACUUUGUAAACAUGUCCACGGGUGUUAGACAGGUGGAGUUUGAAAAGGUGCUCAAAGUUAUUGUUUGUAAGAUGGUUGAUAAUUUUAUGGGUGUCUGCCAAGUCAGCUGCCAGGCGUAGGAGUUUCAGUGUAUAAACGAAGAGGAGAGUGGCGAUUUAUUCACAUCCAAAACUCAUCUAGUAAAAAGCUUUUUACAGCAUAUAUAACUCUGACUUAUAUAUGUUUCGACUGCGGCGACUGCACAUUGCUGUGUAUGCAAUUAUGCAUCCUAGUCACUGCAAUUUCAUCACGGGUCCAUCACUCACGACGUCUUCAAAGUGAACUGAUUAAAACAAGCUUCCGGCGUUGGUAUUCAGUUAAAGGUGAUAGCAUAGGCGCAGGAGUGGCUGUGUGGUAAGUAGCUUGCUAACCAACCACAUGGUUCCGGGUUCAGUCCCACUGCGUGGCAUCUUGGGCAAGUGUCUUCUGCUAUAGCCCCGGGCCGACCAAUGCCUUGUGAGUGGAUUUGGUAGACGGAAACUGAAAAGAAGCCCGUCGUAUAUAUGUAUAUAUAUAUCUGUAUGUGUGUGUUUGUGUGUCUGUGUUUGUCCCCCUAGCAUUGCUUGACAACCGAUGCUGGUGUGUUUACGUCCCCGUCACUUAGCGGUUCGGCAAAAGAGGCCGAUAGAAUAAGUACUGGGCUUACAAAGAAUAAGUCCCGGGGUCGAUUUGCUCGACUAAAAGGUGGUGCUCCAGCAUGGCCGCAGUCAAAUGACUGACACAAGUAAAAGAGUAAAAGAGAGAGAGAGAGCAUUACUUUUUAAAUCCAAUGGAAAUUUUGAUCUCAUCAUCACCUCUACUGGUAUUACAGUUGAAUCGUGGUUUCAAAAUGUUUAUUCAGAGUUCAGUUAAUUGUAGGUCAGUGUUAUAUACGCUGUAGGAAACUUUUUAAUAAAAGAAGUUUUGGAUGUGAAUAAAUCUUCACUCUCCUCUUCGUUAUGUAUGUAUGUAUGUAUGUAUGUAUGUAUGUAUGUAUGUAUGUAUGUGUGUGUGUAUAUAUGUAUGUAUGUAUGUGUAUAUAUGUAUGUAUCUACCUCCCUACCAACCUACCUACCUACUUAUCUACCUACCUAUCUAUCUAUCUAUCUAUCUAUCUAUCUAUCUAUCUAUCUAUCUAUCUAUCUAUCUAUCACUCAAUCAAUCAAUCAAUCACUCAAUCAAAUAUAAGGAUAAAAUCUAUAUAAGAAUUUAUCAAGUAGCCAGCGUGAAAAACCAAUUCGGGAAAAAAUUAAUACAAAGAAUAUAAUUUUUCUUUAAAUAUAAACACUUUAAUUAUAUUAAGGGGUAUUACUAUAAGUAAACGCCUCACGCUGUAAUGGGACUCUAAAGUCAAACUACUUCAAUAAAUAUACUUUAGAGUCCUAUAUAUAUAUAUGAUAAAAUAAACGCGACCUUUUAAAGCCUAGCCAAGCUCAUGGGCCCGGUUUCCCGGUUUCAAUGGCGUAUGUAUUCCCCAGCUGGACGGUACGCCUUUCCAUCGCAGUGUUACUCAUUUUCGCCAGCUGAGUGGACUGGAGUAACGUGAAAUGAAGUGUUUUGCUCAAGAACACAACGCGUCGUCCGGUCUAGGAAUCGAAACCACAAUCUUACGAUCAUGAUGCUGACACCCUAACCACCAAGCCACGCGCCUCCACACACACACACACACACAUACACACACACAUAUACGAAGUGUACUAAGUAGCGUGUAUAAUAUAUAUGAAAUCGAAGCGGUUGGACUGAACUGCGUUUCACGCUACCGGGAGAGAGAGAGAGAGAGAGAUAGUGUGUGUGUGUGUGAGAGAGAGAGAGAGAGAGAGAGAGAUAGAUAGAUAGAUAGAGAGAGAGAGAGAGAGAGAGAGAGAGAGAGAGAGUAGCAAAUUUAUUCAUUAAAUCGAUUUAUGUAACAAUUAUCUGUUUUCAUGUAAGUAUGUUUUGAGGAACUUGAAUAUAUUUAAAUAAAAUUAUACAUCGAAGUACUUUAAAAUAGUUUAUUGACUUCAAAUUUUGGCACAAAUCCAGUAAGUUAGUUAGAGGGGGAUGAUAAGUUGAUUACACCAACCACUAUGUUCAGCUGGUACUUAUUUUAUCGAUCUCGAAGGAUGAAGGGCAAAGUCAACCUCCGGUAGCAUUUGAAAUCAGAAAGUAAAAUCAGAAAAAAUGCCGCUAAGUAUUGUUUUCUGGCGUAGUAAUUACUCUACCAGUUUGCUGAUUUUCAUUGAAACACUCUGCUCUCACCUAGUUUUAAUAGCUUCUCUUAGUCAAACAAUUAUCCAUGAAGUUACACGUUUUGUUGCCUGUUAUACUCACAGCAGGCGAAAUUCAUAUUAUUUAUGCUUAUAAAUUACAUUUUGUAUUCACCUGUUGCCUCUGAUUAUCAAUUUUUUCUAAUCUGUAUUUUAGAAUAUUUAGUUAAAAAAAUGAAAAAAGAAAAACAAGAAAAUGUCAUAAUGUACAUCCAAAGGGAUUAUUUACAUUUCCUGUUUUCUGGCAAACUAAAAUUAUAAUUUCGUUUUUGGAUUUGGUUUGCAAGAUUCUUUAUAUGAGUUCGUGUGUUGAAGCAUAUUCUAUUGUGUCUGAGGAGAGUAAUUCUCUUUUUGUGCCUUGUUAUGUAACACACUCACCGGUAAAAUUUCCACGUUUUUCUUAUUUUUAUUGUCCAAAAAUUUUCGUUGCGUCUUGCAACCUUUUCAAUAAAAAUAAGAAAAACGUGGAAAUUUUACCGGUGAGUGUGUUACAUAAUAAGGCACAAAAAGAAAAUGACUCUCCCCAGACACAAUAAAAUAGUAAACCUUUUAGCUAGUACUUUUUUCAGUCAUUGCACUGCGGCCAUGCUAGGCACUGCCUUCAAGGCUUUUAGUGAAACGAAACGAUCCCCAAUACUAAUUAAAAAAAAAAGCCUGAUACUUAUUACAUCAGUCUAUUUUGCCGAACCGCUAUUGUUAUGGGGACGUAAAGAAACCAACUCCGGUUGUCAAGCGGUGGGUGGGGUAAACACUGGCACAAAGACACAUCCAUCCAUCCAUCCAUCCAUCCAUACAUACAUACAUACAUACAUACAUACAUACAUACAUACAUACAUACAUACAUACAUACAUACAUACAUAUAUUACAGGAUUAUUUCAGUUUCUGUCUACCAAAUCCACUAACAAAGUCUUGGUCGUCUCGAGGCUAUAGUAGAAGGUACCUGUUCAAGGUGUCAUGCAGUGAGACUGAACUCGGAACCAUGUGGUUGGCGAGCAAACUACUUACCACACAGCCAUAUAUUUUCUGUCAUCUCUUCAAAUGCCAUCUCUUCAAAAUAUACUUUACAUUAAUAAUUUAUUUAUGAUUAUCUGUUGAAGUGUUAUAUGUUCUCAAGUGGAGACAAGCUUUCGACCGUUUUAUUUUUCUCAUGUUCUCCAUUAUUAAAAUGGAGUCCACCAUUAGUGGCCUAAUUUGCAGAAAACAUACAGUUUAAAAUAAAUGUUAAGUAAUUAUAAUCGCAAGGAACAGCGGGGCAUUUCGUCCGAACGAGUUGACCCAGCCAUGGCUAUAUGGACUAAUAUUAUCACUUGUUAUAUAUAGGUGCAGGAGUGGCUCUGUGUUAAGUAGCUUGUUUACCAACCACAUGGUUCCGGGUUCAGUCCCACUGCGUGGUACCUUGGGCAAGCGUCUUCUACUAUAGCCUCGGGCCGACCAAAGCCUUGUGAGUGGAUUUGGUAGACAGAAACUGAAAGAAGCCCGUCGUAUAUAUGUAUAUAUAUAUAUGUGUGCAUGUGUGUGUAUAUGUUUGUGUGUCUGUGUUUGUCCCCCCAACAUCGCUUGACAACCGAUGCUGGUGUGUUUACGUCCCCGUAUCUUAGCAGUUCGGCAAAAAAGACCGAUAGAAUAAGUACUAGGCUUACAAAGAAUAAGUCCUGGGGGUCGAUUUGCUCGACUAAAGGCGGUGCUCCAGCAUGGCCGCAGUCAAAUGACUGAAAUAAGUAAAAGAGUAUAGUUCAAUCAUGAGCAAGCAGGUCUAGAAACAAAGACGUUUCACUUAUGACUAUUCUGUCCGUAGUACAUCAAGCACUAUAUAUGUGUUUAGUGUAUCCUGUCUUUAUUAAGACAGUGAGAAGUGCUAUGAGGAAAUUUUGGCUGCUAUUUGAAGCAGGUAAAACAAAGCAAAACAAAACAAAAACAAACAAAACAACAACGUAGUUUCCUAGGCUUUCAAGUUUGUUCGAUCUAGUGUUAUGUAGUCUGUCUAGGCGUUAUUUAUCCUUUUGAUUACGUGAGAAUUGCUUAAUGCUGAUACUUAUUCAAUGAAACGAUUGGAUUAGGGGUUAGGAUAAUCUGCUCAUGACAACUAAAUUAGAAAAGUAAAAUAUGUGUGUGUGUGUAUGUGUGUGUGUGUGUGUGUGUGUGUGUAUGUGUGUGUGUGUGUGUGUGUGUGUGUGUAUGUGUGUGUGAGUGAGUGCGCGCGUGUGUGCAGAAAAUACGAUAUUCAAUACAGUGUUGUAGGUUAUGGUACACUGAGUAAACAACAUAGUGUGUCAAGCAACGAAAUGAAACUAGUAGAUGACAUUACGUGAUCAAUAGACGAGUGAAGAAAAUAUUAAUUCGUUUGUCUGUUAUUCAUGUAAUUUUUAAUACAUGAAUAACAAACAGAUAAACGAAGUAAAAUUUUCUUGUCUCAUCUAUUGAUCACGUGAUGUCAUCUACUAGUUCCAUUUCAUUAAACAAAAUUAAAAAUAAGAACUCCGCCUGGAAAUGUAAAUCAAAUAGUGUUAAUAUUAGGUUGUUCCGAAAAUAAUGGCCGAUUUCAGAGACAUAAUUUUAUUCUGGAAAAAUUAGCAAUAGAAAUAUUUUGAUUAGUCAAAGUAUGAGCCGUGGACAUCUCUGCAUCUCUGCCAUCAAUCAAGAUUAUUUAUGUUUCUUGAUAAAAACUUCUUGGCUUUGAUGCUAAGAAAUCUUUGAAAGCUGAUCCCACCUCUGGUCUAGACCUGGAAGUUUUAUCUCUUAAAAACGUGUAUAAAUGCUUUAAAAAAUGGCAGCCAGUGGGUGAAAGAUCAGGAAAAUAUGGAGGUUGUGGUAAUCUCUUAUCCCAAGUCUGUGAGUUUCUACAAGUCUGUGAGUUUCUUGCAACAUGUGGCUUUGCAUUAUCGUGGAGUAGAAUUGGGCCACGCCGAUUCACCAAUGUAGGUUUUAUUUUUUGCUAGUGAGCAUGCAUUUCUGCGAGUUGAUUGCAGUAAACCUCUGCUGUAAUGCUCUGAUUGGCUUCCAGAAAGCUGUAAUGGACAAUACCAAUUGCAGACCACCAGACAGUCACCAUAAUCAUUCGGGUCUUCUCUGCCAUUCUUAUACAUUCACCAUAUGAUAGUUUAGUCCUGCCCUUGAUGUUAUGAAACCAUUUUCUUCAAGGUUUUCCUCUCGAGCGUUUGCCUUUUUCUGUCCUUCUCGUAAUAAUCUUUGUAUACCCUUGUAUGUUCUCACUAUGUUACCAAUCUUUUUGUAUUUGCUGUCUGUAGCACCUCUCCGCUAGUUUUAUGUUUUGUCCAUGAUAUUCUUAAUAUUCUUCUGUAUGUCCACAUUUAAAAAUGUGGACUUAUAGAAAAUAGCUUCUAUCGUAUCACAUAUCGUAUCAUCAAUGUCUAUGUUUCUGUACCAUGUAAUAGUGUGGACCAUAUGUAACAUUUUGCAAUAAGCAGUGAUUAAAAACGAAAGCGUGUAAAGUUUAAGUUUCCCCUCGUUGUCAGUUGUAGCUAAUGUCGGCUUUGUAACCAAUACUCGAACUUUUUAAAACCGACAAUCCAUAUCAAACAAUUUCAGAAAGCUAUACGGUAAAAGUUAUGUUUAGGCGCUUUUAGAAGUAGGAUCUUCAAUUGCAUUGUACAGAAGUAUCUUUUAAUGAAUUCUGCUAAAUAUUAUAUUGAUGGUGAAUGGCAUAAUUUUGAAUCCUUUAACUUAGACUUACAGUCACACUCACACAUUCACACAUGUACAUACACACACACACACACACACUCACACACAUACAUACACGCACAUGCACACAUACUUAUACCCAAUCAUACACAAGCACAUAUGUAAUAUAUAUAUGAAAUUACUACAUAAUACUAUCUCUCUCCUUCCCCACUCUCUCUCUCUCUCUCUCUCGCUCACACACACAAACAUAUAUAAAGUUCAUGUUGGCAUUAUAUAAUCUUUGAUAAUCUGCUCUUUUUUUUCUCUGGUAUGAGCUAUGUUGAAUGAUAAUAAAGUUGUAGAGUAACUUCCGAUGGAAAGAUAUGUUAAAACUUUUCAAAAAUUGGAGUUAUGUUGUAUACUGUCAACUUAAUGUGACAGUCCCAUGAAGGGAAUCACACCACCGCUAUUUAGCCCUAGGAAGCAUCAACGCUUCCUGUCGGCCUUGACACAUUUCCUGUGUCCUUAUGUUUACAAGGGGGAGACAAGCACCUCCACCCAGCUAAGCCUGCAUCCAGAGACUAGUUUCUGAGUCUUGCUCGUCAUCAGUCUGGAGUAGCAUGGCUUGCUAGCUGGCUGCAGAUGCUUGUCUCGGCCUUGUAAACAUAUAAUAAUUCUAGUGGAAUAAAUCCACUGAUCACAAAAAUAGAAAUAUUACAUUUCUAAAUAUCUCAGAGAGAUAUAAGCAGUGGUGGUACGAUAGAGCAGUUAUUGUUUAGAAUUAAGUCAUGCGUGUAAAACUUUGUAAUCAGCAGUUUUAUUUACGGUUGUCGAUUUUUUUAAGGUUUGCAAAAGAAUAUAAGUAGGUGAAAAUGUUAGUUCACCAGUAGAUGUGUAACUAGUUUUAAUUGUUGUUGACGGUGUUUGACCACUAAGAAAUUUAACUUCCUGAUUGUUUUGACAAGGAAGAUGUUAUUGUUCAGAGUUCAGUUGAUCUUGUAGUUAGAUGUGUUUAUUUAGGUGUAUCAGCUUUAGAUCAUGUUGCUUUUAGUAUAGAUAUUUAGUUAUCUUGUGGUUUAGGAGUUCACAAAACAAUGUAAGUGGGAAGGUUAGUUUGUCAGCAUAUUUCUUACUAGGAUUUAAUUGCUGAUCUUUUUAUUUGAUUAUUAUUUAAAAAUUCCUUCUCUGUGUUUUGGGAAGAUAGGAAGAUAAAGCUUGACUAUGCAGUUAUAAAUAUUUCUUCUAGUGAGUUUCAAGCGUGGGUAUUGGUAAGGAAAUUUUUAACACACACACACACACACAUACACACACACACACACACACACACACACACACACACAUUCACACGCACACGCACAUGCAUGCGCGUGCGUAUGUAGCAUGUAUUUAAGUCUAUGUACCUAUUUUUGUGCUCAUUUAGAAGUUUUUAUGUUUGCAAAAAGUGACUAAUUCAGAGUUUCAGUUCAGUAUUUGAUUUCUUAAUAUGAGAAUGUGGUAAGAGUUAUUGGUGUAAAGUGGGCUGGGUUUGCCGUUUCCUUGGUAUGGUUGCGCGAGUGACAAUAUUUUCUAAUUAAUGCUAAACGGGGUAUUCUUCGAUUUUAGUGGCCAUAUAUGUUAUGAUAAUGAAGUGUUAUUUUCCCUAUUUGGGUUGCGAAAAGUAUGUGUGCUUUGUUUGUAUCGUAUUUUGAAUUUGUUUACUAUAUGCCCUAUAUAUGUGAAUGUAGUAGACGGUUUAGUAUUCGUGGUUCAGUUAGGCUAUUGAACAAUAUUACUUAUGUGACAGUUUCCGUUUAGUGGGAAGAAUGGAGAGGUUCUGAAGUUGCACUUUUUGCUGGUGUUUUUGGUUUUUACCUUCCGAAAGUUUUAAGUGGUUGUAAUUGGUUACAGUUUAUUCCAAGUUGUUCGUUGUGGAAUAUGAUAUUUUUUUGUUGUGUUUGUUUAUUAAUUUGAAGUUGUGGGUGGAAGCACAGUCACCAUCCUUCUCGUGUUCUGCAAAAAGUAUUGAAGCCCCCCCCCCCCCGCAACAUGCAUCAGAAAUGGAAUACAAAGACCCGUUGACAAAUGAUAGUGAUUCUGAACGAGAACUGGAGAGAUAACUUUAAGAAUUUAAAACAAAAAUUCUUGAUUGGAUUUUCUUAAAAGACUCCGCCGGUUACGACGACGAGGGUCCCAGCUGAUACGAUCAACGGAACAGCUUGCUCGUGAAAUUAACGUGCAAAUGGCUGAGCAUUCCACAGACACGUGUACCCUUAACGUAGUUCUCGGGGAUAAUCAGCGUGACACAGAGAGUGACAAGGCUGACCCUUUGAAAUACAAGUACAACUCAUUUUUGCCAGCUGAGUGGACUGGAGCAACGUGAAAUAAAGUGUCUUGCUCAAGGACACAACGCGUCGCCGGGAAUCGAACUCACAACCUUACGAUCAUGAGCCGAAUGCCCUAACCACUAAGCCACGCGCCCUCACUGAUAGGAUUUACAUGCAGCAGAAAAGUACAGUUAAAUCAAUAGUCUUUUCAAAUGGCUAAUAACGUGUGCUCGCACCGCUACUACACACAUUGGAAAGAAUUGUACAACCAAGCAUUAAAGAAGGUCUUUCCUCCUCCGUGAAACAAAGCUGUUCCCGCUGGACGUCAACCCAGUAGGCAAUUUCUACUCUUCUCCUCUCGAAGCCAUCUACUCGCGAUACCAGAGGGCGCACACUCUCCUACCCUGAUGUAAUCUCCAGGGAUACAGGCAUCCAGCAACAGGACCUCCGUAAUGCUAUGAUGGACCGUGAAGUCUGGCGUAGCAUGGUAAAUUCCAUUGUCUCGACCACGGUCGAACAAUGAUGAUGAUGACAGUUUAAUCUUCGGUUUUUAUAUAAAAUUGUUUUUAUUAUACAUCGACAUGAAAGGAAACAUCAAUAUAUGUAUAUAUAGAUGCACGCAAUAUUAAUAUACAUGUAUUAAUAUUACAUUACACACACACACACACACACACAAAAGUACACAAACACGCUCACACACACACAAACACACACGUGUGUAUAUAUGUGAUUGUAAUUUGUCUUUAAUCUUUUAAUCUUUGUAAAUAAUUUGGUAUUAAAAUAUAUUAACUCGGUGUGUGUAAUUGUGUUUAUGCGUCUCUGUGUGGCUACGUGUGUAUAAUCUCAUAAGCUGACAUACACAGGUACACACAUAGAUGCAGUUAUACAUAGUUACUGUAUAUAUACAUACAUAGGUUUAAAUGUACGCACACACACUCGCGCUCGUGCACGCACACACACGUAUAUAAGUUAAGAAGGUGCACUGAAUGGCCGUACACAAUAAAUUCUUAAUUUUUGAAAGACUCCCCCCCAACAUGCAUCAGAAGGAAUACAAAAACCCACUGGCAAAUGUUAAUGAUUCUGAACGAGAAGGGGGAGAUAACUUAAGAAUUUAAAGCAAAAAUGCUUGAGUGGAUUUACAUGCAGGAGCAAAGUAUAGUUUAAUCUUUGGUUGGAAACUGAGGACAACUAUGGACAUGUGUUUUGGCAUAAUAUAUGGCUUCAUCAGUCCUUCCGUGUAUAGCAUUCAGUUGACGCUUAGAGUUUUUUCUUUCUUAGCUCAUUUUAGAUUUAGUUUUGCACAUUACCCUUGACCAAAAAUAUAUGAAAUUAUUUCAAUAUGUAAAAUAUAUAUUAAACUUAUCUGCAGCUAUCAACACUAGUAGAAGUCACUUAUUAUGUUCACUUUGGGGCAAAGCCUUCCAGAUAACAAUAUCUCUAAUUAAAACCAUUAUAUAGAGCGUAUAACAAUAUCAUGAACGUAUUUGAGGUCCACUAACUGAUGACAAUUUGAUAAAUGUUUGAUAACAUUACCUGUAAUUAGAAAUAAAUGUUAGAGUAUUGGACAAUAUCGUGCGUAGUAUUUGUUCCGACUUUCUGCACUUUCAAAUCCCUCUGGGGCCAAUGUUUACCUUUCGCCUUUUGGGAGUCGAUAAAAACGUACCAGUCUAGAGUAGUGAAGUGUGAGAAUUGUUUGUUUCAGAUGUGAUGCCUUGCGGUAUCUGUUCCAGUUCUGUGAUGCUUCUGUUAAGAGUUGCGACAGCCAGACAAAAAAUCGGCAAUUUGAAAACACUAAUGGAGACAUAAUUUCCAUUAGUUCGAUCGGAAGAUUGACUGCCAACCCCACUACAACCACCACAAUAAAUAAGCAGCUUUUAUAGUAUAUCAUAAGCAGAUUAAACUGUAGGCUGUUAAACAUUAAUUUUAUCCACUCCACUCCAUGUUAAUCGAAGAACAAACGAGGUUUAGGGACAUCUAUUUCAUAGACGAUAUUGUCUCGACAUAGAGAUAGAAGGCAAGAUACUAACUGCACAAAUAUAAAUAUAUGAGGAUUUAUGGUUCUGUGUUUCUUAUCUUGCCUCUGACACUGUUUUCUAAUACAUUCCAAUGCUCAAUCUAACUAGUUGUAAAUAAUUACCCAGCACAGUACUGUUGUGAGCAGAAAUAGCAUUGCAUAAUUGAUUUCUGCUAAGUUGUAGUCCUGAUUUAAAAAAAAACUUAAAUCCCUUCUGAGGUGUCGGUUGUGAAGGUAAUGGAUUCCAUCUUGUUCUAGGAUAUUCUAUACAAUGAAAGGCGGCGAGCUGGCAGAAACGUUAGCACGCCGGGCGAAAUGAUUAGCGGUAUUUCGUCUGCCGCUACGUUCUGAGUUCAAAUUCCGCCGAGGUCGACUUUGCCUUUCGUCCUUUCGGGGUCGAUUAAAUAAGUACCAGUUACGCACUGGGGUCGUUAUAAUCGACUUAAUCCGUUUGUCUGUCCUUGUUUGUCCUCUCUGUGUUUAGCUCCUUGUGGGUAGUAAAGAAAUAGAUAUCCUAUACAAUGACUAAGUCUUCUAGUGGUGCUAAUACGAUCAAAUGCUUUCCAUAACACUCUUACAUAUGCAAGUGUCGAAAUCUCGUGUGUGUCUAGUGAGCACACUGAACUCACAUGUAAGCAUAGGAAAGUGUGUUUGUGUAUGAGAGAAAGAGAGAGAGAGAGAGAGAGAGAGAGAGGAGGGUGAGGAGAGGGAGAGAGAAACUCUUUAUGUGUAAAUAGUGGUUUAGUACUACAAGAAUAAUAAAUUUGAAAGUUUCCUCAUUGUAAUAUAUUUAUUUAAUUCAACGAUAAUGUUGGUUUCUUUGAUUGUCACUGAUAUCAAAUUUAUAUAGAAUUGCACAUAGGUAGCGUUAUUUCGGUAGUAAUUCUUUUUUAGAACUAUUCUCUGUAUAUAGUUUGUAAGUGUAUAUACGUGUGUAUUUAAACUACAUAUAUUUAUUUAUUCUAUAAUUAAGUGUAAUUCGAUUUGUUUCCGAGUAAGUCGUUGUCCGUUUAUUUAUAAUUAGUUAUUUACUCUCUUCGUAGUUAAGAAGUGUUAGUAAUUACUUCUUUUAAUUAUAUAUAUAUAUAUAUAUAUAUAUAUAUAUAUAUAUAUAUAUAUAUAUAUAUAAAUAUAUAUAUAUAUAUAUAUUGUAACGACCACAUCACUGCCACCAUCUAGUAAAAAAAAGUGUUGGUGGACCCCGUGUCCCAGAAAAUACUAGCAAAUGUCUGAAAUACCAGGGAAAACAAACAUAGACAAGUACAAUUUCGCCAUUGUCAAAUGUAUGGACCUACCGCUGCUCCUCUCAAACCGUAACUCUCUCCAUUCCACAUUUCCUAAAACACUAAGGAAGACUAAAGGAGUAGGGCAUGGUGAUACACACACACACACACACACACACACACACACACACACAUAUAUAUAUAUAUAUUAUUUUAAAAUCUUAAUUUAACUCUUUUUUCCUUUUUUAUUGUUUCACUUUCGGUAAGUAGUUUAUUAGGUUAAUAUAUUUUGUAUUAUUGAAUUUGUUUCAUGAAUAUUGAUCUAAGCUUGUCCUUUUCCUUGUACAUAGUUCGAGGACGUUCUUUACGAGAUGUACUGUCCAAAUAAUUGUUAUUAGGUUUGUUUCAGACUGCGGUAUCAUGAACGUGAUGUGAUUUUCAUGAGAAACAAAGUAUCUUGUUGUCUACGUGUGUUGUAUUGUCUGAAUGUCUUUUUGAAAUUAGGUCUUUUUUUAUAAUACUGUUUUGUAGCUAUAAGUUAUCAGUAUUUGUUUAGUGUUAUGUUGUUACUUGUGGUAAUAAACAGGUGGAUUCCCGGGCAGCGUUUAUAUUUUUAACGCUGUUGACACCGCCGGACUGGAUGGUACUGCCGAGGUAUCGAAACCAUUGUGAUAUCCGACUGGGCAGCAGAUGACAGAAAUGUACAUAUGUUAUGCUCGGUUGCGAAUUUCUUAUUCUUAGUCUCGUUAUUUUGGGUUUUCCUCCAUUCUUGAAGAGUGGAAAGUGUUCGUGAAUUCAUAGUUUGUGGGGAUCGUUUAGUUUGGAAUUGUUUGGUUUUCGUCGUAGCAACCUAAUUGUGCUUGGACAAGGCUCAUAUACUGGUGUCUAGUUUUGGGAGGUACUGUAGCAUACACUGGCGAAAAUAAAUUUAAGACCGAUGAUAAAAGUUCUAUUUCUUACAAAAUAUUGUGUUACUAACAUCAUACAAAUUCGUUUUAUCUUCUACACCUUAUGCAGAAUAUAUUUCUCUUUCGAAUGAUGCAGAGAAUAACUAUUUUUAUACAACUUGAAGAAUUCUAAUGCUAAAUUAAUAUAAACGUUUCAAAUUUACCGGCAAAAUUAGUUUAAGACCAUUUAACAUGUAUGCAAAUUUUUUUGCCAAAAUGGGUGGUCACACAACUAGCCUAACUGCGCUAUAUAGUGUUAUAAUUUAACGUUAUUAUACAAUUGUUAUAUGCAUAGUUAAAUUUAUGUAUACUUUACUCAGCAUUCACCUAAGUAAACGACUUAUCAGUAACUGAACGAAAUAUAUACAUACAGGGUUGGCCAAAAGUCAUCUGACAGUAGAUCAAUAGCAUUUAAUUCCAAGAUUUAUGUUUAACAACUGAAUGAAUUUAAUAAAAGUGUCUAAAUAGGAAACAUCAUGAAAAUUGUUCAAACUGAAAUUCUUCUUGAGUGACACAUUUUCCCAUUCGAGUCAAUACAGAAUUACAGAUAGUAUUUAUGGAAUUUUGAUUUACCGUCGGGUGACUUUUGGCCAUCCUUGUAUAUAAAUAUACAUACAAACAUACAGAUGUGUGCGUGUAUCGUCCCUAUCAUAUCACUGAUACUUUUACCUGCACUUCUAGCAACGUCAUUUACUGCAUCUAUUCUUCCUGUCCUUAUCUGUACAUCGGUCAAACGGGACACCACUUGGCUGACCAGUUCGCGGAGCACCUCCGAGACAUUAGACUCGGCAAUGACACCCCAGUCUCAUGCCGUCUCCGCUCUACCGGUUAUUCAUUACAACACCUGUCUGUGUUCGGAUUGUUUUUGCACAGAGGCCAUCCGGACUCUGUAUGCUUUUUCAUACAGAAUUCAAAAAUAAUGUCAAAUUAUCUGUAUCACGCACAGUUUCUCUGUUCCACGAUAUCCCUCUCAGUUCCUGUUACGUGGGCUAAAUUUCAGUUAAGCUGUUGAAAUGUGAAGCUAACGAUUUAAGAAAUACUCCUAAUUAAAAUUUUUAUGAAUAGAAUUAAUCUAGUGAAAUCAUAAAUCCAGCUGAGGCAAUGAGUCCCCAAAAUAUAUGAAAUGAAAAAUAUGUAAAAAUACAAACACACAGAAAAAGCACAGAAAAAUACUAACACAUAGAAGCACAGAAAACUAUGUAAUGUACUAACACAGAAAAAUUAAAACAAAAUACGCAGGUGAAAUCAACAUAGACAACAGCAGCACAGACAACACUGAACCACAAUACAGCGUACGGUUGCCAUGGUAACAAGCUGCUAAUGCCAGGUCGUCUCAGAUUCUUUAAUUUACGAGGUAAGGUAAUUGGUUGAUCGUAAUCAAAAUUGAAAGCAAUCUGAGUAAAAUUAAGGGGGGGGCAUAUUUUGCGAAUGAGAAAGACUAGAUCCAAAUUAUAUAUAUAUAUAUAUAUAUAUAUAUAUAUAUAUAUACUCUUACUCUUUACUCUUUUACUUGUUUCAGUCAUUUGACUACGGCCAUGCUGGAGCACCGCCUUUAGUCGAGCAAAUCGACUCCGGGACUUAUUCUUUGUAAGCCCAGUACUUAUUCUAUCGGUCUCUUUUUUCCGAACCGCUAAGUGACGGGGACGUAAACACACCAGCAUCGGUUGUCAAGAAAUGCUAGGGGGACAAACACAGACACAAAAACACACACACAUACAUAUAUAUAUAUAUAUAUAUAUAUAUAUAUAUACAUAUAUACGACAGGCUUCUUUCAGUUUCCGUAUACCAAAUCCACUCACAAGGCAUUGGUCAGUCCAGGGCUAUAGCAGAAGACACUUGCCCAAGAUGCCAUGCAGUGGGACUGAACCCGGAACCAUGUGGUUGGUUAGCAAGCUACUUACCACACAGCCACUCCCGCGCCUAUAUAUAAACUAGUUGAAACAGGGACAACUGAAGAAGGGGAAUAUUCUUUAUGAUGUAUGUCUCGUUUCUCUGUUUUUUUUGUUGUUCGAAAAAAAGGUUCGUUUCUAUGUUUUUGUUUUUAUGUUUUCGUUUCUCAUUGUGUUCAACGUUUUUUUGAUGUCCUGUACCCAUAUAUGCAUGUAUAUAUACAUAUAUAUGUAGGCAUGUACAGAUACGUAUGUAUUUCUGCAUAUAUUUAUAUAUUAUUUAUAUUAUUAUACGAUCGAACGCCACGCAUCAUUUUCCAAGUAAGUUUUACCUAUAUAAACACAUAUACGGACAGCUCCCUCUGAAUGCAUACACAUGUACACGAAUACCGUCACCCACGCUGACCAACUAGCACACCCAGUAUAUCCACUUUUUGCACUGACAUACGACUCGACGACGACGGCGAAGACGACACACCACCACCACUACCACCGGCUCCACCGCCCCUCUCUUUGCCAUUCCCAUUACCGCUGUCGCUGCCUUCGCCUUCUACCCACAUCACCUAUAGCACGUAGGAACACGCUUUGUCUUUGAUAUCCGUAGUCAAUGCACCAACAGUAGUAGUUGUAUUGCGGUUUACUUAACAAAUUUUUUAUUUAAUGACAUUGAUAAGGCGGUGUGUUGGCAGAAUCGUUAGCACGCUUGAAGAACAGCUUAGCGGCAUUUCGUCCGUCUUUGCAUUCUGAGUUCAAAUUCUGCCGAGGUCGACCUUGCUUUACAUCCUCUCGGGGUAAAAUAAGUAUCAGAUGAGUAAUGGGGGCGAGGUAAUCGACUGUACCCUUUCCUCAAAUUUCAGGCCUUGUGCCUAUAGUAGAAAGGAUUUUAAUGACAUUGGUUCUUAUAAACGGAUAAUUUUAAAUUUAUUUUAUAUAAGAGAGUAUAGGAUCCGACGAAAUCAAAAAGAAUUUUAUAUCAUAUUCUGACUUCAGUUUUGGUACUGAUUCUCCUUCCCAGUAAUUACUCUGUUGUCAUUCUGAAAAUUUCUUUAAAAUAACAGCCAUAAAUAAUCAUAAAUAUAUAUAUAUCAUCGUGACCGACCAGGCUAUCAGAUGUUGCUACACAUCGCUGGUCACAAUGCGCUUCGCAUUGUUUUAGCCUUCAAAUAACGCCACUCCGCUGGCUAAGCGAGCAGGCCAACAGAAGAAAGAGUGAGAGAAAGUUGUGGCGAAAGAGUGCAGCAGGGAUGCCCCCCCCCCCCACUGCCGGAGCUCAAUAAACACUCACAACGCCCAGUCUGGGAAUCGAAACCGCGAUCCUACAACCGCGGGUCCGCUGUCCUAAGCACUGGGCCAUAUACACACACAUCUAUAUUUAAUUAGAAGUGUGAUUGACUUCACAGUGUGUCAGGUACUUUAUUUAUUGACGCUGAAAGGAUGAAAAACAAAGCUGAUUUCGGUGGGAUCUGAAUACCAAAGACCCGGAAUAAAUAACGGAAGGUAAUUCUAUCCUUCAUUGCCAACUUGCUUAUACUUUAGUAUCAGUUAUAGUCUUUGCAUAUUUGUCCAGAAAUAUUGAUUUCGCUAGAACCAAAGUAAUUUUACUUACACUUUCUUUUAUAAUAUUCAUAUUUCGUAUUCUAGAUUACGAAAUGAAAUCUACAAGAUAUUAAAGAAAAAAGUGAUUUCUUUUUUAUAUUUGCUAAGGAAAUAUCAGAUAAAAGAAGUAAAUAAAAUAUGAAUGACUGCGGUUAUUGAAUUUCUCUUCAGCGAAGGACUACCUGUCUGCUAAAAAUGUAAUAAAAAAUUGAAAUGCCAAGCAAAGGCUUACAGUUAACUAACCAUACACGAAAUAAAUCGACUUAAGAAGGGAUCUUGUAGGUAGUUCGAUCUACUAGAAAUAUCGAAGCUUAUUGUUUUAAAGAAAAGGAAGACCUCAUUGGAUAACUUAGUCUAAGAUACGUAUAGGUUUGUUGACGGCAGAAUUGUUAGACCUGAAAAAAAAAAAAAAACCUUGCAGUUCGUGUUCUGGUUUUAUCAUUCUGCGUUCCAGUUCGACGAUGUUCAACUUUUCUUUUCAUCCUUACUAGGCCGAUUAAUAUAUACGAAAUCUAUUGAACUACCGGGGUUGAUUUAGCCAAAUACAAAUUAGUAGCUGUAAUCUAUAGAGUAGUCCGGCGUUGCCUUAAACUUUGUUUCAGCAAUUCUUGUGAAACAACGGUGCUCAACCGUAAUAGUCCUUGCCGCCUCACUUUGGACAAUAUCAGCAGUGUAAAGAGGGUUGGUAUGUAGUAUGUGCAACUGUAGGUCUUCCAUACAUCUUUCUCUGAUCUACCAAUACAAAUCAGAGUGUGACUUUCCAGGUACAGAUCUAUGGAGUCACGAUACUAAAGGACGCCAAAGAACACACACACACACACGCACGCACAUACACUGUUUGAAAAUUAAAUGGGAUAGUCGUAGCCGGAUUGUCUUUGACUUAACAAAUGGAUGAAUUCACCUAUUUCUUUAAUAACCACAAGGGCCUAAACAUAGAGUGGACAAACGGAUUAAGUCGAUUAUAUCGACCCCCAGUGCGUAACUAAUACUUAAUUUAUCGACCCCAAAAGGAUGAAAGGCAAAGUCGACCUCAGCGGAAUAAAUAGAUGAAUUCAUCUGUCAACUCUUAACCAACUUAUUACAAAAGAAAAAAAAAUACUAGAUACUUUUCACAGCCAGAAACUCAGGAAGAGAAGGAAGUACUGAAUGAAAAGUUAUACUAAUAGUAUGGUUAGCGCCAGGGUAAAUGAAAGAACAAAGCGUUUAGUUUGUGAAAUUAAUAAAGGAGUCAUUUGUUGAAAACAUGGCCAGUUGGGCACCAGCGACUAGAUCUUUUAAGAAAGAUAAUAAUAAACUCUAGUGUAAUGCUGUUGCUUUAUAUAGCACUAGCAGUAUCGCCCGGCGUUGCUUGGGUUUGUUUCGACCCUUUAGAAUUGGAAUUUUUGAAAAAGUAAAAGUUUUGCAUUAUGUAACUUGUUAUUCUCUUUAAGUGAACAUUUUUCUGGUUGAAAUACACCGAAAGAUGGCGACAGAGCAGUCAAAAAAUCGUAAGAAAUAGGGAUUUUCAUAGAAAAAGAAAGCACCUUCUAUCAUACUCUCAAUUUUGGUCAACUUGCGCCGCAGGGUCUCGGAGGAGAUAGUGUUAGUUGAAGGCUACCAAACCUGCCAUACACAGACAACUUCAGCUUUAUAUAUAGAGAGAUUUCAAACCGAAAACAUUUACUACUCGAUUGUCUUGGAUGACUCCCAUAAUAUUUCUGACAAAGCGCAAGUUAUAUUUUUGAUCUUGUAAUAAUUGGGUUAAAUUUUAAUCGUGUAAUAAUUACCUAACUUCAUUGUCCCAAAGAGUUACUAGCUUUUGAUACCGCUACAGAAGUUGAACUGAAAGUUAGAUACAAAACGAAGGAUUUGCUGUGUUACUACAAAAUGAAUUUCCAGAUUCAGAUACUUUCGUGUCACUUCACUUUAUUUUGAAUAGACAGCAUCACCGUGUCAGAACCUACUUUUUAAUCGAUACAUUAAAGUUAUAAAUAUUGUAACUACAUAGGCGCAGGAGUGGCUGUGUGGUAAGUAGCUUGUUUACCAACCACAUGGUUCCGGGUUCAGUCCCACUGCGUGGCACCUUGGGCAAGUGUCUUUUACUAUGGCCUCGGGCCGACCAAAGCCUUGUGAGUGGAUUUGGUAGACGGGAACUGAAAGAAGCCCGUCGUAUAUAUGUAUAUAUAUAUAUAUAUAUAUGCAUGUGUGUGUGUCUGUGUUUGUCCCCCUAGCAUUGCUUGACAACCGAUGCUGGUGUAUUUAUGUCCCCGUUACUUAGCGGCUCGGCAAAAGAGACCGAUAGAAUAAGUACUGGGCUUACAAAAGAAUAAGUCCCGGGGUCGAGUUGAUCGAUUAAAGGCGGUGCUCCAGCAUGGCCGCAGUCAAAUGACUGAAACAAGUAAAAGAGUAAAGAGAGUAUUCCGACGAAUGCAAUAUGGCACCUCUAAUUUCGUAACAUACUUAAUCUCUUUCAAAUAUUAGUUUCAAAUUUCUUAUUCAAAUAUUGGUUUCGGGAGAGAGAGAAGGUCGAUUAUAUCGGCCCCAGUGCUCAAGUGGUACUUAUUUUAUCGACCGCGAAAGAAUGAAAGGAAAAGUCGACCUCUACUGAAUUUGAACUCAGAAUGUGAAAACGGACGAAAUAUCACUCAGUAUUUUGCCCGGUAUGCUAAUGAUUCUGCCCGCUUGCCGUCUUAAUCUUAUUGAAAUAUUGAGUGGGCAUCUUUAUAGCGUUGAGAAUCUGCUGUUUGUCUCAAGCAGAAAUAAUUAUGUAAUUUCUAUGUUAGCGAAAACCAAUCACAAGAUUUCUUUUGAAGACUGAUUCUAGAACACAAAGUAGCAAAAGAGAAUUUAUGCAGAAAUACUGUAUUUUUAGAUGAUAUAGUGUCAAAGAAAAUAACCUGAAUUAUUGCAUUUUGCACUAUAUUAUUUGUAAAACUAUCAUUUCAGAAAAAAUCAGAUCUUUUACAUAAUAAUCUAAGAACAAAACUUUCGUAAAGUGAAAGAGAAAAAAAAUGUAAUAUGAACCGGAUACAAUCAUUAGGAAACCAUAUGGGAAAUAUAUGAAAACAACAACAACAACAACAACAAAGCAAAAUAAAAAAAUAUCUUAAAUAUCUUAUUGAAAAAUAUAACGAGUUAUUUGCAGGUUUUGAGAAACGUGACACAGCAUGUUGAGUUAGCGUUUCAAACCUCAGCUGGCUGAUGUGUUCGAACCACUUAAUAACCAACAGACGAAACUAAUUGAGCUCUCGGAUGAUUACAAUCAGGAAUCUGAUGAUAUAAAGGGUAUUAUUAAUCUCUAGCCGAAUUAAUCGGCGUUGCCCGGGUUACUGAUGUUCUUAUUGAGAUUAGUAAACAAGAAAUAUAAUAAUAUAUAUUUUUUCUCAUAAUUAUUUGAAAAUAUCUAUAUUUUAUUAAAAACUAGCAGUAUCGCCCGGCGUUGCUCGGGUUUGUAAGGGAAAUAACUAUAUAAGCAUUUUUAGAGAGUUAUAGCCAAAAUAUAGCAAAAAAUGCAUUAAAAAAUGGAAAAAAAUUAUGGUAAAUUUUUUAAAAAAUCGAUGACUCAUCGUAGACAUUUUUAGAGAGUUACUUCCCUUAUAUAAUAGCGAAAAAAUGCAUUAAAAUGGAAAAAAAUGGUAAAUUUUAAAAAAAAUCGUAGACUCAUCGUAGACGCGCGCUAAUACCCAGAAGGGCUCGAUAUGAAUCACGACUAUAAGAUACCCGGUUUUGGUUAAACUGCACCGCAAAAUGUGGGAGUAGUUAGGAAUCUAAAUCGUAGGAGACAGACACACAACUUGACUUUUAUAUAUAAAGAUAUCCAAAUUGUAAUGAUAAUAAAAUUUAGAACUGAAAAUCUGUCAAAAUUAGGGUAAACAAUAUUCAUUGUGUAAUUUUUUGUUGAUGUCCAACUCAUGAUCAAACAACGUAGCGUUGGCCGGGGGAGAAGCAUGUAGUAGAGAGAUGAAAUCGAACUACCUUGAGGGCUUGACCUUGAGAUUUGCUAAUCGAAAUACCAAAUCUUAGUUUGACUGGAAACUGAAGCGUCUUAAAUUGAAAUGGAACAUCUGCAGAUAUGAAAGGAAAUUUUGGAAUAAAGACAUUUUUUUCUUUGUGACUACCUACUAUGAGUGUUGCCUGUAGGACAUGUGUGCUUCAUGGAAUUAACAAUUAAGCGAGUUCCACUACACAGACAAGAUGGGUCAAGCAACAUAAUGGGAGCAUCCAGCUUUAGUGUCAAGUUAUGCGGUGACAUCCCAGUGGGUUUAAGUGUAUUCAGAAAUUUAACAGUGUGUUGAACAGCUUGAUCUUGAUCGACUGUUGUGUGAAUUGAUAGAAAAGUCAUUUCUGGUGUAUCUGUUAACUGUUGAAGUUCAUGAUUGUGUUUAUCAACCAUUACAUUAGUUGGCGCCAGUAUAGCCCUUUCACAUAGCCAGUUUACAUCAGUGUCAUUGACAAUCAUACGUACACUUACACAUACAUACACUCUCACAUACACUCACAUACAUAUAAGACAUACAUUUACAUAACGAACGUGCAAACACACAUAGACAGACACCUACACACUCAUAUAGAAAACAUGUCGUCGUCGUGGUAUAAAAUGUCCCUUACUAUGUCGUACGUAACGAACGCGCAAACACACAUACACACACACACACAUACACUCACAGACACAUAUACUCUUAUAUACAAAAUGUGUCGUGUGCUGGUGGUAUAAAAUGUGUCGUGGUGGUGGUGGUAUAAAAUGUGUCGUGGUGGUAAGUAACGCACGCGCAAACACACACAUACUCACAGACACAUAUACACUGAUGUACAAAAUGUGUGGUGGUGCUAUAAAAUGUCCUUUACUAUGUCGUACGUAACGAACGCGCAAACACACACACAGACAGAUACAUACACCAUCAUAUACAAAAUGUGUCGUGGUGGUGGUUGUGGUAUAAAAUAUCGUUUACUAUAAUUGACUAUAGAAAACAAUUUUCGAGGAAAUGUUAUAUUGUUUUAAUCGAAAUGAAAAAAAUUACACGUUAACACUCGCGGUGUUUAAUACUAUUACUUUGUAAAUUUGAUUUGAUUUGAAGGAGCCGUUUGAAAUUGCAUAGGGAACAGACAGACAGACAGACAAAGAGUUAUAUAUAUAUAUAUAUAUAUAUAUAUAUAUAUAUAUAUAUAUAUAGGGAGAUGAGAAAAUGAUGUUGGAUUCUUACACCCACAUUAACACGCUCGUCAGACGUUUUUUUUCUCUAUGGUUCAGCGUAGAAUUUUCAUUUAUGAUUUGAGAUUUUAGUUGAUAUAUUCUCACUUGAUAGACUAAUUGCAGUUUUGUUCAACGUAGUUGGAGCCAAAUAGUCGACUCCUAUUUUGCAAUAAGCAGUCAGUUAAGUUUAAGUUUUCCUUCAUUACCAGAAAUAAUGUCAGCUUUGCCGUAUAAAUAUAUUUGUUCAAUCUCUAUAUUGUUUUAAGCUCUCAUAAAAUAGAGGAAUAUAAUACAGAAUAUUAUUGAUAUAAAAAUAAUAACAGUAUGACUGAAGUUUACUUCGUAAAUGUGUGGUUCGGGGUUCGAAUUCUUUACAUGACGUUUUGGACAUAACCUAGGGUCGACCAGUGUAUUGGGAAUGGAAUUUCGUAGACAGAAACGAAGAAAUAGCGUGGAAACAUAUUGUGUGUGUUCGUACACACGCACACACUCACACAAUGGAUUAGGUAGCCAAAAUUUCGAAGUCACUAUCAACAACAUUCUUGUAUAAGAAUAAAAAAAUUGUAUCCUACAAAAGUAUAAAGAAAUCCAUCAGAUUAUUGUCAAAUUGUUUUUAUUAUAAUUGAACAAAGAAACAAACUAUAUACACAUAUUUAUGUAUGUAUAUGUGUGUAUAUAUAAAACCAAUGUUGUCUUCGAAACAUAUGUCGAAAGUAAAAGAAUUUGAAUAGCAUCUGCGUUCAACUCCAUUUAUUUACUUAUAUAUAUAUAUAUAUAUACACACUUAUAUAUAUACAUGCAUGUAUGUAUAUAUACAUACACACCCAUAUAUCCAUGUGUCUGUGUGAGUGUGUAUAUAUAUACAUAUAUGUGCAUAUACAUAUAUAUAAAUACAUACACACAUACACACAUAAAUACAAAACGGCGUUAGUUUCGAAUAACUGCAACAUUUAUUAAGCAGUGGUAACUCUACAUGUAUUUGUUUGAAAUCCUUAGCUAUGGGGCUUGUGAUUAAUAAGAAAGCAUCCCUUUCUUCUUUUAGACAAACAGAACCGUAAUUGGGUAAUCCUCUUAGUGAUCUAUUUCGACAUAGUUGUCUCUCAACAGGAACGUUGAAUCAUUAUUCUUCAGCUGCCUAGAGAAGAACUUUAAUUCACUAUACUACCUCUUGCGUCGUAGCUAGCUGAUCGAAGAAACAACAUACCAUUCCUUGCAGAGAAAAAAAGCGGACAGGCAAAUAAUAAUCUAUAAUUUUCCUCAUUUAUAUGCGGACGUUUCUUAAAAAUGAAUCUUGAUGUUGAUCUCUUCAGGCACAGCUAUCGUUUAUAGUUACAAUGUAAAUAUGGUCUCGUCUUUUAUUACCGUUCGUUGAAUGACAAAGGAAGUAAUAUUUCUAAGCUCAUCCUCUAAAAAAAAAAAAAAAAAAAAAGACCACAGCUAUAUGUUAUUGCCGCAUAUUAUCUCUCCGUUGAUGUUUCCACAGGUCAAAUUUCUAAUAAUUCAUUCGAAGCAAACAAAAUAAAUUCAACUUCGUUUGUUUUUAUGAGUUUAUAUGAAUUUUUCCAUGUUUAACGCAUCAAAGAAUUUCAGUAGAAGAUUGGCAGAAUCGAUGCUGGAGCGUCGGAUAAAUGAUUAUUCGUGAGAAAGUUUGUCAGAAAUUUGAAGACAGCAUUUCAGUGAUUCAAAACUAGUCCACAUACACUGUUUCCUGCUCUUCUUUCAACUGAAAAUGGAGCAGAAAAUCAGUAGAAAUUUAGAAAAGAAUACUGGUUUAAAAUAUACAGUGCUGGACUAACUUUGAGAUAUCUGUUUGAUAAUAAUGGUUUCGAACCAUGCUGAGAUGCAUUUUGAAUGGAGACAAGUCAGCAGUAUAUAACACUAUCAAGACAAGAGGGAAUAUAUAUUUUCCUUGUUAGCAGAAUUUGAAACUGACUCCAAUUCUAUGAACCUGUUUUCAGAAAUACCUACCUUCAAACAAAAUGUACAAACUAAACGGAUACACACACACAUAUGCACACACGUAUAUGUUUCCACGCAUUAAAGAAUUUCAGUAGAAGAGUGGCAGAAUCGCUGCUGGAGCGUCGGACAAAUGACUAGUAAAGUACUUAGGGCGGGUACUAUUUAUACUCCUAUAAUGCACCCUAGACGGAAAAAACAGAAUUUAAGGACCGAAUCUCAUAUAUGUUACGUCGUUAUGUACUACAUAGAAUUCUCUUUCAAUGCUGGUGAAAUAACGUUCCUAUUUGUGCGUUUAUUGCUGUAAACCUAAUAGAUGAACACAUCAAAAAUCUAAUAAAACAGAACAUAAAAUUCCUUUAAUCAAACCAUAAACUAGCACAAAUAAUAUAUUACAAAACACUAUUGUUAUCAAUGAGAAACUAUAAAUAUGUAUACCGCACCCCCGCGAAUAAGCAACAAAUUGCCAAUGUAAUUUAUGCAUUCUGUCACGGAUGCGAAAGCUUUAAAAUGUCACGUUUACAAAUGCUAUAUUGGCUAUACAGAUAUGAUACUUCCUCGUUGGCUCAGCUUGCACUUACAACAAGGAGCAAUUGUGUUGCAGUACACCGCACAACACAAAGCAGUUCUGGUUACUUCAUCUUUUGGUUUAUAUAAUUUACGUUGUACCAGGUCUCUAUAAAACGUAGGCAUAAACACUAGACAUAAUGAUCAAGGACAAAGAAAGGAAGUGUGCUUAAUUGUAGAAAUUAAUUGUCCUAACAGAUUCUCACAAACUAUUGAUACCUGCACACAUACUCUUUACUCUUUUACUUGUUUCAGUCAUUUGACUGCGGCCAUGCUGGAGCACCGCCUUUAAUCGAGCAACUCGACCCCGGGACUUAUUCUUUUGUAAGUCCAGUACUUAUUCUAUCGGUCUCUUUUGCUAAGUAACGGGGACAUAAACACACCAGCAUCGGUUGUCAAGCAAUCAUAGGGGACAAACACAGAAACACAAACACACACACACACACACACACACACACACAUAUAUAUAUACAUAUAUACGACGGGCUUCUUUCAGUUCCCGUCUACCAAAUCCACUCACAAGGCUUUGGUCAGCCCGAGGCUAUAGUAGAAGACACUUUCCCAAGGUGCCACGCAGUGGGACUGAACCCGAAACCAUGUGGUUGGUAGACAAGCUACUUACCACACAGUCACUCCUGCGCCUAUAUGUAUAUGUAUUAAUACGUAUAUGUAUUAAUACAUACAUUUACCCUUUCACAUUUUUACUCUUUUACCUAUUUUACUCUGCAAGCUGGGGUCAUGCUGCAACGCUUUAACUCAUCUCUACCCUUUAGUGGUUUUUUGGUAAAUGCAGGAAUUCAAUGGUGCUGCCCUCACUUGCGUUUCUUGCCGUGAGGUAGGUUCAUCCGGAAUCUUAGAUUGUAGGAUGUUCUGUUAUUUCUUGAAAACGUCCACAUCUAUACCAUGUGGAUGUUCUGAAGCUAUUGCUACAUCUGGUCCUAAAUCUACAUGGCAAAGGUGGUACCUUUGGCAUUAUGCAAUGGUGUCCUGUUCUGUGAUUUUUGUUGUUCUGAAUGCCAAAAGAUCUGAUUUUUUCUCAAAUGGUAGUUUUGCAAAUAAUAUAGUGCAAAAUGCAAUAAUUCAAGUUAUUUUCUUUGACACUAUAUCAUCUAAAAAUACAAUAUUUCUUCAUAAAUUCUCUUUUGCUACUUUGUGUUCUAGAAUCAGUCUUAAAAAAAAAAAUCUUGUGAUUGGUUUUCGCUAACAUAAAAAUUGCUAUCUACACACUUGAUACUGUGAAAUUACAGAUUUUCAUGUGUGAAGUGCUACGCUAAUGUAUCAAACUGAAAAUAUUUCUGAACUUUUCAUAUGGAAUAUUUGCGUGUAUGGAAUGGUAUUAGAAACUGAGUGAUGCCGAAACAGAUGUAACUGGUAAUUAAAAAUAUGCUAAAAUCUUUCUUUAUUUUCCUAUUUGGAUUACACACACACACACAUACAAGAGAGAGAGAGAGAGAGAGAAAGAGAGAGAGAGAGAAGGAGUGUCUAAUGCAAGGUAAACUUAGUUGUGUGAUUUUGAUAAACACUUUUUAGCUAAGUAAUGACAAGUUGCUCGACUUAGUUUAAUCGCAUUGCUAGAGAUCGGUCGUUCACACUCACAAUGACAAAAUGACGUCGUUUAACUACAGUCUUUCUCUUUUACUUUGAGACUAAAUGUGUGUUUACUGAAAUGAUGAUUUGAGUAGGCGACGUAACGUCUCUGAUCCAGAAGUUUGGGUGUGCCUCUGAGUGAUUUUAUACCUAUUUCUUUACUACCCACAAGGGGCUAAACACAGAGUGGACAAAUAAGGACAGACACACGGAUUAAGUCGAUAACAUCGACCCCAGUGCGUAACUGGUACUUAUUUAAUCGACUCCGAAAGGAUGAAAGGCAAAGUCGACCUCGGCGGAAUUUGAACUCAGAACGUAGCGGCAGACGAAAUACCGCAAAGCAUUUCGCCCGGCGUGCUAACGAUUCUGCCAGCUCGCCACCAAUCAGUUGGGUAGCCUGUUUAUAGGAUGCGGUCUUGGAUGUCUGUAACACUGCCUCAGAUGUGAGAGCGAUACGCUAUUGAAGGUCUCACCAGAGCUUUGUAUAAGUUGAGUAACUGUUGGAAGCUGAAGUAUUUUUUCACGUCUCUGAAGAGGAAGUCAGUCUUUGUAAUGCUUAGGAUGUGAGAUGGACUAGGAGAGGCAUUGUCUGUGAUCGUAAAACCUAGCAUUGUAGAAGUGAUUUGAGUGUUCUUGUUACGUAUUGUUCAUGUUUAAACAGUGUACAAAAACCGUUCUUAAUAUGUAUAGUGAUUGUGUCUUUGUGCUGUUACCCACACAUAUGGAAGCACUCCGUCGGUUACGACGACGAGGGUUCCGGUUGAUCCGAAUCAACGGAACAGCCUGCUCGUGAAAUUAACGUGUAAGUGGCUGAGCACUCCACAGACACGUGCACCCUUAACGUAGUUCUCGGGGAUAUUCAGCGUGACACAGAGAGUGACAAGGCCGGCCCUUUGAAAUACAGGUACAACAGAAACAGGAAGUAAGAGUGAGAGAAAGUUGUGGUGAAAGAGUACAGCAGGGAUCACCACUAUCCCCUGCCGGAGCCUCGUGGAACUUUUAGGUGUUUUCGCUCAAUAAACACUCACAACGCCCGGUCUGGGAAUCGAAACCGCGAUCCUAUGACCGCGAGUCCGCUGCCCUAACCACUGGGCCAUUGCGCCUCCACGAACCCACACACAUAUACACAUAUAUAGAAUAAUAUACACAGACAUUUCAAAAGUAAAUAGACACCGUUAUUUUGAAAGAUUUAUUCCUAGAAGCAAAAUGUCGUUUAAUGCGUUUAAAUACGGGCAUCGUAUUAAUGACUAGUUUCCAUGCAAACAGAACGAUAUAACGGGCGGUAUCUAUUUACACAUGUGCGGUGUCUACAUAUUUACACAGAGCGGUGUCUGUGUACAUAUGUUGUCUUUCUGUCCCUACCAGAAGAUAUAUCACUUCUGAAUCUGUAUUAUCCAUAGUAUACUAAUCUAGACUCAUUCCAAGCAUUUAUCUCUCAACAUCUCCUUUUCGUUGUGUUGUACCUCUCUAACAUUAUACAAAACAUUUUUUUACCAAAUACUUCCUUAUCAGAAUCUUUAGUCUUCUGAAAUUCAAUUUAUACAAGCUUUAUUUGUGCAGACAAACAAGUACUGUUUCAUAUUAAAUAUUAACCAUACUUAACUAUCAAGAUUUAAAAUCUAGAAAGCAGUGGCAACUCGUAGAUAAAAUUAGUGGGGGGGGGGGGGUGCUGCUUCAGAAAAUUUUUAACCGUUGUUUUAAUAUUUUGUAAAAGGAAACAAACAUAUGAAAAGGAAAUUGAUACAUUAACUUGAUCGGUUCGUGUUUUAGCCACUGCCGGGUAGUGUGUUUAAUUUGUUCACUGAACACCAUUGCGAAUUUUCCCUUGUUUUUCAAAAAUCCACCCUAAAUCACAAAAUAAGUGGGGGAAAUCUGUUUUAUUUUUCAAAUCCUGGCAGCAACACUAUAGCUGGAAGCAGGAUAAUAAUCCUCAUUCUACACAUUAUCACAUUCAAGAAUAUAAACACGUUUUUAAGCACGACACACGUGGAAUAAAAAAACACACUACCUUUCACCAGCACACCAGAGUCGGCACUGCGGGAACCACAGCGCUCUCUCUCCCGAACGUGCAGCUUCCUAUCUCGGACAUGCGAGCAUGCGCACAACAGCCAAACAUUGGCUGGAACCGUGAAGCGCACAGUUUUAUACAAGGAUUUUUGUAUUUUUUUCAUAAACUAGGGAAUGGGCUACUGUCAUUAAGUUUAAGGAUUAUAUAAUGUACAAGUAUAAAGAAAGAAUUAAAGAAAAAAAGGACCCAUUAUAUUGAAUGAUAUCGAUAAUAUCGAGUGGAAAUAGGGGGUGCUGCACUUUUGCAGUGCCUAUACACGAAUACCCACUGCUAGAAAGAUCUAAAAAGUUAUAGACACUUUGUCUUCUUUACAUACCUAAAAUAAAACAAUUAUUUAUAACUCAAUAAAAACCGUUUAUUCCUAGAUAAAAAUUUAUAUACACAUAUAUUCAAUUCAUUAAUACACACUAUAUACCAGUUUGUAUGCUUUUCAAAGACAUUAAUCAGAAUACAUAAAUUGUAAAAUGAAAGCAUUUUUUUCAGUUUGAACAAUUGUUAUUAGAGAUAAAAGGAAAAUGUUUUAGCUGUCUGAUUGCACUCAAAUUUAUUAUAGGGAACAUAAAUGUUAAAUUGUUGUCUCAAUCUGCUAGUAAUAUUGACUUGAAAGGUUAAUAGGCAGCCAUAAAUUUUUGUAAACGCAAUUUUAUCUUGUCUUAUAGUGAAACAUAUUUCUUGCUCUUUUAACAAUAGAUUUUCUAUGAUGUAUAACGACAAGUAAACAGUAAUAUUCGUUUUCAAUUGCUUUCUUUGCUGUUGUUAUCAGCUCGGAAGGAAAUUACGUCUCCGUUAUCUUGCAAUAAAAUGAUAAUACUGUUAGGUAUGACUUCGCAGUUUAAAUUUACGCUUAAACUGAUUGUAUAAUUUAUUAAAAGUUUGGUGAAAUAUAUAGAGGUCACCAGGUGUAACUGUGAAUUUGUAGUUGGUAAGGAGUUUCUUAAGACUGUCUGUAGCAGGUUGAAAAGGCUGUGUGUUGCUUACUCUUUUACUGGUUUCAGUCAUUUGACUGUGGCCAUGCUGGAGCACUGCCUUUAGUCGAGCAAAUCGACGCCAAGACUUAUUCUUUGUAAGCUUAGUACUUAUUCUAUCGGUGUCUUUUGCCGAACCGCUAAGUUACGGGGACGUAAACACACCAGCAUCGGUUGUCAAGCGAUGUUUGGGGGGGGGGACAAACACAGACACAUGAGCACACACAGACACACACACACACAUAUACAUAUAUACGACGGGCUUCAUUCAGUUUCCGUCUACCAAAUCCACUCACAUGGCUUUGGUCGGCCUGAGGCUAUAGUAGAAGAUACUUCCUCGAAAGUGCCACGCAGUGGGACUGAACGCGGAACCAUGUGGUUCGUAAGCAAUUUAAUGAUUUUCAGAUACAUUGAAUAGAAUUUGUGCAAAAAGGUUUAUAGUCUCUUUUAUUCAAUGGUUACGAAGUUUUUCACGACUACAUCUUGGAAGUAAUUACAAAUGUAAGUUUUGUUUUGAAAGAAUUUCUUGUAGUAGGCUCUCCUAAGUUGCAGUGAAACUCGCGCGUAAUUACCAUUGAUGACAAGUAGCAGUGGAAAAAUUAAACAGAGAGAGAUAGAUAGAUAGAUUUUCAGAAGAGGGGAUUUCUCUACGUAAUCCCAAUAUAUAUAUUUCUUUAUUGCCCACAAGAGGACAAACAAGGACAGACAAAGGGAUUAAGUCGAUUGCAUCGACCCCAGUGCGUAACUGGUACCUUAUUUAUCGACUCCGAAAGUAUGAAAGGCAAAGUCGACCUCGGCGGAAUUUGAACACAGAACCAAGCGUCAGACGAAAUACUUAUUUCUUUAUUACCCACAAGGGGCUAAACACAGAGGGGACAAACAAGGACAGACAUAGGUAUUAAGUCGAUUACAUCGACCCCAGUGCGUAACUGGUAUUUUAUUUAUCGACUCCGAAAGUAUGAAAGACAAAGUCGACCUCGGCGGAAUUUGAACACAGAACCAAGCGUCAGACGAAAUACUGCUAAGCAUUUCGCCCGGCGUGCUAAUGUUUCUGCCAGCUCGCCGCCUUAACGUAAUCUUAAUAUAUAGCUGUGCUGUACAAGGUCAAUAAUAGUGAAAUAGAACGAACUAUUUAAAUUGAAAUCUGUCUCACCUAAGACACCGGCGGAUUUGACAGGUGAACACUAAUAAGUUUUGAGAACAAAAGACAAAAGCAUUGAAGAUUGAGGUUUUAAUUCUUAGUUACGAAUUCAGUAUGUGUCUUUUAACCAUGAUAUUGCGGUAAUUUUAUGCAACUGGAUUUUUGCAAGAUUUAUUAAAGUUCACAUGGAAAAUUGAUGCAGUAGGAAGGGAUCAAUGUUACAUUUAAAAUAAAGCUACCUGACUAUUCACAGUUUUGAAGUCCCAUGUGUUUGUAACCAAAAUCUCAGUAGCAAGAUUCCUGUUAAAAAUGUCUGUAUACAAUAAAAGUGGCUGAGUGGUAAGAGUUUGCCUUCCAAACACAUGAUUCCAGGUUCAACCCCACCAGCGUGGCGUAUGGUUAAAUGUCUUCUACAAUAGCCUCCGGCCGACCAAAGCCUUUUAAGUAGAUUUGGUUGACGGAAGCUGAAAAAACAUCCGUCGUAUAUCUAUAUAUAUAAAACUCUAGUUGUGUGAGUGUCUGUCCCCUUCGAUUUAGAUUCCUAACUCCUCCCACAUUUUGCGGUGCAGUUUAACCAAAUUCGGGUAUCUUAUAGUCGUGAUUCAUAUCGAGCCCGUCUGACUAUUAGCGCGCGUCAACGAUGAGUCUACGAUUUUAAAAAUAAUUUAACAUCAUUUUUUAUUCCAUUUUAAUGCAUAAAAUGCAUCGUAUGUCGAUGGCGGCGGAGUUGGCGUCCACGCUCACAGCUGCACCUGUUUGCUUCUCCCCCUUCCCUCCCUCGUGAAGCUGUGGGGAAGAGAGUGUAAAGAAAUCAACGUCGUAAUGCGUUGUGAAGGAAACCAGCGUUCUUUUAGAACAACGACUUCAUGGCUUGAAGACACCAAAACAAAAAUGGCUAAGAAAGCCCGAAUUUAUAAGGGAAGUAACUCUCUAAAAAUGCUUAUAUAGUUAUUUCCCUUACAAACCCGAGCAACGCCGGGCGAUACUGCUAGUCUAUAUAUAUAAAACUGUAGUUGUGUGAGUGUCUGUCCCCUUCGAUUUAGAUUCCUAACUACUCCCACAUUUUGCGGUGCAGUUUAACCAAAUUCGGGUAUCUUAUAGUCGUGAUUCAUAUGAGUCCGUCUGGGUAUUAGCGCGCGUCUACGAUGAGUCUACGAUUUAAAAAAUAAUUUAACAUCAUUUUUUAUUCCAUUUUAAUGCAUAUUUUUUCGUGUGUCGAUGGCGGCGGAGUUGGCGUCCACGCUCACACCUGCACCUGUGGGGAAGGGAGUGUAAGGAAAUCAACGUCGUAAUGCGUUGUCAAGGAGACCAGUGUUCUUUUAGAACAAAAACUUCAUGGCUUGAAGACACCAAAACAGAAAUGGCUAAGAAAGCGUCUACAUGAGUCUACGAUUUAAAAAAAAAUUUACCAUCAUUUUUUCCAUUUUAAUGCAUUUUUUCGCUAUUAUAUAAGGGAAAUAACUCUCUAAAAAUGUCUACGAUGAGUCAACGAUUUAAAAAAAAAAUUACCAUCAUUUUUUAUUCCAUUUUUAAUGCAUUUUUUUGCUAGUUUUUGCUAUAACUCUCUAAAAAUGCUUAUAUAGUUAUUUCCCUUACAAACCCGAGCAACGCCGGGCGAUACUGCUAGUAUAUAUAUACAAAAUUAAGAGGAAUGACCACUAAAGUGGAUACGCCAUUACCACGAAGACUAUGUUCUCAAGAAAAAAAUCCCAGCAAAACGCCAUAAUGUAAAAAAAUUUUUUUCAUUUUUUUUAAACGUUUUUACAUUUUGGCGUUUUGCUGGGAUUUUUUUCUUGAGAACAUAUUCUUCGUGGUAAUGGCGAUUUGACGUCUAUGUUUAGCAUAUAGGGUGUUCACUUAAGAGGUCAUUCCUCUUAAUUUUGUAUGUAGCACAAUUUUUAAUCUUCGGAUUUUUAAAUAUGCUAAGCCACUGGUUUUAAUUGAUUAACAUCAAUAUCUACCCUUAUUAUUUAAUUAUAAAUAUAUAUAUAUAUAUAUAUAUAUAUAUAUAUAUAUAUAUAUAUAUAUAUAUAUAUAGCUGUUGACGCAAACAGGAAUAAUAGAACUCAAAAUAUGAGUAUAUGUUUAUUCGUACUAAUAUUCAGCAGAUGUAACAGAGUGAAUCUAGGCCCGAGAGUUUCGGGCACUUGUCAUAAGUGCCAUAAAACUCUCGGACCUUGAGUCACUCUGCUAUUUCUCUUAGAUAUAAUAUAUAUAUAUAUAUAUAUAUAUAUAUAUAUAUAUAUAUAUAUAUAUAUAUAUAUCUGAGACCCCCUUCGGUCACGACACAGACCAUGGGAUUGCACCUAGAAAGUUACCCUGCCAGGCACAAGUCCGGCCAAUGUUGUUUAUGGAAGAUCAGCAGUCGCCCAUGCAUAUCGACGUCCCCUCUCCAUGCCACUGAUGUUAUCCAAGGGAAAGGCAAAGGCAGAUACAGCAUGGUACCAAUGGCGUCACAACUCAUUUCUACACCUGAGUGAACUGGAGCAACGUGAAAUAAAGUGUCUUGUUCAAGAACACAACAUGCAGCCCGGUCCGGGAUUCGAACUCACAACCUUACGACGCUCUAACCACUGAGCCAUGCGACUUCAUACACACACACACACACACACACACACACACACACACACACACACACACACAUAUAUAUAUAUAUAUAUGUGUGCGUGUGUGUAUGCGUGUCCGUGUCCCACAGCACUUGACAACCAUUGUUGGUGUGUUUGCGUUUCCGAAACUUAGCGGUUCGGCAAAAAUAUGACGGUAGAAUAAGUAACAAGCUUAAAAGAAAAGUACAGGGGUCGAUUCGUUCGACUAAAUUCUGUUCUUCAAGGUGGUGCCCUAGCAUGGCCGCAGUCUAAUGACUGAACCAAGUAAGAGAUAAAAGAUAGUGGAGAACCCUGACCGAGAGAAUCUUGAAGUGGUUUCGUUACCGACGUUGUAACUGGGAUAAAUAUUUGACUUGGGUCAGAAAUUAGAAGAGAAAAGAUAGAUAUCAGACAAUUAACGUAUUUAGAUCUCAAAGACUGGAUUAACGUGUAAGUAGCUGAGCAUUCCACUGUCACUGCAACUUUUAACCUAAUUUCCAGGCAGAAUCAGCGUGACACAAUGUGUAACAAGACUGUAACAUUGAAUAACAUUUGAACUCAGCCGACGGCUUUCUAAACAGUUUCCGUCCGCCCACUUGUGCUAACAAGAUAUAGGUCGACUUCAGAGUGACGUUUUCCCAACAUACACGCCGCGGGAUUGAAUCUGACGAUUCGUAGUUGCGAAGUGCACUUUUUGAGCAUUCGGCCAUACUUUGCACACGCACACACACACACACACACACAACACGGGUGCCAGAGCUGUAGUAGUCUCCCGUCCCGGAAAAAUGUACGCGGAUAACUAUUUAUGAAAGGAUCUUUACCUUUUGAGCUACAGAUUUAAAAAAUAAUUUUUUGUAACUAAGCACUUUCAAACUUCAGACACUGGUAGAAUGUGUCAUAUAAAACAUCUUUUACUCUUAGCAUUUUUGGCCGCAGUCAAAUGACUGAAACAAGUAAAAGAGUAAUAUUUAUUUGCACCUCCACAAUACAUACAUGCAUACGUAUCUAUCUAUCUAUCUAUCUAUCUAUCUAUCUAUCUAUCUAUCUAUCUAUCUAUCUAUCUAUCUAUCUAUCUAUCUAUCUAUCCAUCCUUCCAUCCUGUAAUGCAUUCACAGUUAUGAAGGGUUAAUACUAGAGAUAGAGCAAAAUAAAUAACUAAUUUAAUUCCAAUCGAAGUGACAUUUUGUUUGUGAUUACCAUAUAUCGCAGUUUCAUCAACGAAUCGUUAAAAUCAUAAUUAAUACCAUUCUUAAAAGGAGAGAAAAUAAACUUUAAUAGAAGAACGGUUAAGAUUCAGGUCAGUUUAUAAGUCACGAAAUAGGAGAAUGAUUUAAAUGAUAUGAAUAAAAUAAUUAAAAUACCAUUAAACAUGGAAUUACAUGAGAAGUAUAAGCACUUAAACACCGAUAUAUAAAUUACAAUAUUCUUUUCUACUUUAGACUCAAGGCCCGAAAUUUUUGGGGAGAGGGCCAGUCGAUUAGAUUGACUCCAGCACGCAACUGGUAUUUAAUUUAUCGACCCCAAAAGGAUGAAAGGCAAAGUCUACUUCGACAGAAUUUGAACUCAGAACGUAAAGACAUGAAAUACCAAUUUCUAUUUCUUUACUACCCACAAGGGGCUAAACACAGAUAGGACAAACAAGGACAGACCAACGGAUUAAGUCGAUUACAUCGAUCCCAGUGCGUAAUUGGUACUUAAUUUAUCGACCCCGAAAGGAUGAAAGGCAAAGUCGACCUCGGCGGAAUUUGAACUCAGAACGUAACGGCAGGCGAAAUACGGCUAUGCAUUUCUGCCAGCUCGCCGCCUUAUAUAAAUUACAAUAUUGUAGAAUUAAACUACUAUGCAAGGAUAGGUAGAAUGUGCGCCUUUAGGAUAUAUCACAAAAUAUUUGUGAUAUUCGUUGCAUCGCUCUACGUUAUGAGUUCAAAUCUCGCCGAGGUUAACUUUGCCUUUCAUCCCCACAAGCUCCAUAGAACAGUGUACCAGUCAAUUACUAGAAUCGAUUUUUGUCUAUAAAUCUCUUCUUUCAAAUGUCUGGCCUAGUGCCUAUAUUAGGCACUCCUGGGACAAUGAACUAAUCUUGAGAAUAAGAUAAAAAUUAGAAAUGAAAAAUAGUAUAUGUUCGUAUAUUAUAUUAAAGACAGAAUGUAUAAUUAAUCACGGAAGUUUAGAUCUAUUUAGAUUCGUAUAGAAAAAGCUGAUUAUUUAACACAAAUCCUCUAUGGGGACUGUAAAAAUUGAUUCAAAAUCUAUAAAUAUAUUCACAGGGCAGAUAAAGCCCUCGUAGACGAGUUAUAUUAUUUGUUAUAGUUCCAAGUUUUUUAGCAUAUAUAAUUGUUUAUACAAGUUGAAAUUAUCUGAGAAUUUCUAUUGAAGAGGGAAAAUUUUAAGAUCAAUAUGUACGAGGUGCAUUCAAAACGUACCCGACUUUGUUUUCACUACCAAAACUAAUUCCACGUGGGUAAAAAUAUUUCGAUGGGAGGUGAGGCCACCUUUCCCGCGCAUGCGUGAAAAUUUUAGAUAGGCGAGUCAGUUCCUGGCUGUUACUCCUAGGGUGCAGACGUGUAGUGCGUACACGUCGGAUUUCCGUUUUUACGCAAUACAACCGAGUAGAGACUAUAAACCCAUGUCUCAUCACCAGAGACGAUGGUCUUCAUGAAGUCUGGGUCGUGUUUUGUACAGUUCAGUAUAUCUUGAACGAUUUCCAUACGGAGGUGGUUCUGUAACUCCGAAUUUCGCUGACACUCUCCGCAUGCACAAAUCCUAUGUUAAAAGGGAAUGCACUGAUCCUGUGCUCAUUCCCACUUCGUGAGCAAUUUCCUUGAUUAUUACACGACGGUCUUCCAUAACUAUUCGUCGAACCUUCUCAAUUGGCUCCUCAUUUCGGUUCGUGGAUGGCCUACCUGAGCAUGCCUCGCUCUCCACUGAGGUGCAGCCAUGCUUGAAACGGUUGUACCACUUAAUCUGAGUUUUACCAUGGCAUCAUCGCCAAAGGUCUGCUGAAUCUUCUGGAUGGUUUGAGCUUGAGUAUCAACAAGCUUUUGGUAAAACUUGUUGCAAUAUCUCUGCUCGAUGCGUUCAAUGAAAGCAAGCGAAAAUCCAACGAGCACUCACUAUACGUCUAUGCUCUAAAUAUAACGCGCAGCAACUGACGCAGCCUACUGGCAGGAAAUAUCUUUUCGCAUGCGCAGAAAGGGUAACAUCACAUUCCACCUAAAGAACUUUGCUCACAUGGCAUUUGUUUUGGCGGUAAAAAAUAAAGUCGGAUACUUUUUGAACAGACAUCGUAUAUCACAUGCUUUAGGUAUACAAACCGAACAGGGCUUGCUUAAAUCCUGAUACAAAAUAGCGAAACAAACUAAUCUUUAUUUAAUAUUAUAGAUUAGAUUUUCGUUAUUUUUAAGACUCAUGGGUAACAAGAAAAGCUAACAUCAAUACGUUUAAGUUUGUUACGGAAAGUCUAACUUCGAUGUAUGAUCUUGCUUUGAAUUUUGUUGGCGGUUAAUCCAAUAUAAACAAUGCCUUUGAAGAUGCGUCUACGCUCGAGAAGACAUCCAGACGGACGUACAAUGCUGCAAGAUCAUACACUUUGAAUAUUGAAUGGAUUAUAGAGCUUGGUUUGGUUCAAAUCCAAUAGGGAUCGCGAAAAUAUUUAGUGUGGUCCAAUAGGAAACUUUAGCGUUACUGAAAAUUUUCCAAUAUCUGUAGCUAAGAUGGGAGUGUUUUUUGUUUGGUUUAGAUAAUAUUUUGGCCACAAGUGUAGAAAAGUUUUGACUAAAAGGGCGGCUAGACAAGUUGAUAUGUUUUUAAAAUUAUUUUGGCUUUAAUGAGAAUUUGGGGUUUAUAUAGGGCAUUAUUUUAAAAAUUUGUUGUUAUUAGGUUAUUGACAAUUCGUUGGACGAAAUCGUGAUGAAAGGUAAUCUCAAACCUCCUCUGUGGAUGUAUGCAUGUUAAUGUAGUAUUACGGCAGUAUUACAAUGCAGUUAUAUGACAUUUUCUUGUCGGGUACAAUUCAAAUCACUGUCGUGUCGAGUUGAACUAUGCAGAAAUACCUUGAUUUAUCAACUAAAACUGAAUCACAUCCAUCUGAGGAAUCUUCUAUUCACCGUGAAUGUUAGGGAUAUUAGUAAUUCGUGUAUAUAUUUAUAUGUGUGUGUAUGUAUGUAUGUAUGUAUGUAUGUAUGUAUGUAUGUAUGUAUGUAUGUAUGUAUGUAUGUAUGUAUGUGUGUAUGUAUGUAUGUAUCAUUAUAUGUAUGUAAUGCAGUAUAGGCCUUUAAGAUGUUACGUGAACAAAAACAGAUCAACCACUGCAUAUAGUAUAACAAAAUAUAUUAAAUGAUAUAGACAGUUAAUGAUAAUACAUCGUGAAUCAAAGGUUCUGUAUUGAGCAGUUUUGGGAAUCACAAGAGGAUUAAAAAUUCUGGCGUUCACUCGAAUGUCAGUAAUUUUUAUGAAACAAUUGUUAGGAGGCAUAAUUCAUAUCAAGUUGAUAUAUGCUAUUAUUAUAUAAUUAAAUAUAGGGUGGCGAGCUGUCAGAAUCGUUAGCAUGUCGAGCAAAAUGAUUAGGGGGUAUUUCGUUCGUCAUUACGUCCUGAGUUCCAGUUCUGCCGAGGUCGACUUUGCUUUUCAUCCUUUCGAAGUCAAUGUAAUCAACUUACUCCCUCUCUCGAAAUUGUUGUCUUUGCGCCAAAAUUUGAAGCCAUUAUUUAUUUAAAUAUAAAGAAAAUGAAGGAUUUAUAAAGUAUGGCUAAAGGAAAAGAUUUUAAAUAAACUGCUUUAUAUGGAAUGUUAUUGAGUUGAAAUCAUAAAGGUAUUACUGAUUGCAUUCUUAGAUUAGAAUAUAGAGAGGUUUUGAUAAGGUUUGACUGUGAGAUCAGGAGUGUCUCAUAGUCAGGUAAAACUGAAGGUAAAAAUAGUGUAUGACUACUCUCUGAAAAUAUGCAGUGAUCCACUCAAUCUUUUAGUAUAAUCUUCUGCUGUUUUAGUUGAUAUUUAUCGAAGUGGAGGUAUUUAAUAGAAAUCUCUAAUCAGCUAUGAGCAGCUCUAAACAUUUUCGCCAUGGUUACGAGCAUCAUUAAUUUGAUAUUGAAUGCAGUAGCAUGUUCUUUUAAAUUUCACACACAAGAAAUUAGAUAGCCUUGUUACAUUUACUCUUUUCUAUAUUUCUGAAAUGUGGUUGAAAUACGGUUGACCUUACGUCAUACCUAUUUACUGAUUUAUUCAUACUAUUUAGGUUUGGUUUGGUUUGGAGAGGGUUUCUGCUAUGUACAUAAUUACUUCUGCGUUACAUGAUUGAUUAAGAUGACAUAUAUUUGUAGUUCUGAGUGUGCUAUUAACCCCUGUUAAUACCAUUUUUCAGGAUUUUGAAAUCUUUGGCUGGGUGGCAAAAGUCUAUAUUAAUAUAUGUGGGUUUUUUCCUUAGGUUUGCUAUAUCGUUUAAUGACGUUAAAUGAAUCAAAAACAGUUAAAAAAAAAAAGAAUUUCUUUAUGCAAAAACAUACGACAUAUAAGAACUAUUUUUUGCUAUAAACUAGUAAUUGUUGUGAAAACAUUAUGAAAGCAAAUUAAUUCAAAGAAUUGUUGCUUCUUAAACUCCAGAACCCUCAGAAAAUCUGUUUUAUUAUUGGAUAACUGAAUGCGUAAUUUUUAUACAUCAUAUGGCAUUAACUUAUGUGCUUGCGUAUCUACAAAAAGACGGAUUCACAAAAAUAUGUUUUACAAAGAAUAAUAGAAUUGUAAUAGUGUUUUCGAUAAAUCCAGAUAUCCGUCAUGGCACCAGAAAAUGGUUUCAGGGAUUCUUUUCAAGACUUAGCUUUUAUUUGAGUAUCUGAACUAAUUUCAAUUACAUUUUCAUAAACCAUCGCCAGAAAUCUUGUCGGCUUUUCUUUAAAAUUGAAUUUAUUUUGGAACCAAUAAUUAUCCAUUUCUGUAAAUCUAGAAAAUACUCGUUUAAGAUUCUAAAAAAGCUGCAUAGAUGAUUAAAAAAAAAUGGCGGAAUCGUUAGCAUGUCGGACAAAAUGCUCAGCGACAUUUCGUCUGUCCUUACGUUCUGAGUUCAAAUUCAGCCGAGGUCGACUUUGCCUUUCAUCCUUUUGGGGUUGAUAAAAUAAGAACCAUUUGAGCACUGGGGUCGAUGCAAUCGACUUAUCCCUCCCCUGAAAUUGCUGGCUUUGUGCCAAAACUUGAAACCAAUAUUACUACAGAUUUUAAGGCGGCAAGCUGGCAGAAUCGUUAGCACGCUGGACGAAAUGCUUAGCGAUAUUUCGUCUGUCUUUACGUUCUGAGUUCAAAUUCCGCCGAGGUCAACUUUGCCUUUUAUCCUUUCGGAGGUCAAUAAAUUAAGUACCAGUUGCGUACUGAGGUCGAUCUAAUCGACUGGCCCUCUCCCCCAAAAUUUCGGGCCUUGUGCCUAGAGAAGAAAAGAAUCGCUAACACGCUGGGCAAAAUGCUUAGCGGUAUUCUGUCUGUCUUUUACGUUCUGAAUUCAAAUUCCAUCGAGAUCGACUUUGUCUUUCAUCCUUCAGGGGUCGUUAAAAUAAGUACCAAUUGAGCACUGGGGUGGAUGUAAUCGACUUGUCCUACUCUACCGAAAUUGCUGGCCUUGUGCUAAAAUUUGAAAGCAAUGUUAUUACAGUUUUUGAGGCGGCAAGCUGGCAGAAUCGUUUAUACUCCGAGCAAAAUGCUUAGCGAUAUUUCAUCCGUCAGUAGCCUCCAAAUACCGUUUAUAUUUUCGAAGGAGAUCAUUAAGAAUCAGAAAACUGUCAAAAGUAUUUUUUUCCACAGCUGAGAGCCAGUAUUACAAUUUAUAUAAUAACUAUACCAUUCUAUCUUUGUCUCGAAAAAUGUUCACUUUAUCCCUUGCAGAGAUAAGCAUGAUUCAUUCAAUAAUAUAAAAUAUCGGCUAUGUGUGCAGUUCUUGGUAGCCAAGUUGUAAUCUGUCGACUGUCAGCAUAUCUUUAUUACAACGUGAUAUCCAUCUAACUUCUGAAUGUAACAGAAAAUCGUAUAUUGACACAGGGUCAGACACUUUUCUUAUAAUUGCAUUUGUUCCACUGCUGCAGCAUGGUGCAAUAGACCUACCCAAACGUAUAUCGUGCCUUUCAUAAAAUUGCCAAAACAAUGAAGUAUAUUCAUAUAGAAGUAAAUUUUAAAAUUUUUGGUUUUAAAAUCAUGUCGAAUAAAACGAGCAAAAUUGAAGCAAUGUAUGUGGACUCGUCUUGUAAUGCGUAAAUGUCACAUUCAUGUAAUUUAUGAAUUAAAAAUUCCACUUUAAUAUCGUCAACAUAUCUCAAUACAGUAACAUGGAAAGAGAAAGGUUCCUCUUUUUUUUUCACAGAAUCUGCAUCAACUUAUAUUUAAUACGAGAAUGACCGUGGGAUUGCACCUAGAAAGUUUGCCCGGCACGAGUCCGGGCAAAGUUGUUUAUGGAAGACUAGCAGUCGCCCAGCAUACAAGCCUUCUCUCUCCACGCCAUCGAUGUUGUCCAAGGGAAAGGUGAAGGCCGAUACUGCUCGGUACCAACUCAUUUUUACCGCUGAGUGAACUGGAACAAUGUGAAAUAAAUUGUCUUGUUCAAGAACACACAGUUCGGUCCAGGAAUCGAACUCACUACCUCAUGAUUGUGAGUCCGACGCUCUAACCACUGAGCCAUGCGGUAACUUGCUUUAUAUCAGUGUUUCUCAUGGGGUGGUGUUGAUAGCUGUAGAGAUUGAAAAAGGAAGCUUAUAAGUGUUAUAUAUACAUAUACAUACAUGCAUACAUACAUACAUAUAUAUAUAUAUAUAUAUAUAUAUAUAUAUAUAUAUAUAUAUAUAUAUAUAUAUAUAUAUAUAUAAUCAUAAUUCUGAGAAAUCAGAGCCAGUUGUUUCUGACUGUUGAAAUAAAUAACUUGUCAUGACACGCUUUUCACUUUGUGUUUCACUUCUGCAUCCCCAAGUGUCUCCACAUGGUACUUUGAGAAUAUUCUAGAAGCCGGUACAUAUACGCAAUUCUAAACACCAUAUCACGCUGAGUCAGUACAUUGUGUAGGCUGAAAUCGCAACCUGCUGGCAGUUGAUGUCAUAUAAAAGUUGUGACUAAAUUGGUGACCUACUGGUUGUUCAAACCGUGCUUUUUAUAACUGAAACGAGGUUUUUCUAGUAAACCCAAAGUAUUUGAAAGACUAGGUUCUUUUGUUUUCAAAAACAAAGCAAUGGUUAUUCAAGGUAAUGAAAAAGAAAGCCUAGCUUCAUAUGUUACAGCAAUCUUGUCUUGUGUAAAAGUGCUCUUUAUGAUGUCAGGAAGGAUUGUAAAUGUUAUGAAAGGUUUUACAAUUGGUGAAUCUUUAAUUUUGCGCACUGCAUAUGAAAUGUGUCGUUGUGCAGACGUUGAGAACAUUGUAUUACAGUUAAAAUUAAAACCACUUUCCAAUAACUGUAAAACGCAGAAUAGACGAAAUGUCAAAUGAUUCGCUAAGUCAACUUGUCGGAAAUAGAACUUUUAAGAGGAAAUGGACCAUAAUUUAUCCGCCACAAAUCUAUUAUCAAGAACGUUAAUUUUAUUAAAACCAAUGAAACCAAUUUUAGAUCAUAUUCUGAAUUAUGGAAUGUUGGAAAAGCUGACUGGUUGUAUUGGGUUGUCCGAAAAGUUCGUGCCGAUUUAGAGUAGCUUAUUUUUCGACUUAUUUUAGAACAUGGUUGAAUCCAUAAAAUAGGAUUUGACUACACCUCCAUUUAGAGAACACUGUUUACGCUAUCUUUUCGUGGAAGAAGGUUUAUGUUCCUAUAACCUGUGUUAAUUCUGUAACCCUUUAAAAUGGAAGAUAAAGAAAGUUCAUUUUCGGCACUUGAUGCUUUGGGAACCAGACAAAAAAUGCUGCAGCUCGGCUGGGAUGUGUUACCACACCCUCCAUAUUCACCAGAUAUUGCUCCUUAGGAUUUCCACUUAUUCAGGUCUCUGCAGAAUAGUCUUAAUGGUAAAAAUUUAAAUUCCUUCGAUGACGUAAAAAGAUACCUUGAUGAAUUCUUUGCCACGAAACCACCUCAAGAGGGUAUUUUCAAGUUAAAGGAAAGAUGGAGACGCAUUGUGCAACAAAAUGGUUCAUAUUUGGUUGAUUAAAAAUGUAAUGGCAUAUGUCCUUCUUGCCCAAAUGCCUCAGUAAACACUGCGUUAAAUGCAUCACGUUGACACAACUAACAAAGUAGAUGUCUAUCUUACUCGAUAAAUCCAUGAGGAAGCUUUUGUGUGGUCUCUCUACUUCAUAGAAAUUGCAACGAAAUCUUCAAACUAUACCCAAAAACUUUGGGAAAGGAAAAGAAAAGACACACUGGAUAGUCUAAUAUAACCGUUGGUUGUGGCUAAAAUGUUUUUGAUCAUAUGUGUACAAUAAUAAGGAUUGACCUGGAACAAAACCGAGUCAAAAGCGAAUAAAAAAAUUACAUGCUAUUAUCUGAUUCUAUUACUUGAACCACACGACUACCACUACCAUCGCCGUAACUUAUCGAACAAUAUACAAUAUGCUACGAAGUAAAUAGGAAUGAUUUUAAUCGACAAACAGUUGUAUUCAUUCUCUGCUUUAGCGAUUUCGCUUCAUUGACGUUUCUAAAGAUUUUUGGAAGAAGCAAACCGUCGUAAAUUUCCUCCACUUCAAGGAAGUUAUGGUAACAGCUUCAAUACUUGUUUACACACGACUGACUUAGAUCUAUGCAACAACAAUAACAACAACAGCUGCAACGUUCGCAACAGAUAUCUAAUUUCUUCGUUCUUGGUUCCAUUCAGUUACAUAACUAUUGUUGUUUGCUUUUUGCCUUUGGCAAGGAAUCUUAUAUCCAGAAAAAUAAGUCGAUUGAAAGAGUUCAUAUCAAUAGAUUUUCCAGUCUCCGUUGACCUUUCAUUCCUUUUAAUUAGUCACUUAAAGGAAGAGGGGCGAUGUCAUUGACCUUUUCGGAGUCUUGCAUACCGGAGAGAUUGAUGUUCAAUGUGGGCGAGAAACUUGUUGGUAAGGUAUUUCAGAGGUCUCAGAUAUGAACAGAAGGGUUUCUAUAAGUGUUUCGCGAGAGAUCUACGUAUGACACACUAUAGGGUUGAUGAGAACAGAGACAGAAAACAACUGGGCCUGGGUCAAGGAAAUAUGUGGCUAGCUGGACCUUUUGUAAACUAACAUUGUAGUAGUUUUAGAAGCGACAUAAAGAGAAAAUUGCGUGUAUACGAGCUAGUGGUUGUACUGAUGAUAUCUUUGUUAUGAUGAAAAAGACCAGGUUGUUAUGUUUAACAUGAAGGAUGUUCUGAAAGUUUCUGUCCGUAUAGAUAGUAGUAGAGGUAGUAGCGACAAAACGAUAGAAUAAACAACAUAUCUGAAGUACAACCUAUUUCUUUACUACCCACAAGGGGCUAAACAUAGAGGGGACAAACAAGGACAGACAAACGGAUUAAGUCGAUUACAUCGACCCCAGUGCGUAACUGUUACUUAUUUAAUAUUUAAUCGACCCCGGAAGGAUGAAAGGCAAAGUCGACCCCGGCAGAAUUUGAACUCAGAACGUAACGGCAGACGAAAUACCUAUUUCUUUACUACCCACAAGGGGCUAAACACAGAGAAGACAAACAAGGACAGACAAACGGAUUAAAUCGAUUAUAUCGACUCCAGUGCGUAACUGGUACUUAUUUAAUCGACCCCGAAAGGAUGAAAGGCAAAGUCGACCUCGGCAGAAUUUGAACUCAGAACGUAACGGCAGACGAAAUACCGCUAGGCAUUUCGCCCGGCGUGCUAACGUUUCUGCCAGCUCGCCACCUAGAAGUGGGAUAGUAACACAGGUCAGUUGCUAUAUACUCAGCCAUUCCAGAUCGCAUCUAAUUAAUGGACACCGUGCGCCAAAUACUUGUCUCAAAACUAAUGUCCUCUUUCGGUCUCUUCUAUCAUUACUAAAAUUGUUGCUGCGCCUAUGAAAUCGUAAGCUUUGUACCAAACGCAUCCAUCAUAUUUCCUCAAAUCAUAAUUACUGUGUCUUACUCCAACUAAGCACACCAUUAAAUCUUGCUUCCUCAAAACUUCAAAUACCUGGAACUCCCUACCAGUUCACACAUUCCCUAUCAACAUAAACGAUCAAAAGUUCAAAUUAAGCAUCAACUGCAUUGAACUCAACCACUUGUGGUAGCUGAAAAUGUUAUAGUGACCGUUCCUCUUCAUUUAAAACGAUAUUAAAACAUGUUUAUUACAACUAAUUACUAGUAUCAACACGGGAGGGAAGAAACGCCAACCCGAUUGCAGUGGAAUUUGACCCCAAAAUAUAAGUGGGCGAAACUAAAUACCAUAUAAUCCCUUUUGUCGCUUCACUGCUCUUUUUUUUUUUUAUCUUAUCGGUUAUUGUGCUAAGUAACAAUAACUGAUCUAUCAAAUAUCCUGUCCGCCCAUGCAAACACAUUAUUUGUCAUAUCACUAACCGUUUUUUUAAAAAAUUUUCUGUUUAUCCACAACCAUCCCAACAUAUGAAAUUAGCUAAGUUAAUGUUAAUAUAUUUAAUUCAACUAAAGGCGGCGAGCUGGCAGAAACGUUAGCACACCGGGCGAAAUGCGUAGCCGUAUUUCGUCUGCCGUUACGUUCUGAGUUCAGAUUCCGCCGAGGUCGACUUUGCCUUUCAUCCUUUCAAGGGUCGAUAAAUUAAGUACCAGUUACGCACUGGGGUCGAUGUAAUCGACUUAAUCCGUUUGUCUUGUCUUUUUUCGUCCCCUCUGUGUUUAGCCCCUUGUGGGUAGUAAAGAAAUAAAUAUAUUUAAUUCAAUGAACAUUAAACAGCUAUUUGGAAAUCAGUAUAACAAAAGAAAAAAUAAUAGUCGGUGAUUAAUAUAUUUUAGUUAUUCCAGCACGUACGAGAGACAACUCCAGGCAUGUUUCGGUAUCAUUACGACUUCAUCGGCGGAGCAUAAACUUAAAAGUAUUUGGCAAAGUAAUGAUAGAAGAAUCACUAAAGGAUACAUCGGAAAAUGAAAACUCUUUUAUACAAAACUAGCAGUAUCGCCCGGCGUUGCUCGGGUUUGUAAGGGAAAUAACUAUAUAAGCAUUUUUAGAGAGUUAUAGCCAAAAAGUAGCAAAAAAAUGCAUUAAAAAUGGAAAAAAAAUGAUGGUAAUUUUUUUAAAAAUCGUUGACUCAUCGUAGACAUUUUUAGAGAGUUACUUCCCUUAGCGAAAAAAUGAAUUAAAAUGGAAAAAAUGAUGGUGAAUUAUUUUUAAAAUCGUAGACUCAUCGUAGACGCGCGCUAAUACCCAGAAGGGCUCGAUAUGAAUCACGACUAUAAGAUACCCGCUUUUGGUUACACUGCACCGCAAAAUGUGGGAGUAGUUAGGAAUCUAAAUCUUUGGAGACAGACACACAACUUCUCUUUUAUAUAUAAAGAUAAACAGCCAAAAGCGAUAUGGUCACGGCUGAAAUGUCUUUUAUCACCAGGUUAUAAAUGAAUUGUUUAAAAAAUACUGAACUUUAUGUUAGCCGAUAAAAUAAUAAUCCUGUCUUUAUUGGCCACAUAAGAUAAUAAAAUAAAUUAAUAACCGUUUCUAUUACUGGCACAAGUCCUGAACUUUGAUUGAAGGGGAACAAUCAAUUAUUUCGACUCCAGUGCUCAACUGGUACUUAUUUUAUUGAGUCCGAAAGGACGAAAGGCAAAGUCGACGUCCGCGGAACGUAAAGACGGACGAAAUACCUCUAAGUAGUUGUCUGACGUGCUGACAAUUCUGCCAGCUCACCACCCUAAGAUAAGUUAAUGAUAAACCAAAACAUGCCCGGACUUGACGAAAACAUUACAAUAGUAUAGUUAAAUAUAUAAAUAUUUAUAAUUGUAUAAUAUUUAUAAUAUGUAUAAAUAUUUCUAGUUUUAUAGUUGAUUUGUGAAUGUUGUUUGUGUGAAAUAUAUUAACACUCAUAGAAGUAAUUCGAAAUAUAUGAACAGAUUUAGAGCAGAAAGUUAUUUAAAAAUAUGUUACUUUCUACACUGAAAUAUUGCAACUGAAAAUCACACUAAACAAAACGAAAGCAGAAAAAGAAAAUCAGGAAACAAACUAGAAAUGACAUUACGACACGAAGUUUCAUUAUUUUGAUCUCGAGCCAACGAGAAGUUUCUCGGCGCUAAAAACAGUUGCCUAAUUUUUACUGAAAUUACUGUGUUACGUAAUUUUAAAAGUAUGAUUUACAGUAUAAGUAAAUACAUAUUAAGUGCCUGACCCUCUUGCAAAAAAAAAAAAAAAAGAAAAGAAAACGUGUUGUUGAAAUUUCCAUACACAUAAACACGAUCAAUAAAACAGGGUAAGUAAUCGUUUUCUGUAUUUUUUUCCCUAAAUUUUUAACUUCAAAACAAUCUUGUAAAACCUUCCAUGGGAAGUACGUCAGCAAUUUUUUUGUAUGAUGUUCUGUGUGAUGUAAAGAGAAAAGAAUUGUUAAUCACAGAUCUAACCUCUUGAAAUGGGAGGGCUACAAAGGGCAGAGCGGUCAAUAUCUGGAAUACCUAUUUCUUUACUACCCACAAAGGGCUAAACACAGAAGGGGACAAACAAGGACAGACAAAAGGAUUAAGUCGAUUAUAUCGACCCCAAGUGCGUAACUGGUACUUAUUUAAUCGACCCCAAAAGGAUGAAAAGCAAAUUCGACCUCGGCGGAAUUUGAACUCAGAACGUAGCGGCAGACAAUAUACCUAUUUCUUUACUACCCACAAGGGGCUAAACACAGAGAGGACAAACAAGGACAGACAAACAGAUUAAGUCGAUUAUAUCGACCUCAGUGCGUAACUGGUCCUUAAUUUAUCGACCCCGAAAGGAUGAAAGGCAAAGUCGACCUCGGCGUAAUUUGAACUCAUAACGUAACGGCAGACGAAAUACGGCUACGCAUUCCGCCCGGCGUGCUAACGUUUCUGCCAGCUCGCCGCCUUAUCGGUCAAUAUCUGGAAUACCUUACUGAUAAGUUUGCGUUGCCAAGCUUGAUCUGAAGAAAAAGCAGAAACCAACAGAGGUUAUUUUGGUUUGAACAUUUGAACAGGUGUUAACGAAGCCAUGUUAUUAAAAAGUCAAUUUAUUAUCUGCGUUUCCAAAUUAAAUUGGCGUAAUGACAAAUAGAAAUAUGCUAUCAGAAUAUUAAAUCAAUCAACUAGAAUAAUGACCAAACAACCAUGCAAAGCACAUAACAGAAAUUACUCCCACAAGAAUUACCAUUUAUUCCUCUUAUACGUCAUGCUACUUCACUAUUUUGACCUCGAGUCUAUAACAGAGUUUAAAUGUGCUCUCUCAACUUGCAAGAAAUAGUAGUCAAAUCUCGCUAAAAUUACCUUCCUAUCGUCUUAAAAAGAGAUAAUCACAUUAGGUAGGCGAAAGCAAUGUGGUGGACAACGAAAAACCUGGCUGAUGACAGUAAGGGCUGAUCUGGAACCCAGCCUAGGCCCCCCAUAUCUACGGCGUUCGCCGCUGGAAUAAGGAGUGGUUGGAGAUGACGCGGUCGUUAGCCUCAAAUCGCCAGGCCUGGUCGGCGUUUGUGAGAGAUGCAGCAUUGAGGAUGAAUGAAGCCAGCUCAACCCACCCCGGGUGAAUACUGUAAGAAGAAGAAGAAGAAGAAGAAUAUAUUCUUAGUUAUACAAUGCUGAGAAAAGAACGGAACACUCGUGGCAGUAAUGCCUUUGCUCGUAAAUCUGCUUCGUUAUACUUGACCUGGAGAAAAAAAAACAAUGACAGUAGCAUGAACAACGGUUAUUUUGGCCCGAGCAUUUUAACUAGUGUUAACGAAGUGGUUUUUUUGGAAAUCUAUUUUAUCGUUCAGGAGAGCAAAUUAAAUUGACCUAAUAACUAUUAGAAAUAUGUCAUUAGAAUGUUCAUACUUGUAUGAUGUUUCCUUCUAUUUACCCAUUAAGUAUUUCAUCUUUGUGUUGUCCUAUCAAGUAUUUAUACUCUCUAAUGUGGAGGCGCAAUGGCCCAGUGGUUAGGGCAGCGGACUCGCGGUCGUAGGAUCGCGGUUUCGAUUCCCAGACCGGGCGUUGUGAGUGUUUAUUGAGCGAAAACACCUAAAAGCGCCACGAGGCUCCGGCAGGGAUGGUGGUGAUCCCUGCUGUACUCUUUCACCACAACUUUCUCUCACUCUUACUUCCUGUUUCUGUUGUACCUUUAUUUCAAAGGGCCAGCCUUGUCACUCUCUGUGUCACGCUGAAUAUCCCCGAGAACUACGUUAAGGGUACUCGUGUCUGUGGAGUGCUCAGCCACUUACACGUUAAUUUCACGAGCAGGCUGUUCCGUUGAUCGGAUCAACCGGAACCCUCGUCGUCGUAACCGACGGAGUGCUUCCAUACUCUCUAAUGUUCUACUAAGUUGAGACGCCCUUCGGUCAUGACUGACCGUGGGAUUGCACCUAGAAAGUUACCCUCCCAGGCACAAGUCCGGACGAGGUUGUUUAUGGAAGACCAACAGUCGCCCAUGCACACCGGCCUCCCUUCUCCAUGCCACCAGUGUUAUCCAAGGGAAAGGCAACGGCCGAUACAGCUUGGCACCUGUGACGUUGCAACUCAUUUCUACAGCUGAGUGAACUGGAGCAACGAGAAAUAAAGUGUCUUGCUCAAGAACACAACACGCAGCCUGGUCCGGGUUUUGAACUCACAACCUCACAAUCGUAAGCUCGACGCUCUGACCACUGAGCCAUGCGCCUUCACUAAGUACUUAUAAGUAUCUACUAAGUAUCUAUACCCAAAUGACAAUCGUCUUGUGAGGUAUCGAGUUUACUGAAGGUUUACCUUCUGACGUAUUCCUCUGUGUAUUUGAAUUCUGAAGUGUUGUUCUGAGUAUUUACUCUAAAGGGUUCUGCUGAAUAUUUAGCCAUUAAAAUAUUCUACUAAAUAUUAUGUGUUGUUGCGAUUAACGGAAUAUUUUCUUUCGGUAGAAUACUGAGUAUAUAGACUCAGAAUUUUACUGAGCAUUCAUUCUCAGCAGUGAGUCACUGAUAAUUUAUUCUCUGUGGCGUGUUUUGAUAAUUUAGCAAACAAUCAUUUCUCUUUCAAAUUCCAGAUGAAACACACACGCACAAUGUAAGCAACAGGAUAUCAAGUAGUGAAGCGGUACAACUAUUUCAAGCGGCUCUAUUUAAUUGAACAAUGCAAUCAUUACAUCAAUUUAAAUGCAGUGCCAUCACCAGCUGCACAAAUAAAUAAAUAGAAUUUCAACUAGUUGGACUCAUUAAUAUAAUUUUUCUCAAAUACUUUAACAGAGCAAGAAGAUGGAAGAAUUUCAUGUUGUCGCUACUGUAGCUAAGAAUAGACUACACUUCCAAGAAUCGCAUGAAGCCCAUUCGGUCGUAGUUUGUUAAGGAUUGUAAUUCAUUUCUAAUUCAUUUAUCUCUUUAUCAACUACUAAAUUUAAGAUUAGAGGACUGUGUCUGUUUAGAAUAAAGGACAAAAGUGAGUUGACAGCUCAUGGUCAUAAAUAUUGGUCAUAAAUAUUGUCAUAAAUAUGGUCAUAAAUAUUGUAUUAUGAAUCUCUUUUCCUCAGGGAGGAAAGAAGACAUUAGGAGUAGUCAGUUUGAUACUCUUACUCUUUUACUCUUUUACUUGUUUCAGUCAUUUGACUGUGGCCAUGCUGGAGCACCGCCUUUAGUCGACUUAUUCUUUGUAAGCCUAGUACUUAUUCUAUCGGUUUCUUUUGCCGAACCGCCACGGGGACGCAAACACACCAGCAUCGGUUGUCAAGCGAUGUUGGGGAGACAAACACAGACACACAACCCCCUUCCACAUAUAUGUAUAUAUGCAUACAUACGACGGGAUUCUUUCAGUUUCCGUCAACCAAAUCCACUCACAAGGCUUUGGUUGGCCUGAGGCUAUAGUAGAAGACACUUGCCCAAGGUGCCACGCAGUGGGACUGAACCCGGAACCAUGUGGUUCGUAAGCAAACUACUUACCACACAGUCACUCCUACGCCUGAUAUAGAGUAUAUAUAUAUACUCUUUACUCUUUUACUCUUUUACUUGUUUCAGUCAUUUGACUGCGGCCAUGCUGGAGCACCGCCUUUAGUCGAGAAAAUCGACCCCGGGACUUAUUCUUUGUAAGCCCAGUACUUAUUCUAUCGGUCUCUUUUGCCGAACCGCUAAGUGACGGGGACGUAAGCACACCAGCAUCGGUUGUCAAGCAAUGCUAGGGGACAAACACAGACACGCAAACACACACAUACAUAUAUAUAUAUAUAUAUACAUAUAUACGACAGGCUUCUUUCAGUUUCCAUCUACCAAAUCCACUUACAAGGCAUUGGUAGGCCCGGGGCUAUAGCAGAAGACACUUGCCCAAGAUGCCACGCAGUGGGACUGAACCCGGAACCAUGUGGUUCGUAAGCAAGCUACUUACCACACAGCCACUCCUACGCCUGAUAUAGAGUAUAUAUAUAUAUAUAUAUAUAUAUAUAUAUAUAUAUAUAUAUAUAUAUAUAUAUACUAGCAGUAUCGCCCGGCGUUGCUCGGGUUUGUAAGGGAAAUAACUAUAUAAGCAUUUUUAGAGAGUUAUAGCCAAAAAAAUGCAUUAAAAAUGGAAAAAAAAUGAUGGUAAAUUUUUUAAAAUCGUUGACUCAUCGUAGACAUUUUUAGAGAGUUACUUCCCUUAUAUAAUAGCGAAAAAAUGCAUUAAAAUGGGAAAAAAUGAUGGUAAAUUUGUUUUUAAAUCGUAGACUCAUCGUAGACGCGCGCUAAUACCCAGAAGGGCUCGAUAUGAAUCACGACUAUAAGAUACCCGGUUUUGGUUAAACUGCACCGCAAAAUGUGGGACUAGUUAGGAAUCUAAAUCGUAGGAGCCAGACACACAACCUCUCUUUUAUAUAUAAAUAUAUCUUACACACACGCGCGCACACGCACGCACACACACACACACACACAUUAUAUAUUAAUAGUAAUAGUAUGACAACAAAAGAAUGAAUGAGAUUUCGAUAUUAUGUAAAUAGAGGAAUUUAUCUGUAAUAUAAUAUGUGACAAUUAUUCGGUUGCCAUAAUAAAACUCCAACUUUUUGGGUCAUGUCCACACAUGGCUAAAUAUUUGUUACGUUUUUGGUCCCCACAAAAUCACAGAUAGAACCUGCUUUUUAUAUUGUGUCCACGUACAAACAAAUUUAUCUCUCUCUAUCUUUUAUAUAUAUUUAUUUACAUAUAUUUUUUUACAUAUUUUAUAUAUUUUUAUUGCUUUAUAUAGUUUUACAUAUUUUUUUCUGUAUAUUACAUUUCACCCUGUAUUUUUUGUGCGUUUGAGUAUAUAGACGUGUAUAUGAACAUAUUUGUGCGCGUAUGGGUAUAUACGUGUUUGUGUGUAUGUGUGUGUGUGUGUGUGUGUGUGUGUGUGUGUGUGUGCGUGCGUGUGUGCGAGUAUGUAUAUGUGUACAUGUGUAUGGUUGCAUAUAUAUGUAUACAUAUAGGUGUGUGUAUGGGGGGGGGUUUGCAUGUAUAUGUUUCACGCGAGUGUGAGUGAGAAUAUGCAUAUAUAGCAUAUGCGUAUUAUAGACGUGUAUAAGAAUAUAAUUGUGAGCGUAUGGGUAUGUGCACGUGUGUGUGCGGAUAUGUACAUGUGUAUGGUUGCAUAUAUGUGUGCACAUAUAGGCGUGUGUGUAGGUGUGCAUGUAUGUGUUUCACGCGAGUGUGAGUGAGCAUAUGCAUAUAAGCACAUGUAUGUGGGUGUGUGUGCACGCAUGUGUAUGUAUGUGCUUGCGCGCAUACGCGAAUUCUAUGAAGGUCUUUUACUUUCUCCCCUUCGGGUUUUUUUCCCCUCUUUAUUUAACGGUCAUUCUAAUCGCUUUUUUGUUUGUCUUAAUAAAAUUAUUUAUAUAAUUAUAGAAUAUUUUGUAUAAUUUACCUAAAAUAGUUUUUAACGUAUUGACUACUUGGUAAAAUUAUUAGUAUUAAUAAUCUUACCCUAUAUUAUUAUUAUUAAAAUUAUAUAUAUAUAUAUAUAUAUAUAUAUAUAUAUAUAUAUAUAUAUAUAUAUAUAAGUAGUUGAAGGAAUUAUCCUAGUAUGGAUAAUUCGGUUAACCGAUACCCGGGUAGCAAAUUUACGUCAGAAAUCACGGUUGAAGCUACAUGCCAAGGGCAGAAAUCACGUGCUUUCGUGUGGAAAUUUGUGUGUUUUUUUACUAUAAAUAAAUGAAAGAAUGGAGUCGAACGACGAUUUAACAAAAUUCCUUUAUUCUCGACAUAUGUUUCGAAAACUGCAUAUUCUCAAUUCCGAAGGAAUAAAGGGUGCAUUAUGCCGCCUUCUCACCAGGAAAGACAAGGAACUUAUGUCAGCAUCAUGAUGAACAAAAACUUUUAGAUGACUGCCCACACGGAGUCCAUUAUCACUAUGGACUCCGUGUGGGCAGUCAUCUAAAAGUUUUUGUUCAUCAUGAUGCUGACAUAAGUUCCUUGUCUUUCCUGGUGAGAAGGCGGCAUAAUGCACCCUUUAUUCCUUCGGAAUUGAGAAUAUGCAGUCUUCGAAACAUAUGUCGAGAAUAAAGGAAUUUUUUAAAUCGUCGUUCGACUCCAUUCUUUCAUUUAUAUAUAUAUAUAUAUAUGUAUAUAUAUAUAUACAUACAUAUGCUGGUUGCCUGAUAUCUUUAUGCCCUGUAUCAUCGAUGAGCUACACGAAUCUGGCUUUUGAGGCCUGCCAAAGACAUCCAUGGUUUUUGACAAUUAGUGCAAGAAAACUUGGUGAUUGUUUGGUUUACAGUUCCAUGAACUUUACUAUGUCUUUUCAAGCCACCUUUUGAUCUGCAUACUUUAUGACAGAGUAUGCAUUCGAAAUCAUCUGUCCAUCUGUAAUCAAUGUGCGGUUGUGCUUCGUAUGGCUCUUUAGCCCAGACUUACUAAGAUAAAUCUUUCCACAUUCAUCACAGAUCAUCACGUUCCUGUCACUUUUUCUCAUCUUUCUCUAGAUCUUUGCAUUCUCCAUUCUCUUUCUAAUUCAUUUUUGCCUCCUGUUAUAUGGCACGUUCGGAUGUCCUCUACUCAACUCCUCGACGUCUAGACUUCUCCCUCUAUAUCUACGUAUUGGGCUAGCCUACAUCAUCGACUGGGGACGUCGACACAACACCGCUCCCUUCUGAGUUUUUUGAACCCGAAUUUAUCAAUUUUAUUUCUUCGGUGAGAAGCUGGCAUAUCUUUUUCUCUUAGCGUUAAUUUCCAUAAUUUCUGUAGGUUUUCUUUUCCUGUUCGACCCACGUGUCGGUUCUGCUUUUGCUUAUGGUUCUGGGACCUCGAACAAAUCAUACCAUAAAUCCAUUUGUUCUUCUCGCCUCUUUUGGGUUUUAGUAUAUCUUUUUUUAAUUGGUUUAAAUACCUUCUGUGUUCAUAUUUUGGUCCUUUUACCAUGCACAUCACGUUACCCAGACGUCCAGUUAUACUUCCUUAUUCCCAGUCCUGUUUUCUGUUACUAUAUAUUUUAAAAUACACUUUGUCACCUGUGUUAAAAAAUUUUGUUUUUCUUUCCGAAUUUUCUAUUUUCUGUUUCCUGCUCGGCAACCAUUUGUCAAAACUAGAACGAAUUUUUCUGGAAAAUAUCAAAUCUGCGGGUGGCCUACCCGACUCUGCAUUUGGAUUCUGUGUUAUUCUAUACACCUGCAAAAACUUUGUCAUAUUUGUAUCUUCAAGGAUUUUCGGUCUGGUCUUCCUUAAGGCUCUCUUGAAUGUGUCGACGAAUCUCUCCGCUAACCCAUUUGACCUUGGAUGGUAAAUUUAUGAUUUAUGGUUAAGCCAAGUGCCUCACAAGCCAUUGCAUUCGUAAGAUUUUGCAUGUCCUCCUCAGUAUGAGUGAUAAUAUCACAAUCAUCUGCAUAGAGGAGGUCUCUAGUAAGAGUUGAAGACGUUCCUGACUUAGCUGACAGUCUUCUGAUGUUAAAGAUUUUUCCUGCUGUGCGAUAUCUAUAUAUCUGCCUUCAUAGGAGCCUUUGAAAGCCAAUUGAAAAACUAUGGUAAAUAGAGGGUGAAGAGAGUGGGUACUAGUAUGUCACCUUGUUUUACCCCAUUGAUGACAGAGUUAAGCUUCGAGAGCUUUCCACCGCUGUUGGUCCUUACUUCCAUGCCAUCAUGAAACUGUUUCAGAAUAGUGAGAAACUUUACUGGACAUCCAAGUCUCCUCAAGAUCUCCCACAAGGCAGUUCGAUUGACAGAGCCAAAGGCGUUAGUAAGAUCAAUGAAUACCUGAGAAAGUCCUGUUUGCUGUCCCACACACUUUUCUUGUAACUGCCGUGCAGAAAAGGUCAUGUCAACAGAACCCCUACCAUUUCUGAAUUCGCUCUGUGAUUCAGGAAGAAUUUCAUUAGCCACAUAUAACUGCAGCCAGUCCAACAUUUUUCGUGAUAAAACUUUGCCGGUUGUAGCAAGCAGGCAAAUACUAGAAAGUUAUUGCAUUCAUCCUUUUAUCCCUUACCCUAACCCUAACUUCCAUGACUGCAUCCUUCCAAUCUUUUAGCAUAACUUCCUUUUUCCAUAUCUUCUGUAUUAUUGCUGUCAGCAUUUCUAACAAGUAGUAACCACAAAAUUUAAAUAGUUCUACAUUCAGACUAUCAACUCCCGGUGCUUUGCCAUUGUUCAGCUUUGAUACUGCUUUUAUUGUUUCCUCUACUGAAGGGAUGUCAUAUAAGCACUCAAUGGGUGCAUUCUGUGGAAUCAUAUCAAUACUUUUUUCUAUCAACAAUUGCUGGUCCAGCAAUUGUUGAGAGAAAUGAAAUGUUUCUCCCAUCGUUUUAAGAUGUCUUUGGGCUCCUUCAAUAAAACACCAUUCCUAUUCUUCACACGAGCCAAAGUAGGAUAUGAUGCCCCUUACACCUCACGAAGGAGAGUAUAUAAUAACUUAGUGUUCUUAACAUUGGAAGCAACCUCUAUCUCUUCUGCUUUCCAGUCUAGAAAUAAAACGACAGAUAUUUCUACAUACAUACAUGCAAAUUAUAUUAUACUGACUUUUGCUUAAUGAUCUAAAAGAAUUUUGAAAAAUUGUUAAAUACACAUAUAUAUUUGAUGGGGCCGACCAAAGCCUUGUGAGUGGAUUUGGGAGACAGAAACUAAAAGAAGCCCGUCGUAUAUCUAUAUAGGGUUAGCGGUUCGGCAAAAUGAUCCGAUAAAAUUAGUAACAGGUUUACAAAGAAUAAAGGCGAAUUCUUCAACUAAUAGGCGAUAUCCAGCAUGGCCACAGUCAAAAUGACUGAAACAAGUAAAAGAAUAUAUAUAUAUAUAUAUAUAUAUAUAUCCCUCCUUUUACUCUCUCUCUAUAUGUAUAUUAUAUAUAUAUAUAUACACACACACACACAUUUAGAUGAAGUACUCAAUAUAAGUACUUAAGUAUAUCGCACUUAUCCUUACACACCACCUUUGUAUUAGUAAUGUAAUCCGAAGGCUGCAUGAGUUUUUAUAGGCGCAGACGUGGUUGUGUGGUAAGAAGCUUGCUUCCCAACCCCAUGGUUCCAGGUUCGGUCGCAUUGCGUGGCACCUUGGGCAAGUGUCUUCUAUUAUAGCCUUGGGCCGACCAAAACCUUGUGAAUGGAUGUGGUAGACGGAAACUGAUAAAAGCCUGUCGUGUGUAUGUGUGUGUGUGUGUGUGUGUAUGUAUUUGUCCUCCCCAGCUUGAUUACCGGUGCUGGUGUGUUUUCGUUCCCGUACCUUAUCAUUUCGGCGAAAGAGACCGAUAGAAUAAGUACUAGGCUUCAAAAAAGUCCUAGGGUCGAUCUGUUCGACUAAAACCCUUCAAGGCACUACUCCAGCAUGACCACAAUCGACUGAAACAAGUAAAAGAUAAAAUAUGUAGCCAAUGACACCACUAACCCACUUGGCCAACUGCAAACCUAUUUGUCCAUUACAUUUGUAGAUGUUCAGCUUUUAUCGAUUCAGUUUCUAAAUGUUUUUGCCGAAAAUAUUUUAUUACUAUGGUUUCAUUACAUAAAAGAAUGAAAACUGAAAUUUGUUGGAGUUGCUAUCUCUUCGAGCAAAACAGUAUUGCGGCAAGGGAGUAUGGUGGGACCAAAAAGUUAGUGUGUUGUUGGAAGAACCGCAAAGCCUGCCUGAAGACUGUUUCACAGAAAAGUGUUGAAAAACUGGAAGAUUAUUUAGAAGUUUAUAUCAAUGAAAACUGACAAAAGCAAAGACUGCCUGAAGAUAGUUUCACAGCAAAAUUGUGUUGCGAGAAUCGGAAUCUGGCUUUGGUGUGAAUUGUAAAAUUAUUUGGAAGAUUAGAUCAAUGAAAACAACAGAUAAAUAGUUAUACACUUAACUGAGUAAAGCACAUCCAAAUGAAUGUAAUGGUUUGAAAAUGACAGUAAGCUGAUGUUCUUGCUUUGUGAAAAGGAAAGAUGUGAUAGAGCGACAAAGACAAAAAUUGCAUAUAAACUCCCGGUAGACUUUGAAGAAAAAUUACAAAUUUCCAUAGAAAUACAUAGGCGCAGGUAUAUUUGUGUGAUUAUGAAGCUCUGGGGAGAGAUAAAUCGUCGAUCAAUUAAUCUGACAUCUAGCCAUAAAUCAUUGUAAAAAAGCAAAAGAAGCAUAAAAAAUUUACAUUUGUCCAGUGUCUAAUUACACUCCUAUGUCUUCAAAGAUAACUCUUGGCAGUUUAUGUAUACUUGAGGUGGUUUCAUUUAACUGGGUUUUAUUUACGAGGCAAUUACAAAACAGAAUGUUUUGUUGGUGUCAUUAAUAAAAAGUAAUUUCCCGUUUGAUAGUAAUACACUAGCGUUUUCAGAAAGUAGACUACAAAAAUCACGAGGAAAACAUCAUGGAUCACCAAAUAUAAACUUACUUUUAAUUAUAUUAUGCAACGCAUAACAUAUUUCCGGUACACUAGUCGACAGAGUAUAUAGUGUAAACAUAUAGUUUAAAAAUUCAUACACAGGUGUAGAGUGAUUGUGUGGUAAGUAACUUGCUUACCAACCACAUGGUUCUGGGUUCAGUCCCACUGCGUGGCACCUUGGGCAAGUGUCUUCUACUAUAGCCUCGGGCCGACCAAAGCCUUGUGAGUGGAUUUGGUAGGCGGAAACUGAAAGAAACCCGUCGUAUAUAUAUAUAUAUAUAUAUAUAUAUGUGUGUGUAUGUAUGUGUGUGUAUACGUGUUUGUGUAUCUGUGGAUGUCCCCCCCCCCCAACAUCGCUUGACAACCGAUGCUGCUGUGUUACGUCCCUGUAACUUAGCGGUUCGGCAAAGAGACCGAUAGAACAAGUACUAGGCUUACAAAGAAUAAGAGUCCUGGGGUCGACUUGCCCGACUAAAGGUGGUGCUCCAGUAUGGCCACUGUCAAAUGACUGAAACAAGUAAAAGAGUACAUCGUCACUAUCUUUCCAAAUCCUGCUGCAUUUUACAUGAAAGUUUUGGCCCUCCAGAGUUGUCUUGGUGUGUAAGUCGACCAUAUAUUUUUUAGCUGUAAAUUUUGGUCGGAAUAAUUCAACUUGUAUGCCGGAAAAUACGGUAUUAGUCUAAUACCUAAUAACACUAAUACGUAUGUCUUUAAAGAUUAUUUGGUAGUUUGUGGAUACCAGUGGUAGUUUAAUUUAACAGGAUUUUAUUUACGAGGCAGUUUCAAAAUGGAACCUAUUUGAUUUGGAUACCAAUAAUCAUUUCUACGACAGGCACAACUGGUACUCAUUUUAUCGACCUCGAAAAGGAUAAAAAGCAAAGUCGACCUCAGCGGGAUUUGAACUCAGAACGUAUGAAAAAAAAAAGAAACAUAAAAACUGUCAAAUUUAGCCUGAGCACCUUGUAUUUUCAAGGAUAAAAGUUUAAAUGAAGUUUUUAGUCGGAGUUAGAGAUAAGACACGGUAGUUAUAAUAAGUGGUAAUGUGGUGGAUACCUUUGGUACGAAUUCUGCAAGUUCAGAGGUGCUGCAACAGUUGCAGUGACGCCAGAAAAGAUAGAGAAAACAUAUGUCUGUGGGUCAGUGUUAGGUGUACGUUAGUGAGUGAAGGUUUAUUAAUUAGUUAGUCUCCUGUUAUCCUGAAUUCUUGUGUAUAUAGCAGCUGAUUUGUCCCACUAUUCCACUAUCCCAUUACUAUGACGUUGGUUGUAUUUUAUUUCUUUAUUGCCCACAGGGAGCUAAACAUAGAAGGGACAAACAAGGACAGACAAACGGAUUAAGUCGAUUAGAUCGACCCUAGUGCGUAACUGGUACUUAAUUUAUCGACCCCGAAAGGAUGAAAGGCAAAGUCGACCUCGGCGGAAUUUGAACUCGGAAUGUAACAGCAGACGAAAUACCGCUAAGCAUUUCGUCCGGUGCGCUAACGUUUCUGCCAGCACACCGUCAACAUUGGUUGUAUUUGUGACACUAUAUGAUAUCGAUGUAAACACUCAUCGCUACUACUGCUAUUACUUCCCCCAUAAGGAGAAAUUUUGAGAACAUCCUUCAUAUUUGAUAUAUGAGUCUAGUCUUUUUUAGAUUCGUUAUGACAUCAACUCAGCAUAUAUAAAAAAAAUUUGUCUUGCACCUUACUGUCUCUACACACUAAUAACACUAUUAAUACCCAGUGUCACUACAAAUACUAGGCGUCACAACUUCUUAAGUACCAGUUGCACACUAGGGUCGAUAAAAUCGACUUAAUCCAUUUGUCUGUUCUUGUUUGUCGCCUCUGUGUGUAGCCCCUUGUGGGCAGUAAAGAAAUAAGAAUCGUAGCUUAACAAUUUUAUUCAAGCUGACGAAGGAGACUCUCUGUGAUCGUUCGAUUUGUGUUACAUAUUCGCAGGUCACCGUGACCCACGAAUAUAAAACAUUACAAAAACUGCUUAAAAACAAACGAACAAGCUAGGACUACAUUUUCAGGGACAGAAAAGACUUAAUCUCUAAUCAGUUGCCAAAAUUUAAGUUUAAGUGUAACCUAAAUUCGAGAAUUAUAUAUAUUUGUAACAUUCACUUAUCCUACAUCACAUUCAAAUAAGUGUUCUGACUAAUUAGCAAUUAUUCACUCAGCAAUGCAUUACAUCUACCAGCUCAUAGACACUCCGAUUCCACUGUAUGCCGCUUCUACUACAAUGAUACACUGCAAAGCACUGUUUGUUCUUCAUCCUCUCGUUACUUCCAUGUCUUGCACUAUAUAUUUUCGCCAAUCCUUCUUGCUCAGAACUGUGAUUCUUUGAAUCUCUCUUUCAACGCAUGUUUAUCCCCACAAAUAUAUUUAAAAUGAACAUGAAUUUCAGGCUGUAGGUAUUUCUCUCCACUUUAAUUAAUGCGGUCGAAUACGGUAUUAAUGUUCAGAUAAUCAUUUUUUUUUUUUACCUCUCCUAUAAUAAACCAAAAUUCCCUUCCACUGAGGCGAUUUCUGUGUUAAUUCUGGGAAAUAGCUAUAGUAUAUAUACAAAGAGCUCCUUUGACGAAUUACAGAAAUACAUCUUUGAAGUGAAACAAAAAUUUAUUGUUCUACAUUGAGUUGUAGGUCUAACACGCUAACAUGUUUAAGAGCAUCACCCCCGUUUUGAGUUUCUUUAAAGGAGUUAAAUUUGUUGUUAGUAUUUGGACUGGACCCCCAGUUUUACUCCCUUGCACACUUUUUUGUGCACAUUUUUUGUGCACACUUUUUUGUGCACAUUUUUUGUGCACACUUUUUUGUGCACAUUUUUGUGCACACUUUUUUGUGCACAUUUUUUGUGCACACUUUUUUGUGCACAUAAAACUGUUCUUUCGUUGAAUUAGUCACACAAUCCAUGACUGGGUGUAUCACGUGACAUGGCGUGUUAAAACACGCCACUGCAGUAUCAAAAGAAAAAAAACUCAAACAGUCGAAUUUUGGUUUUCAUAAAAACUUAUUUUAUUGUACUAAACCCAAUCAUACCUCAAGUUAAUCUGUUUAUACUGGUUUGUGCAAAAUUAAACGAAAAGACAGUAAGUGCAGUUUUAGAUCAAACUAGCAGCUAUCGUUUCGCUCGUAGCACUGUUUGAUCCAAGGCUUUCGGUUAAGCAGCAAUGAAAACGGAUAUCUGUAUUCUUAGAACUCGGCUUGCACACUGCCGUUCUAUAAACAUGUUAUUAAAAAAACAAAAACAAAAAAAACCUGGCAGUCCAUUAGAGAUUGGGAUACCUAAUAUUUGGAAGUUGUUCAAUCAACACACCCCUCUGGGAACUGUUUCGCUUAUCUGAAGAAAAAGAAUCUAAAUAGACUGAGCCGAGUUCUAAGAAUACAGAUAUCCGUUUUCAUUGCUGCUUAACCGAAAGCCUUGGAUCAAACAGUGCUACGAGCGAAACGAUAGCUGCUAGUUUGAUCUAAAACUGCACUUACUGUAUUUUCGUUUAAUUUUGCACAAACCAGUAUAAACAGAUUAACUUGAGGUAUGAUUGGGUUUAGUACAAUAAAAUAAGUUUUUAUGAAAACCAAAAUUCGACUGUUUGAGUUUUUUUUCUUUUGAUACUGCAGUGGCGUGUUUUAACACGCCAUGUCACGUGAUACACCCAGUCAUGGAUUGUGUGACUAAUUCAACGAAAGAACAGUUUUAUAAUGAAUUAUGUUCUUUUUUUCGGGAAAUACCAGGAAAACUUUCUAUGUAUUUUUGAAAUCAUUUAAUAAGGCAACGAAAGCUAGUGGCAACGACCGUAUUUCAGUUAUUUUUCCCGUACUGAUGGAAUGACGCAGCCGAUUUAUAAACCUCUGCUGGGCCAAAAUGUGCACAAAAAUGUGUGCAGGGGAGUAAAACUGGGGGUCCAGUCCAAAUGCUAACAACAAAUUUAACUCCUUUAAAGAAACCCAAAACCGGGGUGAUGCUCUUAAACAUGUUAGCGUGUUAGACCUACAACUCAAUGUAGAACAAUAAAUUUUUGUUUCACUUCAAAGAUGUAUUUCUGUAAUUCGUCAAAGGAGCUCUUUGUAUAUAUACUAUAGCUAUUUCCCAGAAUUAACACAGAAAUCGCCUCAGUGGAAGGGAAUUUUGGUUUAUUAUAGGAGAGGUAAAAAUAUGAUUAUCUGAACAUUAAUACCGUAUUCGACCGCAAUAAUCAAAGUGGAGAGAAAUACCUACAGCCUGAAACUGAAAGUGGCUAGCGCAAGUGUGCUUAACAAGCUCAGCUACAUUUUGUGCUAAAAAUCACACAUGAAGGAUGGAUGAGCUAUUGUUUCUGUUGUUGAGCAGACAGUGGCCAUAUUACAACAAACAUGCAACAUCCUGGACUAAAAUUUGUAAUGCUCAUUUUAAAUUCUCUUAUGCUUCUUCUUUACUACAUAAAAUUACUUCGUACAACUAUUAUAUAUUUUUUUUUCAUUUCCAAAACAUUUUGAAUCUCUUUUUGUAAGAUGAUAUGUAGCGUAUGGUUUGAAAGAUAUUUGGGUGUUAAUUCUGGCAAGUCGAACGAUCACAGAGAGUCUCCUUCGUCAGCUUGAAUAAAAUUGUUAAGCUACGAUUCUUAUUUCUUUACUGCACACAAGGGGCCACACACAGAGAGGACAAACAGGGACAGAAAAACGGAUUAAGUCGAUUAUACCGACCCCUGUGCGUAACUGGUACUUAUUUAAUCGAACCCGAAAGGAUGAAAGGCAAAGUCAACCUCGGCGGAAUUUGAACUCAGAACGUAACGGCAGACGAAAUACCGCUAAGCAUUUCGCCGGCGUGCUAACGUUUCUGCCAGCUCGCCGCCUUGAUUGUUAAAACUGUUAAGUUACGAUUCUAUCACUAGUAUUAUGUUGUACGUGUGUUGGUAGCAUAAUUAAAAAUACUGGUUUCAAAUCUUUGGGGAGGGGUAAGUCAAUUACAUCAACUCCUGUACUCAAUUGGUACUUAUUUUAUCGGCCUCGAAAGAAUAAAAGGCAAAGUCGACCUCGACGGAAUUUGAACUCAGAACGUGAAGACGGACGAAAUCCCGCUAAGAAUUGCUUUCAGGCUAAGAAUUGCUUUCAUUGCUUUCAGGCUUAGCUUAAGCUAUUUUCGUGCCCGACAUCACAAAAUGUGUCUGAAUAAAUAUUGCCGGACAGCAAAUAGGGACUCGGACAUUGCUUAGAAAAUAUUUUUCAUUUUUAACCUCGUAUAUAGUACGCACUAGGGAUUUUGACCAUUAAAUUUUGGGGAAAAAAUGCGGAUUAUACUCGAGGAUUUACGGUAUUUAGAAAAUGAUAUUGGUAAAUUAUUUCGAUUUGGGAGAGAUGGAGCUUAAAUGUUAUACAUUAAUACUGCUCUCAAAUACAUUGGUCUAGAGUAUAAACACUUGCAAUUUUGAGUUUCAAAGAUCGUCUGUUUAGUUUAGUGUGGCUCUACUCAGUAUGCUAAUGAACGUUGACAUUUAUUUGUGUUCUGGUUUGUUUAUGGACAGAAACGAAUUAGUGUGAUCUUAAUUUUGUAAAAUUUCUUACUUUUUAUAUUUUUGAUGCUUGAAAAUAUUUAUAAAGUUAUAUAAACAUAUACAUAGAUGUGCAUGAGUUUAUGUGUUUGGUGAAGAAAGAGAGAGAGAGAGAGAGAGAGAGAGAGAGAGAGAGAGAUGUUCAGUCGCUUUUUAAUGUAGUACCGUUAUCUUCUCAGUCAUUCGAAUGUCAAGUAAGGGAUCUUCAAUCUCAGUUACAGAUUUUUUAAUUAAUUUAUUUUUGUAAUUAAACAGCUUGAAACUUCGGAUACUGGUUGAAUGUGUCACGCAGAACACGGUUUAUUCUUAACGUUUUUGGCAAAAUUUUGUAUUUUAGAAGUUAUUUCGUGUUAAAGUUGUCGUGUCUGGGUAAUUUUAACGAAUCAAUGACGUGUAAUAAUAAUAAUAAUAAUAAUAAUAAUAAUAAUAAUAAUAAUAAUAAUACUAACAUCGAAAAAUACCUUGGGAAUGAGAACCCAGGUUCAAAAUUUCUCCAAGACACCUGAUGAAGGCUGUUGGGUAUAUCAGCCGAAAUGUGUUAACAACAAACAAAAUGAGGACAAAUAUCCGUAAAUAAUGUAAAUAAAGUUUUAAAUUGGUAUAAAACAUUCACUAUUUUGAAUUAGAAAGCAGUAAAGUGGUAGAAUACAGUCGUUCUGAAUGAAAAUCUCUCAGGGAUCGAUAAAAUAACAAUUAGUUACGUUUAAAGUGCAAUGAUCGAUUAAUUUGACUUAGUGUUCUUCUUCUUCUGAGUUUAUGUUUGUAUACGAAGUGAUUAUUCUUCGAGUCGGAAUUUAAUUGUUGUCACUUUCCUCAUUUCACAUAAUAUUUUAAUAUUAACUUAUGUGACAGAACACCGAUAAAGACAAUUCCAAAAACUAAUAUCAACGUAAUGUAGUUUCUUAUUUCGAUAGAAAAGAUUCGUUUUUCUUUUACUUCGUUAUCCAUUUCUCUAUUGUAAAAAUCACUAAAUGGACAGAUUCCCUUCCUCAUGUACACUCAUAUACACUGGCGAAAUUAAAUUUAAGACCGAUGAUAAAAGUUCUAUUUCUUACAAAAUAUUUUGUUACUAACACCGUACAAAUUAUCUUCAUCUUUUACACCUUAUGCAGAAUUUAUUUCUCUUUCGAAUGAUGCAGAUAAUAACUAUUUUUAUACAACUUGAAGAAUUCUAAUGCUAAAUUAAUAUAAACGUUUCAAAUUUACCAGCAAAAUUAGUUUAAGACCGUAUCAUUAUAAUUUUAGUUAAAAUUGUAGCAACAAGAACGAAAUAGAUAUUUGAACACAACAUACUCAUACAGAAUUAUUGCUCUCACACACACAUUUUAUUUCGAAAUUUUAAAAUGUUGUAAAUAAUAAAUUUGGAAUUAGUACAUUUUUACUUACUUCUUUUCUUUUCUUUUUUCUUUUUUUUAGAUAUACCUGGUUUCUAUGGAAAUACCUGUCUGGAGUAACAAUUGAUACAUACGUUCUCUUAUAAUAUAUACAAAUAUAUUUCAGUGGAACCGAGAACGACAGGAAGAAAUUGUAUCAAAAAAAUAACCUCUGGAAUUUAGAUGUGAUGAAGAAUUUACAUUAAAUUUCUUGAACAACAACGAUAUCAGUAAAAAAUAAAAAAAGGGGGGUGGAAAAAAAGAAAAAAAGUAAGCAGUAAGAAGCUCAUUUCUGAGGAUCAUAGCUUCACUUUCUUCGUUAUCUUCCUUUUCACUCUUUGCCCAUCUUUCUUUCUCUUUUAUUUACUUUUCCUUUCGAGUGUUCCUUCUCUAAUCAAAUAUAUUUUCCUGUGAUACUUUACAUUGGCAAAGGUUAUUUGAUUUGAGGGAGCGAAAUUAGUUACAU